rnacentral:lncRNA from 1 species
AGGGCAUGAUGCCAUUGGGUUGGAUGUCAUGCACGGGCCAAUAGAGCUCCCUCCCUAUCUCUUACGAAGCUCUCCCUACGUCCCACUUCAGAGCAGCCGGUCGUGCUUCUUUCCAACCCAACUUCUGCAUCGCCGCAGAUCAGCCAAAGGAGCUGCUACCUGCAGCCAAGCUCACCUUCCGCGCCGCUACAGAUCAGCUAGUCACGCUGCUGCCGACAAACAUAAAUAUCAAGUUUAUCUUACUCUUGAGCAAACUCAGUAAGGGCAGGCAUGUGGACUCAAUCGAGCAACAUAAAUGAAAAAGGAAAAGUACCGACAUUUUGAAAAAAUGAAUUCAGUUAGUCAUACAAGAAUAUGUUCAGAAGAUAAAAAUCAUUUAGACACACCUCACGCAAAUUCUCUGAAAGAAAUUCUUCAUGACAUCUUCCAGAACCUACCUGUUCAGAGAAACAAAGUAAGAGAGCAGACAUAUGCAGCACAAUUACCAUCUCGGAACUUGUGGUGUGACACCAUCAAAGUACAAAAAAGAUAUAUGAAUAUACUGUUUCCUUAUUUAUUUAAUUUUAUUCCAGAUUACAGUUGAAAUGUUUAUAAAGUACAUAUUCUUGGGUAGCAAUUCUUUCUCAUCUUGUGUGCACAAUAAACAGAUUGAGGCUUAAUAUUAUUACUGAGCUCAGAGAUCGAUCAACAAGUCGUAUGCUCUAAUUUACAAAAGAACUAUGUGCAUUUACUUACUGGAGGAAGAAACCAAGGUCAAAAGGCAAAAUGGCAGUCUUCUUAUAGUGCGUCAAGCAUAACUAUAUUGCAUUACGAACUGAAGUAAAAAGUAGAAUUAACAAGCAACAGUACUAACAACCAAUAGUGACGAGACUAUUGCUCUUGCACAAAUGUUUAUCCCAACAAAGGAUCGCGAACUUGCUAGAUGCACUAACUGAGGCUCAUUCCCUUUGCUUGAGGCACUGUCUUAGGAACAACUUCGGAGUAGGUCGAUUGAAACUUAGAAGAAACGGAGAUACACAUGUUAACUAAUAGACUGACAUUUGUCACUUUGUGAUUGAAAUUAACUAUGAAUAAGGACUCUGGAACAUGAACAUACAGUUGUGUGGUCGAAGUGCCAGGAACAUUGUUCCUGGCAGAAGAGCAAUCAUGAAAAUCAGCAAAAAUAUGCUCAGGGUGAUUUUGAUGGGCACUCACUUGCUACAGCGGGUGCGCCAUUUAGCUGCCACAAUAUUGAAUUUGCUAUUUUUUUUCUCAAAAUAGAACUUUGCGAAUAGUACAACACUAUAGAAUCAACUAAAGCUCAACAACAUUAUUGAUGCAUGUACAUCUAUUAAUUAGACCAGUAAUUCUUCCACAAAGAAUAAUUAAUCUUUACAACCCUUUCACUUGUGGUCAUUUUACCAGGAUAAUAGUAAUUCCAAAACAUACAAAUACAAGUUUUAUCUAUAAAAUUAUUUAACUAAAUGAUUCAAACAAGCACUGGUAUUCCCAAUUACAUUAAUCUCAUGGAAAAUGGUACAAGGAAAAUUUUAGAUAAUUAAUUUCAUCUUCUAUAUCAGUAAUCAGAUGUAAUCUAGAUGCAUCUCACUGCCAGGCAGGUUAGCCGCAAUACUGGUAGUACAUCCAUAGACAUUACCCGAAUUAUUCUCCACUUUUACCAGACUACCACGUACACUAAUUAGAAGGCAUGAUGGUUCGGGGAGGGGCGCGACACGCGGGGAGCAAUGGUGUGUGGGCCGGCUGGUGGAGGUAGACGGCGAGGCUCCCAGCCGACGACCGUUCUCCACAAAAUGUCAAUCUAACUUGUGCAGUUUAAUCAUAUGCCAGUGUGCCAUAAAUGAUUAGAAACUCUACUCAUCAAAUUAUGUUUCGGGGAAUAAGAGACGGAGGAGGCACAUAUAUCCAACCAUUUGUUCAUGUGCAGAUGAGUGCUGGCUGGCGACGCUCGAGCGAGGUUGGCCCCUCAGGCUUUAGACAGACACAUGGGAGAUCUAGGCGCCCACACAGUGACAUGAUUCAGUGGUCAGGACACCGGCCUGGUUGGUCCUGUAGCAUUUUGUGGUGGUUGUAGAGAUCGGGUGGCCAGCGACACCAAGAUGCUCUGAAGUUUGCAUGCUUCCAUGUUUCGAGUAUGGUAGGCUUGGAAUGGUUUACUUUAGCUGAGGGUGCUGCAACACCGUGGUGCGUAGGGGUAGCGACACCACAAUUUGGUAUUUCAAAAAAAUGUCCUACUUAGUCAAAGUAAGAGGAAACUACAACAAAGCACGUCCCAUCUUCUAUCUAAUUGAAAGAAAUGAGGAAACAAAAAUCUUGGAUGUUGGUAAAAGGUAAAACAUGACGAUAUAUAUCAGCUAGAAUCUGUACCUCCACAUCAGGGCAGUGGUAAACAAGGUAAAGCAUGAAGAUAUAUCUGCUAGAAUAUGUACGUCCACAUUGCAGCAAAAAGUACAACAACGUAAAACAUGAAGAAGAUCACCUAGAAGUUGUACCUCGCAUCAAGAUGCUGACACAAGACUCGUCAACGGAAGUGAUAAAAUCAGGGACCCUUGUCAAGUAUGGUGAUUGCGCAUAAGUAACACAAUCCGGUAAAGAGAAAUUCAAACAAAACAUCAUAUGUUAGUUUAGGAGCCUUCUGCCAUUAAUUUCCAAAUUACAUUGUAUAUCAAAUAGAACAGUUUCUCUUUUUCUAAGCCCCUCCUUCACUGGAGGCUUACCAUAUCAUACCUACAUGCUAAAAACCAAACCAACACAAUUAUCUGCAGUAUAUACUGCUGGUGAAGAUGAUUAAACUAAUAUGCAGUAGAACAAAAUUGAAUUAGACAGAACCAAAAUUAGAAAGAUAUGUUGUUUCAAAUUUAUUAAAAGAUCUGAUGUUUGAAAACAUCCUUUGGAAUCAGAAUAUUUAGACUAAUAACACCGGGAUGUAGAGAGCAACUUAGAAAAAUUAUUGUCAGCACAUAAUAGCUUUGUACAAUGUAAACUCGUGAGGGUUUGGAUCCUCUUUUAUUUGGCCAUCAUUACGAAAAAGCAGAUCCUUUUUUAGUUGACAACUAUUACCAAAAGUAUUGUUAGGCCACGAAUUAAAUCAGCUAAAUUGUAUAACUCGUCGGGAUGCAUGCCCCGCCAGCGAAAGAAAAAUUAUAGUUGAUGCAGCUAACUGUUGCAACUGCGUCCAUAUACAAAUCACAUGAAACAUAAUUAAUCAGCCAAUUGACUACUUAUUCCUCCUCAAACUGAAUAAAAGGUACAGGUGUGAUGGACAUAUCUGUCCCCAAUUGACAGGUUGGAAUUAUUGUCAGUGCUCAGACCAAAUGCAAGGGCCAAUUCAUGCCAAUAGUUUUAAAUCAAAAAAAAGAAAAGAAAUAGACUUCCCGGCUGCAAAUAAUAAAGGUGCAAGCUGGCGUAAAAACUUAUUUCGAAUUAUCUAAAACAAUUAUAUUCUAAUCUAGAAACCCCGGACAGUCUGUAAAGAGACAAGUGCCGGUACAUAGGGAGUUUUGCUUACAGCAACCCGUGGAAAUUUAUCCCUAUAUAAAUAUAAUGGAUGACAUAGGGAACUGCACGAAGCAAAUACACUGAUAUAGGAUCCUGGAGCAAACUACACAUAUCUAGUACAAUUUUCAAUCUUGCACGCACAUACCGUUCGCCUUGUUUCCCAGGAGUUGUCCUGAUCCAGGACAUUUGGCAUCAACUCUUGACCUCAAACAAUUUCUUUUGUAAAUAAUCUGCCAAUAAACCCACAUCAACCUCAGCUGAGAUAAAGAAAGACUGAAUCUGGCUAACAAAACCAAACCAUGUAACAGAAUACAAGAACAAACAAUUUCAUCUUCUAUAUCACCAAAGGAAGAAGCCGAGCUGCGAAGAGUCCGGCUUGGCGAGCUUGGAGGCAGCCCUGGCGCCGGUGAGCGCGAUGGAGACGGACCCGCGGUGGGAGAAGCCGAACUUCUCGAACAGGAUCAGGAUGAUCCCGCGGGAGUCGUCCUUGGAGGACUCCUGCUUGAUCUCCACUGCGGCUGGGCGGAGGACGACCCCUGGUUGCCGUCGAUGUAGCGACGAGAUCGGCGGCAGCGAAGGAUCGGCAGCGGCGAACGGAUCCACUGGGACGCAGGGAUCGGCGGCGGCUUGGUGCGAGUGCGAGGGCGACGGCGAAGGGAUCUGUUGUGGUGAGGAGAAGCGUGGGGGCGGUGGAGGUGGCUGAGAGGGAGAUAGGGCAAGGUGGGGGGCGGCGGCGGCGGAACGGGAGAUGGGGGCGACGGCUUCUCCUCGAGGGGAUCGAUACGAGAGGUGUUUGUGCGGGUUUUUUUUGUGUAUGCGUCUGGUGGGGUGUGGGGGACGAAAAAAACAAGCGAAAAAAAACCGAACGAAAAUGGUAGGACGAAAAUGAUGGGACGAAAAUAAAACCCAGAACGCGACCUACCAACUGAGACAUUAGGAGUAGAGAUUUUGAUUGUUUCCGUGAACUAUUUUGACCUUGAUUAAGAAGUAGAAAGUUUUUAGCCUCGUAGGUUGUUUGAUCUACUAUAUCAAGUGGCACUUGGCUUCUCAUGGCUCUCCUCGCAUUUGCCAAAACAAAGUUAGUACACACUACCUAGAGCUCUGGAAAUUAGAACUGAAAAAUGGUCCUGCGGUUUAUUAGCUGAUAUAAAUCAUGCACAAUCCUCUACAUUUAAAAAUAAACCGGACACAAAGCAGUAUACUUUUUUCCGAGUACUACCUUGAGAGAGCCAAGGGGUUCUGCAUUUUAUAAAGAAGAAGAAAGUUGCCCGGUUCCAUACAUGCUUAUCUGAGAAAUAUAUCUUAUCUAUUUAGUGGAAACCAGCUACAGAUACAAAAGGCACAAAGUCCCCCACCGGUCGUGACCGAACUACUGUUUUUGGAAAUAUCACAUGAGCUAGAUUACUAACAUUGAUGUAAUGCUUGUAUGGCAACCUAUUUCUUUAUCGGUUCAAUUACAGAGUUUUGUUAUUAUGUGAAUGGAGUAAUGGAGAGCUAAGAAAAAACAAGGUAACAGUUAGUGUUACUCUUGCGAGGUAGUUUCAAUCAUAUCAUUGUUUGCUUUCCCUUUUCUCCUGCCUAGGUAUGUACAAUUAUUCCAACCCAGGUUUCUUUCAAGAAGGAUAUGGGUAUGUGUUUGAGGAAUGUCUACAUGAUAAAACGCACCUUCAAGUUUGGUGAUAGUUAUGCUAUCAAACUUACAAUGGGGGUCUUAAUUUGUAUUUUUAAUAGAGCACUGGGUUCAUUGGUGAGACUUGUGAGGAUGUGCCUAGUCUAAAGAUGGCUGCUAUGUCGGUACCAAGUGGCAUGUGUUUAAAUGGAGUAUCCUUGUCAGGAGAGCUGAUUUCUGAAAUAUGGUACUUUAUGGAUGCAAGGAUUCACCAUGUUGCGGUCUUCGUCAGUGGAGUGGACUCCUAGGAAUUAGUGAAGGCCGUUACGUUGUUUUAAGCAGAUAUUCUAUCGUACUUGUAUAUUUUUUUGCUUAUCUAGCUGUUUGCCAUGCAGUUCUCGUUGUUGGUGGGAACAUUUGUUGUCUAAGAUCGACCUCAAAUAUCUGGUGGCACUAUAGCAUGGCUUUUGAUAUUCUAAUGUAUAUCUCUUACAAAAUAUUUCAAGAGCCCAUGGCAAUGCACGGGCAUUAUACUAGUGUAAGUAAGGAUGGAGAUGAAGAUGGUGUGGCGACAAGGAUAUAACAAAACGCCUGGUUCCUUCAGCCAAAAGUUGGCGACGUUCCUUGUUACACACGCUCCGCCCAACAAACGCUCCAAAAGCCAAAAUACAAUUCCUCAAACAAGGGCCAAAGACUACUUCCCCACAUGGAAAAGAAAUACGCACAUGGCGUUACAAUGUUGGCUACUCAUGUCUGAGUUCCUAAACCCUUGCAAAACAGAAAGAAAGGUUGUUUGCUAAACAAAAGAAAGGCCAACACAAUCCUAUCCAAACACUCCACAUUUUUACUAUGUGGCAAAAAUAUGCAACUUUUUUUUGUUUUUAGGUACAUGCCAAUUUAAAACAAAAACACAAUUUUUUUAUGUUCACACGCCAAGGUAUUUUGUACACAUGGCAAAAUUUUCCGAAGAAGAAAAAUCUCACGAUCCCAUGGAUAAUCAUAACUUUUUGUCUUUCAAACAGGGCAAUUUUAAGUCAUUUUGUAAUGCUAUUGUGGCAAACGAUGGGAUUUUUAAUCAAUUUGCAUGGCGAAUUUGGGAUUCUUUUCCCUACUUUUCCACAUGGCAAUUUUAUUAUGAUUAAAAUGGAGAUCUUAUUAUUCAAAACAUGGCAGCUUUACUAUUAAGAGCAUGGCAAUUUAAGUAUGAUAGAAUCUCCUCCCCUGCUCGGUCUACCCCACAUGCAUGGCGUAUAACAUCCUCUAGCCCCAACUGCCGCCAAACCUCUCUAGCCUUAUGGCAUCGAAAUAGUACAUGAAACACAUCUUCUGCUCCUUGUUUACAUGCAGGACACGUCGGCCGGACUGGGAUGUGUCUAUUAGCAAGAACCACAUUGCAUGGCAGUGUUGCGUGUAAGGUUCUGCAAAGAAAUUUUUUAACUUUCGCCGGACAAUUCAGUUUCCAAACCUUUUCCCAUGUUGGGUUAGCACUAGUGGCUCCCAAACCAUCUGUCCUCUGUAAUUUACGGCCAUGCUGAAAGUACCAUAGAGCAUGGUAGGCCGAUUUCACUGUAAAAAUUCCAUGUUUAUUCAAACUCCAUGCUACAAAGUCACUCAUAUCAUGUGUAGGUAGUGGUGCAUGUGACCCAAAGGCCUCGUUAAAGAGGGGAGGUUGGUGCAAACCCCCUAGUGGAUAUGUCAAGUUAAAUGUUGAUGCGGCCUUUGAUUGGGAUUUGCUUCAGGGGGCGAUGGGAGCAGUCAUCCGAGAUGAUAGAGGACAUAUGGUUGUAGCUGGAAACAAGCUCAUUGAUUCCUGUUAUGAUGUACUAACUGUUGAGGCAAUGGCUCUGAAGUUUGGAUUGAAUAUGGCGCUCACAACUGGGUGCAAUAGACUGAUUGGCAACUCGGAUAAUCUGGAACUCAUGGAAAUAAUGAAUAAGGAUGGCCAAUAUGCUGGAGAUGCCGCGACCAUUGUCGAUGAUUGUUAUAAUCUGGCUUGCGAAUUUAGCUCUAUUGUCUUCGAAUUUUGCCCCAGAGAGUCGAAUGGGGUUGCACAUGAACUAGCUAGGACUGCUAGAAGUUCGCUUUGUAAUGAGUGGUUAGAUAAUGCUCCUUCUGAGCUUCUUCCCCUACUACUUAAAGAUGUAAGUCUGAUCACGAAUGAAUAAAGAGGAAGUAAAGUUGUCAAAAAAAAGAGCAUGGCAAUUUUAUUUUUAAUGGCAUGUCAUUCUUACCUUUUUUUUUGAGAAAAGCAUGUCAUCUUUACUAUGUCCUUCUCGCCUGCUGUAUGAAGUAGGCGGACCCUAGAUGGGCUUUCCCAAUAUGGGUUCCUGGGACCGGGUUCCUGCAGAGUUUUUUUUCCUUUUCGUCUUGUGUGUUUCCUGGGCCAAUUUUCAUCUUUUUGUUUGGUUUUCUGUCUUAUGUGUUUCUGUAUGGAUUUUAUUUCUUUCUCAAUACAUGUCCAUUUUUCUAAAUACACACUGUAAAAAUUUACACAUCUUGAACAUUUUUUAUUAAUUGGCAUAAACCUAUUUUUGGAGUGUGUGAGCAUUUUUAAUUGUCAUGUACAUUUUUCUAAAAGGCAGUAUUUAUUUUGUUGAAUUACGUGAGCAUUCUUUACACAUCUUGAACAUUUGCCCAUAUUUUUUUGAAACACAUGAACAUAUUUUUGAAUGCUAUAAACAUUUUUUAUAUCAUGCUGCAUUUGGUCUAUAUUAGUUUAAAUUAAGUCAAUGACAAUUAAUAUGGAUCAUAGAGAGUACAAUUUUGUACAUGAUGUUUAUACUUUUAUAUUUCACUUUCAACAUUUUUUAUUUAUUAAACUCUAUUGUGUUUUUGGAAUAAGUGUAUUUAGAAUAUUUUUUAAAAAAUGUAAAUAAAAUGGAGCGAAUAAAGAAGCAGAGAAGAAAAACGAAGGCCGGCCAAAUGCAUGGCGUUCCCUGCCUCAUACCUGCAAAUCAAGCUAAGCAGCGGGUGACAAUUUUUUACACAAUGUUUAUAGUUUUCUAUUUCACUUUGAACAUUUCAAAAUUUUAAGGAAAUUAUUAUUUUUAAAUAAAUGUUUUUAGUUUUUUUAAUAAAAAAGUGAAAAAAAAGGAAAUUGAGCGAAUGAAGAAGCAGAGAAGAAAAACGCCCUUUCUUUCAUCAACUGAACUGCGUGCGUGCAGGGAAGGGCUAUCAUCUACACUUAAGAGGAGUGACUUACCUAUCAUUGUGGAGAUGGACUCUAUUCUUGCGGUCAAACUGAUCCAAUCGAGGGAUUUGGACAAAUCUAUUUAUGCUUGGAUAGUUAUUAAGGUGAUCAAGUAUGUUUUGGGGAUUCGUGGUUCUUGUAUUACCCAUGUAAAUCGCUCUCAAAAUAAAGUUAGUGACUGCUUAGCUAGAUUUGCUAAAUUAGAAGGACAAACCAUGACUUGGGUUGGUUCUGGUCCAGAUGUUGCUAUUGAGCUAGCUGUUGCUCAAUGUAUGGACACCAUGAGUUGAGUAAUGCAAAAAAAAAGUUUGCGCAGAAUUAUUUUCGAUUUUUUUUGAAAAUUUUAAAUAUGGUUUUUCUUUUUUUCUUAAAAAAAACCACACAAAUUGGCAUUCGUUCCCUGCCUCAUAUCUCUACUCCUAAUGGACGACUUGGUGAAUAGUCUCCAUGGUUUAUUUUCGCUGGUUGUCGGUGUCAAAACCGGCGGAUCUCGGGUAGGGGGUACCGAAGUGUGCGUCUAGGCGGAUGGUAACAGGAGACAAGGGACACAGUGUUUUUACCCAGGUUCGGGCCCUCUCGAUGGAGGUAAAACCCUACUCCUGCUUGAUUAAUAUUGAUGAUAUGGGUAGUACAAGAGUAGGUCUACCACGAGAUCAAGGAGGCUAAACCCUAGAAGCUAGCCUAUGGUAUGAUUGUUGUAUGAUGAAGUUGUCCUACGGACUAAAACCCUCCGGUUUAUAUAGACACCGGAGAGGGCUAGGGUUACACAAAGUCGGUCACAAUGGUAGGAGAUCUGAAUAUCCGCAUCGCCAAGUUUGCCUUCCACACCAAGGAAAGUCCCAUCCGGACACGGGACGAAGUCUUCAAUCUUGUAUCUUCAUAGUCCAGGAGUCUGGCUGAAGGUAUAGUUCGGCUAUCCGAACACCCCCUAAUCCAGGACUCCCUCAGUAGCCCCUCAACCAGGCUUCAAUGAGGACGAGUCCGGCACGCAGAUUGUCUUCGGCAUUGCAAGGCGGGUUCCUCCUCCAAGUCCUUCAUAAAAGAUUAUAAACACUAAGGAUAGUGUCCCGCUCUGCAAAAUAAGUUUCCACAUAUUGCCAUAGAGAGAAUAAUAUUAACACAAAUCUAAUCUACUGACGUAUUCCGUAGCGUGACAUCACACUGCGACCAAGUCUUUAUUCGAAUCGUUUUUACUUCCCACCUCAGCGUGUUUUGCGAGGCGGUUUCCUUGGCACGUCUUGUCAAAGCAGAGAUCGUGUCCCCCUUUAUUUACGAGAUUCUCAUCAAUACGGAUGUGGGUAACCCAACCGCGCCAUUUAUCACGGCGCUUGGGAGAUAAGCGAGUUUUACCAGGCUGGUGGGGACGCUUGGCCGCAUCCGCCCAUAUAAGGGGAUAAGGAUCCACCUUUUUACCCACGCCUUCUUCCUCCUUUGCCUAUCCGUCUUUUGCGCACUCGAGCUCCAGCGCCCAAGCCCGCACUUCCCACCUCAACCUUCUCCAGCAAUGUCCGGAGCGGGAGGCAAGUGGAUGGUCUCCUCCAUCACGGAGAGCCAUGUCAAAAAGCUAAGGAAGGCCGGAUACCUGUCUAACGACAUCGCGCACCGGCUUCCCGAAAAGGGGCAGCUCCUUCCUACCCCAAGGCCCCAUGAGAGGGUCGUAUUUCUUCCCCACUUCCUCCGCGGACUGGGUUUUCCUCUUCACCCAUUUGUCCGGGGGCUCAUGUUUUACUAUGGCAUGGAUUUCCACGAUCUGGCCCCAAACUUCGUCCUCAACAUAUCGGCGUUUAUCUUCGUGUGUGAGGCCUUCCUCUACAUCCGCCCCCAUUUCGGUCUUUGGCUCAAGACCUUUAAUAUCAAGCCGAAGGUUGUGCGAGGCAACCAGGUGGAGUGCGGAGGUGCCAUGGCGGGUAAGAUGGCCAACGUCCUAUGGCUCGAGGGCUCCUUUGUGGAGACCCUGAAGGGGUGGCAGUCAGGGUGGUUCUACAUCACCGAGCCGCACGAUCCGAAAUGGGUCGCAGCCCCUGAGUUCCGGUCCGGACCCCCUAUGCGGCUCACGUCCUGGAAAGAGACGGGCCUGUCAUGGGGCAACGAGCGAGAGGUGACCGGACUGCAAACAUGCAUCCAAUCCCUGGUGGACAAGCAGCUCAAGCUUGUCAAUGUAGUCCAGGUUAUGCUCGUCCGCCGGAUCCUCCCGUGUCAGCAACGAGAUUUCAAUUUGUGGGAAUUCGACCCGGCGCAGCACCCGACCCUGAGUAGUCUCUUCGACACGACGUACGAAGAUGCCUGGAAGGUGCUAACCAAAGGCGCCGAGGCUCCCGCAUCCGCUUCCGAGGACCGCGGAUUCAGCUCGCAGCCUCACGCUAGCGAGGUAAGCCAUUUUCACCUUUUACAGGAUGCUAGUUUUUCAUAGUUUGACUCUAUGCGGGAUUCGAACUCCCUCACCUUUGACAGGCUUGGCAGGCAAAGUCCGGAUAGAUCAACUGUCCGGCUCCUUUGCCCGAAGACCCAGCUAUCGCUCGAUUGGCGAAGCUGCUGGCUCCGGCACCUUACGCGGUGUGGGAGAAGAAGGUCAAGAAGAAGACCACGGGGACUCGAACGAGUUCCCGGCGUAUGGUUGUGUCGGAUUCAUCAUCCGACGAAUCCGAGACGCACUCCUCCCGUAAAGACGAGGAGGAGGAAGAAGAAACCUUUCCCCCUCCAGCGGGGGAAGGAAAGAAGAGGAAGGCCGCCCCAACAGGGGAGGCCGAAGGGUCCAAGAAGGGGAAGACCCUUCCCCCGGACUGCUCCACCGACACCGACGAGGGUGAAGAGGAGUGGCCGCCAAGGGCCAGGCGCCCGGCGGGAUCGUAAGUGUUCGGAUACCAGAGUAACUCAUGAUAUUCCUUUGCCGCACAGCUUUCCCUAAUGUCGAAUGUAAUCAUGCAACCCGCCCAAGGACGGGCUCGACAAGUCGUCGAGCGGCUCCCUGGAUUCAUCGGACGUGAAUUCAGUUUCGCCCGCUGCCUCUCCCCACGCCGCGGACGACGCCGAAGUGGCGUCGCAACAAGCUCCGGGCCAAGAAGAGGUGGUCCUGGAGGAGCCGCGAGGCGACCUCCCGGACUCCGGGGGUAAAGGGGACAAAAACCCCCAGGGCUCCAAGUCCGGCUUUGUGCCGUACACCGCGCCGGAAUCCUCAACGGUUCCGGACUAUGAAAGGCGACCUCCUUCUAAGAGGAGCAAGCCUACUGAGCCGGCGGCCUCCGUCCAACCGGAGGCGCCGGACAAUCUGCUGGAGGUGCUUAAGGGCACCUCCAUCGACGAGGAGCACCGUACUAUCAUGAGUACGGUGGUCCAGAAGGUUCAGUCCGCCAAGAGCGGACUGACUGAAGCAUGUGCUAGCCUUCUAACAGGCUUCGAGGUAAGUAAAAAUAUGUAAAAAUAUUACCGCAUAGACAGUAGCCCCUGAUGCUUUGUUUGGCGUUCGGAAAGAAAAGCCGAAUAGAGGAUCUAAUAAAUUUCGCAGGAGUCUAACAAAAAAGAGUCAAUAUGCGUAUGCAGGCUUCGUUGCUUGCGACCGCCGCACUGACUGCGGAGGUAGACACCCUGAAGCAGGUUCUCGAGCGGUCCGAGCAAGAGCUCGGCCUUGCCAAGUGGCAGCUUGAGGAGAAAGAAGGUAAAGAAUACCUUAUAGAAAAUAUAUAUGAAAAUAUGCAAUUGCAAAAAAUGACAGGAUUGUGCUUCUUAUUGCAGGGGCCACAACUGAGGUGGCAACCCUCAAGCAGGCGCUGGCCGAGGCCGAGAAGAGAGCAACCUAAGAGCGCACCGAGCGUGAGAAAGUUGAGGCCCGGGUCGGCGAGGCACAGCAAGAGCUUCAGGCUCUCAUGAAAAAACAUGAGAGUUUGGAGCUUGACUCGAAGACGCGAGCGUCCGAGGUUGCGGCGGCCAUCGAGGCUGCCAAAUCUGCCAAGGCCGAAUCCCAGAAGGCCCUCCAGGAAUUGGAUGUGGUGAAGAAGAUAGCGGCGGGUAAGGCAUUCUUUAUGCAAAGCAAACAUACGAAAGUAAGCUACUUGUUACUUACCCGAAUCCGGAGCUCUCCAGGGGCAUUCGCAGAUCUUCCCCGUAGCGUGUCUGAUGCCACCGCAUUCUACCGAGCUGAAGAGGGCAGCUCGACGGAGAAGGUGUUCUGGUCUCAAUAUGCUGAGGCCGAACACUCCGUGCCCUUGAGCGACCAGCUGAAGCAGCUGGUCGAGCUCCACAAGGCGGCCGAACAGGCCAUGAAGGGCUUCGUAGUUCGGCUGUGGCCUGGAGAGGCCCUGCCUGGGAGUUACUUCGGACUGGUGCGGCGGCUGGUGGAGGCCUGUCCAAGGCUCGAGGUUAUCAAGCGCUCCGUCUGCAUCGAAGGUGCCCGGAGGGCCCUUGCCCGUGUUAAGGUGCACUGGGACAAGCUGGACGGCGAGAAGCUUGUAAAGGACGGGCCUCCGCCAGGGAAGGAGCAUCGCAAACCCGAGAACUAUUAUAAGGAUGUUCUUAAGGGUGCCCGCCUCAUGGCAGACGAAUGUACCAAGGAUGUAAUUUUUGAAUGAACUCGCUCGUAUUGUCCUGUGCACUAAAACCUUAUUCAUAUGCGCUAAGCCAUGCUUUUUGAAUUUAAAAUAUUACUUUCUGUGCGGCCGUUUAUCAGAAAUUGAGAGAUGGCUAGUUGUCGGCUUCCUCCCCCAUGCCACUAGUGCUGGGGUGUUCGGGAUAAACCUGAGCGCUCUUUUUCCCAUGUUUGGGUCCGUCGAGGGAGGCGCUCAGCAGAACGAACAAGGCAAUCAGACUAUAAUGCUUGAACACUCUCACUUAGCCAUAGAACUCUAUAAUUUUAAAUUUCGGCGAAGCCCCUAGUAUUCGGAAGACCUAGUUCGGGGCUCUAUCCACGCCUUGGCCGGACAAAAGCCGGCUCCUCGCUCUAAGCGGCAUAAGUCUUUAUGGACUCGAAAAACCUCUCGAACAGCGACCGGUCUCUCGCUUCAUCAUGACAGUUAGUUUUAGCUUUCUAUACUGAGGUGCUCAGCCCAGCUCAACUGGGGCACAAUCGCAGUAGUCCUCCUAGUGCUACCUUAGCCGAUAUAGCGGAACGUAAGGCACCAAAACAUAGGAGCCGGGCAAACCCAACUAUUGACCCAAAUCAUGAUUCGGAGCCGAUGCAUAUAGUGCUAUAAGUUCGGGGUGCCGCACUUGUGAAAGUGUUCGGACUUCUCACGCCAUAUGAAGGGGUACUGAAGCCCCUGGCGUAUUCGCCGUACCACAGUGUACGGGUGCAACAUGUCAUUAAUAAACAUAUAUAUAAGAAAGAGAGUAAUGCAAAAAAUAGACAAAAGCUAUGCAUUGUUUAUAGAAAGGCUGCGAGCAAAAGCAGAACGAUACAAAUAGUGCGAUAAGCAAAAGGAAUUGGACUAUUUAACAUGUCCUGGCCAGGGGCAGGCCGCGGAACUGUAUUCAAAACAGGUAUACUGCUCGUAAUAAAGACCACCUGGGAGUUCCAUAGCGCGGCAUGGCUUGUCUGCUUUCCUGGAUCUUGCAUCGUGUGUGCGGCGGUUGAAUUGCCGAACAGGUCACCCGAAGUAUGGAGUCCUGAAAGUAAAAGAAAAUUUAAAAAAGAAUUCGGCAUCCCCUAGUACGGUUUAAGCCGUGUUUUGGGCGUGCCGUGAUGGUGCCCCUCCCCCUGUGCCCAUCGUAUUUCGAGAGCGUAAUUAUGUACGCGGGGCGCUGGUCUCGCUGUUUCGCGAGGGAUGGGGUUGGGGCCGCAUUGCUACGCCUGCUCAGAACGUGCCAGGCGGUCUUGUUGUAGGUUACUCCGGGCGCGCUUGACAGUGUCCGGCCUUUUAACGGCCAGACUGGAUAACUGCCUACAGAGGCUUGUUUGAACUUUCGCUGCGAGGGCCGCUGUGUGCUCCUCCGUUCGGAGGGAGCGUUCGGUGUUUCCAUUGACCGUGAUUACUCCUCGAGGACCUGGCAUCUUGAGCUUGAGGUAUGCGUAGUGCGGUACCGCAUUGAACUUUGCAAAUGCGGUUCGCCCGAGCAGUGCGUGAUAGCCGCUGCGGUGGGACUAUGUCGAAGAUUAACUCCUCGCUUCGGAAAUUAUCCGGGGAUCUGAAGACCACUUCAAGUGUGACUGAGCCUGUACAGCUGGCCUCUACACCUGGUAUGACGCCUUUAAAGGUUGUUUUGGUGGGCUUAAUCCUCGAGGGAUCUAUGCCCAUUUUCCGCACUUUAUCCUGGUAAAGCAGGUUCAGGCCGCUGCCGCCGUCCAUAAGGACUCUUGUGAGAUGAAAUCCGUCAAUAAUUGGGUCUAGAACGAAUGCGGCGAACCCGCCGUGACGGAUGCUAGUGGGGUGGUCCCUUCGAUCAAAAGUGAUCGGGCAGGAGGACCAUGGGUUGAACUUAGGGGCGACUGGCUCCAACGCGUAUACGUCCCGUAAUGCACGCUUCCGCUCCCUUUUGGGGACGUGGGUUGCGUAUAUCAUGUUCACCGUCCGCACUUGUGGGGGAUAACCCUUCUGUCCACUGUUGUUCGGCGGCCUGGGCUCCUCCUCGUCGUCGCUACGCAGCCCCUUGUCUCUGUUUUCGGCAUUUAACUUGCCUGCCUGCUUGAACACCCAACAAUCCCUGUUGGUGUGAUUGGCUGGCUUUUCGGGGGUGCCAUGUAUCUGGCACAAGCGGUCGAGUAUUCGGUCCAAACUGGACGGACCCUGAGUAUUUCUUUUGAAUGGCUUUUUCCGCUGACAGGAUUUGUAGCCUCGGAAUCCGGCAUUGACUGCCGUAUCCUCAUUGCUGUCGCUGUUAACGCGACGUUUUUGCUUAUUCUGGCGCGACCUGCCACUUUUGUCCUUGGUAUCCGAAUUGCCAAGGUUCUUGGUUAAGUUGUUGCUGCGAGCUAGCCAGCUGUCUUCUCCCGUGCAAAAGCGGGUCAUGAGUGUCGUGAGGGCUGCCAUAGAUUUUGGCUUUUCCUGUCCAAGGUGCCGGGCAAGCCAUUCAUCGCAGAUAUUAUGCUUGAAGGCCUCUAAGGCCUCUGCGUCCGGACAGUCGACUAUUUGAUUUUUCUUUGUUAGGAACCGCGUCCAGAAUUGCCUGGCCGAUUCCUCUGGCUGCUGAAUUAUGUGGCUUAGGUCAUCGGUGUCCGGUGGUCGUACAUAGGUACCCUGGAAAUUGUUGAGGAAUGCGGCUUCCAGGUCCUCCCAAGAACCGAUUGAAUCUGCCGGCAAACUGUUAAGCCAAUGCCGGGCCGGUCCCUUAAGUUUGAGCGGGAGGUAUUUGAUAGCAUGUAGAUCAUCGCCGCGGGCCAUGUGGAUAUGAAGGAGAUAAUCCUCGAUCCAUACCGCAGGAUCUGUAGUGCCAUCGUAUGAUUCGAUGUUUACGGGUUUGAAACCCUCAGGGAUUUUAUGAUCCAUUACUUCAUCUGUGAAGCAUAGUGGGUGUGCGAUGCCUCUGUACUGGGCUAUAUCACGACGCAGCUCAAGGGAGCUUUGUCUGCUGUGUUUGGCCCGACCGAAUUUAUCGUAUCCGGAGUGACGAUUAUCAUCACGUGCCGUGCGGCGCCUGCGUGAUCCGUAGAUCGAUCUUGUUUGUCUUGCCUUGCCUCCAGUAUUUCUCGUAGGUCUGGCACGUUUUCCCGUGCUUUAGUAUGUUUGGAGCGGCUCCGGGGUGCGGCCUGAGUGGAGGGCCGAGAGGCCUCUCUGUCAUGGCCACAAGGUGGCCGGUCGGCCAUGUCAUGCGCUGGUGAUGUAGGUGCUUCCUCCUCUAACUGGGGUAGCAGCCUGUGCUUUGGGUAACUCUUGGAGGGGCGUUCGAGUUCAUACUCUUCGGCCGCAAGGACUUUAGUCCAUCUGUCAGCUAGCAAAUCUUGAUCAGCUCUAAGCUGUUGCUGCUUUUUCUUGAGGCUAUUUGCCAUGGCCAUAAGCCUGCGUUUGAAAUGCUCUUGUUCGGCGAGAUCCUCAGGAACGACAAAUUCAUCGUCGUCAAGGCUUGCCUUGUCUUCGUAGGGAGGCAUAUAAUUAUCGUCCUCAACCUCUCUGUCUGCCGCUCUCUCAUGAGGGCUGGCUUCCCCAUCCUCCUGUGCCGAAUCUUGCUGGAGGGGGUGUUCUUCGGUGCUAUCUGGAGUAGUAUUAUCUCCAGUGUCGGAAUCACAGUUUUUGCUUUGGCGGGAUUUAGAUCGGCGCCGCUGACACCGACGCUUUGUCUGUUUCUUGGAUGUGUCAUCCUUCGCUGUUCCAUCGCGAUCUCCAUCUUUUGGAGUGUCCACCAUAUAUAUGUCGUAGGACGAGGUUGCCUUCUAGUGCCCUACGGGUGCUGGUUCUUGGUCGUCUCCCGCAUCGCCGUCCAUACCGUCGAUGUCUUCGGAGUCGAAGUCGGGCAUGUCGGUUAAGUCGUCGACAGUGGCUACGAAGUGGGUGGUGGGUGGGUUUUGAAUUUCUUCAUCGUCCGUAUCCCAACCUUGCUGACCGUAGUCCGGCCAGGGCUCUCCUGAUAAAGAGAGAGACUUUAGAGACUUUAGAAUAUCGCCAAAGGGCGAGUGCUAAAAGAUGUCCGCGGCAGUGAACUCCAUAAUCGGUGACCAAUUGGAUUCGAUCGGCAAGAGCACGGAGGGCUCGGAGUUCGGAGAGGAAUCCGGCUCCUCGGAGUCACGGGCUGAGCGGAGUGCGGGGAUGGCAUUCGGUUCGAUCGCCUUUGGGAUCGCAGCCCCCGAGGCGGUGUCCAACCACUCAUCAUCGAUCGGCGCAGUAGGCUCCGAACUAAGGGUCGGGACCAGUGCGUGUGCGGCCUCCAGGAUACUAUUCGGCGGCAGAUCUAUAUCAUGCCCAUCGAGACAGUGUGGCACGCUUGGCUGUGGCUCGAAUCCGUCGAAGAUCAAGUCCCAGCGGAUGUCGGCCGUGUAGUUUAAACUUCCAAAUCUGACCUGAUGGCCAGGGGCGUAGCUUUCGAUCUGCUCAAGGUGGCCAAACGAAUUGGCCCGCAGUGCGAAGCCGCCGAAGACGAAGAUCUGUCCGGGGAGAAAAGUCUCACCCUGGACUACAUCGUUGUUGAUGAUCAAAGGAGCCAUCGGGCCUAAAAGCGACGACAUAGAGGAACUCUCAAUGAAAGCACCAAUGUCGGUGUCAAAACCGGCUGAUCUCGGGUAGGGGGUCCCGAACUGUGCGUCUAGGCGGAUGGUAACAAGAGACAAGGGACACAGUGUUUUUACCCAGGUUCGGGCCCUCUCGAUGAAGGUAAAACUGUACUCCUGCUUGAUUAAUAUUGAUGAUAUGGGUAGUACAAGAGUAGAUCUACCACGAGAUCAAGGAGGCUAAACCCUAGAAGCUAGCCUAAUGUAUGAUUGUUGUAUGAUGAAGUUGUCCUAUGGACUAAAACCCUCCGGUUUAUAUAGACACUGGAGAGGGCUAGGGUUAUACAAACUCGGUUACAAUGGUAGGAGAUCUGAAUAUCCACAUCGCCAAGCUUGCCUUCCAUGCCAAGGAAAGUCCCAUCCGGACACGGGACGAAGUCUUCAAUCUUGUAUCUUCAUAGUCCAGGAGUCCGGCUGAAGGUAUAGUUCGGCUAUCCGAACACCCCCUAAUCCAGGACUCCCUCACUGAUUUUUUUCGUCAUCCUCCCACCUCACGGUUUAAAAAAAACCAACCAAAACCAGAGGCCCGUCCCAUGAAACGAAACCCAAUUUGCCCCCGUACCACCACUCCUCCCUCUCCCUCGACCUCCCUGUUCUAGGGUUCCCCGCCACCACUACGGCAGCCGCCGCCGAAUCCUAGGUCGCCGCACACCGUCGCCGCCGCCGCAAAUCCCCAGGGACACCGCACGCCACCGCCGUUGCGAAUCACCAGAGACGCCGCACGCUGCCUCUGCGGAUCCCCAGGGAUGCCGCCGCCACCGCCGCGGAUCCCCAAGGGCGUGGUCGCGUUGUACUAGACAAAGUGUGGUCGCCGCCGUCCUCUCCUCGUCCGACCUUGACCUUAUCCCUUCGUCUCCGGUGACUCCUCCGUGGCCCGGUGGGCGCCAACUGUCGUGGAAUUGUCACGGCAGAUGUCCUAGUGUGAGGCCAACACAUCUAUGUGGUAGCUUGAAGGGGUUGGUCGGAAUCGAGAGAUGCGAGGCGGAUCAACACACAAGACAAGGAUUUAGACAGCUUCGGGCCCCGGGAAACAUCAUCCAGUAAUAGCCCUACAUGCUAUUUGUGGCUAGCUCUCAUUAUGCUCGCGAGGGAGUCGCCGUAAACCGGCUCUCCUAGUUAUGUCUAGCCCUAGAGAUUGUUUCUUCUUGCUUGUCCCUCUUUGGGGAGCCUUGUCCCUCCUUAUAUAAGUUAGAGGGGCGGGUUACAUGUGGAGUCCUAUUAGGAUUAGGACUAGUCUACCUUCUAAUACAAACCGGAUACAAGUCCAGGUCUUAACUCCUUGUAAGACAAAUAUUUCUCACGCCUUUCCUCUUAAAUCGGCCCACCAUAACAUGAGCCAGCCUUCUGGGCCUUGGGCCUUGUCAUCCGUCUGUCCUGCCCGCCGGGUUACCAGUGAAUCAUAAUGUUCAGUCAGGUUGCUUGUAAACCAUCUGGUCAGUGCGGGUCGCCGGUGAAUCGCCAAGUCCGGUCGGGUUAUACUUCCAGCCGGGUUACGUCGGGGGUAUAUCCCUGACAUCUCCCGUGAUAUCUGACGAUAUAUUUACAAGUAAUGCACAUGGAUGGUCCGUCCGUGAUUUUAGGGUGGGUUAGUCGGUUGGAAGAUUUGUUAGUUAGCCUAUUCAUAGGUAGCACGAUGCUCUGGUGCUGUUGUUAGGGUUUGCUAGCCCAGCGGAGGAGUCCCUAGUUCUUCUCUUACCCAAAGGAUUACGACCACCGUCUGUCAUUGCCGCAGUCAUCUGGCACCAAAUCAACCAUGUCAUUGUCGAGCUCGAUUAGGUGCGCGCUGAGGGGCCGAUCAGUUGAUGUGCCCCUGAUCCCUUGCCCUGACUGUGGUGAAACGGUUAGAUUCUAUCUCUCUAGUACCGAAGAGCAUGAUGGUUGGGUGUUCUACAAGUGCAAACACCACGAUGUACAAUCCCUUUACACUUUGGGUUGACAUUUACUGCAUGAGUAAUUCUUUCUACUGUUUCGUUAGUGCUGGUUUGAUUUGUGUUCACUUGAUUCAUAAGAUCCAUGUGAUUUCUGGCGCUGGGAACUAGAGUACGUGUAUCAUCUUGUUGGUACAAGUGUCCUUGUUGGUGCUUAUGCCCUUGAUGCAAUGGCUGCGGCACAGGAUAGAAGGGAACAACUACAGCGCACAAAAAAACAGUGGGAAAAGAAUGCAUGUACCAAGAGUGGCAACAUUGGAGGCAGGACAAAUUACAGUCAGAGCAAUGUGGCAACCAUUACGAAGCACCAAGCUUAUACGAUGUUAGGACUAGGGAGACAAAUUGUUUUCACGCUGAAGCUCUGUUGAUGACUAGUGUAAUGGUGUUGUGUGUGAUGUUGAUUGUGAAGAAAUAAUAUAUUUGUGAUCGUAUCAAGGUGAUUAUCAUGGUUACAUGUAAUAACAGCUUAAUAAGAAGAUGUGUUCUAACAUGAUAACUCUUAUACGCCCCAACCCUAUUUUAACAUGACAGGUAAGAGUAAGAAAUAAAUCUUACACAAUGAUUCCAUGAAAUAGUUGUUUUGAUUAUUUCUUACCUUCUUGACUAUUAUGAGAAAAUAAGAGGUAAGACGGAGCAUGUUAAAAUUGCUAAAAAAUAAUGAAUAAACCGAGUUGCAAUGAAGGCAAUCGAAUGGAAAAACGUAAACGACCAUUUAAAUUCUUGCCCACUAUGUUGUGCAUGAACACAAGAGUACCAUGAAAUAAAAAUAAAGUAUGUCGUUACAGCAAUGACUUAAAAAUCCCUUAAUUUAUUUUCACACACUACGUUUUGCCAAAACUACUCUAGAGGCACAUCAGGAACAUGGGAAACAAAUAGAUAAAUCCCAUGAUCUCCCAGGUACAGCAACAUGAGCACCUUCUGUCCUAACAACAAGAGUUUUUCCUUCUGCAUGAACUCGUUCAAUUUGUUGACGCAUACAUGACCAUCAAUAUCAGAAAUGGUGUAUGUACUUGACACAGUAUUGUGUGGAUGAUAAACAAUGGUUAUGGCACCAUAUUCCUCCAUUUCUUCGGGGACAACACGAUUAGGCAGUUUCUGUUUGAAAACAAUAUUUGUUACAUCAACACGUGGCAACUUAAUGUUAUGUAUUAAAGGAAGAACAAUUAAUUUGGAACAAAGCUAAAAACAUACUGAAAUGACACAAAGUGAAUGAAGUACUAAAAGAUGGUUACCGAGAAGUUCUUGUUGCAAUUUGACCAUGUCAACGUAUGGAGGAAUGCAUAUGCUCUCCCUGAUCAUAGUUUCCAGCAUCAUGACGCUCCACUAACUUUUCAAGGUCCAUCACUUGGCGUAUGACAUACUCCAUUAUUCUCCAGUUUAAGCUUGUCCCCUCAGUUACAGCGACAUUGUCAAUAAUAUCUCUUUUCUCAUUGGACAAUUGGUAGUAUGCUACAAUAUUAUAGCACAGACAAUUUAAUUUAUUAUAUAUGGUAUAUGAUAAAGUUAGAGUAAUAAAACUUGCAGGAGCAAAAAAUUAUCUUACUCAGAUGUAUGAUAGGCAAAUUCCCAGUUGUCAAUACGCUACUUGGUACUUCUGAAUUCUCAGUACUGAACGUAAUCUCCUGACCCACAUGUAGCGUGUAAACUCUAACAAAUUCCUUCCAAGACUUCCCUGAAAUGUAUGUCAACUCAUUGUCAUUGGUAAUCACACAUGGGAAUUCAAACCCCUCAUUGGUACUGAAACUUGCUUCAAAGUUCCCAUAUUUUCCCAAGGACACUCCAAAUUUCUGUGUGAAACUGUAUCUGUCGUAGCAGGGAUUACCUGAGUAGCAUAUCUACGAUUGUUAAUAUAUAUGAACUACCUGUUAAUUUAAAGAAUUUGUUCAAUCAUAGAUGACUAGCAUAGUAUAGUUCACUACUUCUUAGCAGUAUUAUCAUAUAACCCCAUAGAAGAUUUAAAUUAACAUGCACGUACACAAAACCAUUUUAUCAUCUAAGAAAUCAAGAUGUAAUAUAACUCUUUUUGCAGUAAACAUUACGAACAACUGACUGAGUACAAAGGGUCCGAGUACAAUAUUCGUACAAUAUUACUGUCUCCGUCCAAAAAUUUGUGGACAAAUUUUUGUACAUAUGGAUGUAUCUAUGCAGAAAACAUGACGAGAUACAUGCGUAUCUACAUGGAUCUAACACAUUAAUUUUGGAUCGGACGGAGUACUAAAUUUCUCAUGAUAUUUGCUACGGGUCAUGUCAGACUGGAUCUUACUGUCUUGUUUGCAAAUCCCGCGCGCACGGUGAUGGUACAAAACUCCCUCAUACAAUGCUCACCGGGACACAAACCCUUGGUGUCCAAACAAAUGCCACACUCCAAAUCGAGAUCAAUCUCAUUACUAGUACGCACAGUCUUAAAGAUUAGUGCUAGCAGUUGAAUUUAGAUCUGACAGAUUCUAUAGUGCAAAUACGUACCGCGCUGAUCUCCUUAACCAUUUUCACUCGAGAGAGGGACGUGAGGAGGAGGGGGCGAAAAGAGCAGUCACUUCCGACCCCUAAGCUGAUGAUGGCGGCGGCGGCGUCCGAAGAUUUCAAAAAGCGCGUAUGCCCGGCGUCUCCGAUCUUAUAUUGGAGCGGUCGUGGAGGUGGUAGGAGGCCCCGGUGCCACGGGUGGUUAGGAGGAAGGCGGUGCAAUCACGGGAUUUCGGGAGAGGUGGCGUGCGUGAGUUAUGGGAUCUUUUAACAUAUAUCAUCAAGAUUAAAAAACAUUAUGUUGUGCUAAAAAAUACAUUUCAUAAGGGUGAACUAGGUUUUUGGUUCGAAACAAGUAUGAAUGAUAUAUAAUUCCAAAAUUGGACUUGUCCAUUUUCCAAAUAAGUUUCACAACUAUACAUGCCAUGACCAAUGCAAGCAAGCAUGCAAAAUGGUUUUUAGUUUAGCGAAGUUUUUCAUUUUCGGACGAAAAUGCCCGAAUGUGGCCGUACGUGACAACACUUGCAAUCAUUGCCAAAAAUGGUUCAAACUAGGCAUGGAGGCGUACAAUGGCCAUGAAUUGUCACCGCAAAAAAGUUUUGUUGACUUAAGAUAAUUGAACAAAUCAUCGAGCAUUUUCGGAGGGUGCCAGGCUAGCCCGGAAGGGCGAGUCCGGGAGCACCUCCAUGUUAACACCAUAUACAAAUGAUUCCAACUUUUUUUCAUGCCCUCCCAUGAGCAAAUCAAGCAAACAUGCAAAUAUGGUUCUCAGUUUCGACAACUUCUCCACGUAUUGGGAUUUUUUUAUAUCGAAAAUGCCCGAAAACUGGCCCCACGUGACAUUAGUUGCAAACUUUACUAAGAAUACUUCAAACUUGGCAUGGAGGACUAACAUGACCAUGAGUUGUUACCCCAAAUUUUUUGUGUUGAUUUAAGAAAGGUCAACAAACCAACAUGUGUCUUCUCAGAGGAUGCCAUCUUAGCCCAAGGGAAGGGCGCGUAUUGGAUCACCUCCGUCUUUACAAUAUCUACAAAUGAUGCCAACUUUUAUUUCAUGAUCUCCCAUGAAAAAAAAACAAUAAUGCAUUCACAAAGAUUUUUAAUUUGGCCAACAUUUAUAAUCCUUCUGCAAUUUCGAAGCGAAAAAGAAACAUCGCCUGCAUGGUCUACCCCCUAGCCACACAUCGAAAGCAUGGGGCACAUGAUGCAUUACACUUUGUUUGUCUUAUGGUGGACCUAGUUGACACACCAAGCCUAGUUGGAUCAUUGGCCUACACCGGGUUCCAUGUCGUGUGAAACCUCGGGAACAUCAACUGCACCCGUCUAGAACCUUCGAACUGCACUGUCCACUUUGUGAAGCAAGUACAACAUGAAAUUUGUGAAAUUUCCCCAAGAUUUUAAAGUGCAUCUCAUGAAAAAAUCAAGUAAGCAUGCAAAAAUGCUAUUCAGUUUACACAAAAUUUUGCAUGUACGGUAAUUUUUUUGGCCGAAAAUACUAGAAAACUGGCCACAUGUGAAUCAUAUUGCAAACUUUACAAAAAAAUGGUUCAAACAUGGCAUGGAGGCCUAACAUGGCCUUCAAUACUCACCCCAAAAAGUUGGGUCGAUUUCAUACAGGUCAGGAUAGUACUAUAGCAUCUGCUCUCAAAGCGCGCCAGGCUCGGCCGGAAGGGCUUGUGUUGGGGAACCUCCAUGAUCACACCAUCUUCAUAUUUGGUCAAAUAUAUUUCAUGGCCUCCCAUGACCAAAUGAAGCAUGCAUGCACAAUGGUUGUAAGCUUCUACUAGAUUUUCCAUUUUCUUCCAUUUUUCGAUCAUAAAUGCCCGAAAAGUGGCCGCAACUGCCAAAACUUGCAAAUUUUGCUGGAACUCGUUUUAAUGUUGUCCUAGAAGCCUGUAAUGUAACAUUUUCCUUUGCAUGUCAUAAGUUGGGUUCAAUCCACAUGAAGCAUGAUCUACUUGGUUUGUACAUUCGACAGUGUAGUCGCGCUUCUGACCGGGAGCAUCACGAAAAUUCUCGACGGAGGCAGCACGUGUACCGCAUCGACUCCAUGGAUGGAAUCCAGUCUGAACCAAUGUUCGCACUUGGUAUGGUGUCAAUUAGGUCCACCCUUAGGUAAAGAAGCUUGAAGGCAUCAUGUGCUACCACUUUUGAUGGUUGUCUAGGGGGGUAGACCGUCUGGGAGGAAAUGAAAAAAAUCAUGAAAAUCAUGUGUAACCUUGAACGCACUGUGGAUGCAUGCUUGAUUUGGUUCAUGGGAUGGCAUCAAAAUAACUUGGAAUCCUAUGUACAUGGUGUAUUGAAGGAGAUGGCCCGAGAUGGGCCCUUACGGGCUAUCCUUGUACCCUCCGAAAGCACGUGUUGGUUUAUUGACCUAUAUUAAAUGACCGUCAAGUUUGUAGGGUUACAAUCCAUAGCCAUGUUAGGGAUACAUAUGCCAAGUUUGAACCAUUUUCAUCUAAGUUUGCAAGUUUUUUCAUGUGUAAAUCUUAGUCUAAACUGAGAAGCAUUUCAGAUGGUAGCUUGUUUUGGUCAUGGGAUUCCAUGGGAAAUAGUAGACAUCAUUUUGUAUUGUAGAUGAUCUACUAACCAUGGGGGUGCCCCCAAACACGUCCUUGCGGCCUUGACAUGCACCCUCCGAAAUCACAUGUUGGUUUGUUGACCUACCUGAAAUCAACCCAACUUUGCAGGGUUGCAAGCCAUGGUAAUUAUUGGGGUACGUACAAAUUUCAACCAUUUUCAGCAAAGUUGCAAGUUUUGUCACGUACGAACAAUUUUCGGGCAUUUUCAGAACAAACAACAUAUUUUAUACCACUUAAAAAAUGCAUUCCUUUCUCGACGACACAUUUGUUUUUUCUUCGGAACAUUACAUUUGUUUUGCCCAAUUACACAUGCUAAUGUUUCAACCUCCCAUAAUUCACGCCACCCAGAUCUCCCGAAAUCCCACGAUUACAGCUCCUCCCUCGUAACCACCCGCGGCAUCCAGGUCCCGUACCACCUCCCGCGACUGCUGGAAGAUCAGAUUGUAGCCGCCGCCCACCAGGAACAUCGCCUAAGGGGUUGGACGACAGUGGUGUUGUCGCCGUCUCCUACGUGCGUCAACGCGCGCUGCUCAUGUUGCUGCCGUCGAGCGCCACACAUCCACAUCUAGUGUGGGACGCACUAUCCGCGUGGAGCAUUGGGCCGCCACCGUCGAUGACAGAAGGUUACGUGAUCAUAGCUCUUUUUGUAAUCUUUCUCGGACACGCACGUCUACUAGUAAAGCCCUAAUAGGUUUCCCACAAGUUAUUCCAGUCGUCAAGAUUACCUGAUGAUAGCUCUCAUUAAUAACUAUCAACAUGAUCAAUCUUGGCACACUACACGAAUGUCCGAAGAGGUAAUACCACAACAAGGGUAUCUCUUUCAUGAAAUAACAUGUCGUAUGUUUAUGCAAUCCCAAAACCCUAGUUGAACUGUCCCAGUGUUAUGCAUGACCAAAAUCUGUAGUGUGCUUAAAGUUACAUGUAGUUCAUAUUAUUUAAUAAACUCAUCCGUGCCCGCGUAUAAGAUUCUAUUUUUGUUACACAUUUCUCAAUGUGAAGGUCAAAUAAAUUGAACCGGUUUUGCUUCUGUUCCAUAGGUGCAGUAAAAUGGAAACUACUGUUAAAAGUGCUACUAAUGGAGAAAAAUACGUCUCCGAAAUGACCGAUGAGGUACAUAGUUGACAUUUCGUUUGAAAACUGUACUUGCAGACACUUCUUUCAUACUCGAUAAAAUCUAUUGCCACUUUUGCAGGAAAUCUUGUGGAAACACGGCCAUACGAAUUUAGUGUGAUCACCGUCAAGGCUCGCCAAAGUCAUGAAAUUGUUGUCACCAGAACACAUAGAGAAAAUCAUAAGCGAUACCGGUCUUGGGUGUCUAAACAUGAUUCGUGAAUUUAAACUCCGGUGCAUUAUGUUGGUAAGACUAACAAAGAGCUUCAAUAGUGAGACAUCGUCCAUUACCAUACGUAAAACACCCAUUCCUAUCACCGCAAAAGACGUGCACCAUAUAUUUGGCCUUGCGAUAGUAGGGGAGGAUAUUGAUGAAAAGCUGCAAAGCACGCCGGAUCCAAAUUUGUUUUAACACAUUUCAAAACAAUGGGAGCAUUGAUCUGGCUGACCUUGAGACAGCGAUCUUAAGUUCCAAAAGUCCGGACAAUGAUUUCCUGGCGCGGUUCAUUCAAUUCGCUAUUGGCACAGUAUUAGCACCAACAGCACAAUGUUAUGUCGACGCGAAAUACCUUAAACUUGUUGCGGAUAUUAAAAGCCUUCGAAAAUUGAACUAGGGAUGUUUCACAAUGAAACACUUGUUCAGGUACAUACACAAAUUUAGCUCUCUUGAUCAAGUAUCUCUACAGGAAAAUCUACCUCUGCUUCAGGUUAGUGCAACAUCACUAGUUAACAUUGUACAAUUCUUUUUCUUUUCUAUAUCUCUCUAUAUUGACGAAGUAAUUUAUUGUGAAGAUUUGGUACUGGGAGCACCUGCGUUCCGGCAAAUUGAUGUAUACUCCUAUACCCCCACCAUUGGUCGCACGAUGGGACGAAUGCACAUGUGUAAUAAGAGCAGAAGCUUACACCUCAGGAGGUCUUCAUAAAGGACUGGUGUGUUUCUAGAUUUGACCCAUGUAUAUAUCCGGUUAUUUAUUUGCUACUACUGAUUCAUUGUACCUGAUUCAAAUGUUGUGAUGGAAAUUUGUGCUCGACAACCAGAGGCCAACAAUAGAAAGGAUCCAGGAAGCAAAAAAAUUAUACGUGAGGAUGAAGGUGAUUCAUCUCGAGCACAAUCACAAGGUUAAAAUAUGAGUAGCCACCAAGUAAGCCCAACAAAGACAAUUUUCAUUUUCCAAGAUCAGUAAAAGGUUGCAUCGAAACUCAUUCAUUUUGCUUUGUUCUGAACGGGGUGUUAUUUUGUUUGCACAGGUGCAAAUGAUAGUUGCAGCCCUGAAUGGACGUUGUGCUGAGCAAGAAAAGAAUAUAGACAGACAGUUAAUGGAAUUUCAGCGUAGAUUUAAUGCGAAAUUCCUCACCCUGAGCGAAGAGUUAAUCGACAUUAAGAGUAAAUCUGGCAGUAAUCCUAGGCUCUCGCUGCUCAAGGACGAAAUUAAGAACUUAAGGAGGGAACUGAAGGUAUGUCAUGUUGUGCAUUUUUUAUUGUUAUGAAUAUGUUCCUCCAUAUUCAUUAUUGUUAUAAUUUUUAUAGGAAUUAAAAGAACCAAACUAAAGUCAGCCGACAAUCCGAGUCACAGAAAGCAGGCGUCGAGGUAAUAAUUAUGGCCCACCACAUAAGUAGUAUUACCAAACUAAUUAUAAUUGACCAUUUUUGUUGUUGUAGGAACAAGUCAAUGUGUGAAGUGAUCCCCUCAUGGCGACUCCUAAGUUCGACGCAUCCACGCCACGUACUUCGACUCCAACACCAAGUGCCAGACACGUCCUGCCAAACAAGGACGAUCCUCGAAUCACACCGUUCAAGCCUCUAUUUGAUAAUGAUUACGUGCUCACCGCUGAGGACAAAGAGGCAGCCAUUUUCAUCCGGGGAACACACGGCCCUGUUGAAGUCGUUCAAAUCGGAGACAUUCCCCUAAGAGCGGAACAACUGAAGCCAAUUUAUGAUAAAAAAUACAUCUAUGGUGAUGUAAGCCCCUUGUACUCCAUUGUACACGAACUAUUUGAACUGUUGGCACAUCAUUAUAUGAUUACAAAUUUGGCAGGUUAUUAUGGCAUAUGCUCACAUCAGCGGAGUUGAGACUGAUACUACCUCAGUCAUAUCCCCCUAUGAAACCAGAAAGCUUUUACAAACAAAAGGGGUUAUUCCAAAGGGCGUGGAAGCUCGUUGCUUCAGCGUAUUGCAAAUAAAUUUGUAGGAUGCCGGAAGGUACCUGUUUUCCUCACUUUCAUAUAUCGUAAUAGAUAGUGUAGAUGAAAUAUUUCAGGGGUUCCCCGAACCAUAAUUGUUACCUUAUAUACAUUAUUCUGUGGAAUGAGUCCUCUUUGACUUUAUGGCAGGUCCACAUCCCUUUUAAUGUGAAUGAUAACCACUGGAUGGCAAUGGUGUUUAAUUUCGACAAAGAAGAGAUUCAAAUCCUAAACUCCUUGAAAAAUCAAUUUGACGAGUCGAAGGAAACUGCUCUUGUAAGCUUUAUCUUGCUGCCUCUUUACUGUCGCAUGGCACAUGAACUCCAAAUCACCGUAACCCUUCAUAAUACUCGUAUUAUGCUAGGUGGAGGCGAUUCAAGCCUGCAUGGAUGGAGCGGUGAAGGAUGGCUUGGUAACAGCAGAUAAGCCCAUUAAUUUACCGACUGGGAAGUAGUACACUAUGAUGACAUACCGCAACAGAAUGACGGGUACGUACGACCUCCUAAAUUAUUCCUUGCCGACACGUCCAAGUUUACUAAAACCUAAACUAAACACUGCAGGCAUUCAUGUGCGUUUUUUACACUGAAGUACAUGUUGACAUGGAACAGUGAAGUAUUUACCGACAAAGUGGAGCAGGUGAGCAAAACACUAUAUUUUCUUGUAGAAUAUCUUAUGACUGAACGAUGUGCUGACAUAUGUGUCGCUUAUCAAAUGUAGUCAGAGAUAGAUAUAUUUAGCUGGAGAAUAGUUUCAAGCUUGCUGUGAUCAGAUUGCAACAGUCUUCGCAUGGAAACAUACAAGUACCCCAUAACAGUUAGCGAAAAAGCACGGAUAUUUUAUUGUAUUCACAUGUGUCAUGACACUACCGAAUGCACUGAUGUCUGCUGUACAGGCGGAGACGUAUGGAGCCCACGUUGCAUCGGUACUGUUGAGUGCAAGAUAUCAGACACGUCGAGCUCCCCAAAGGAUCCCGACCUCCCGAGCUCCCCCAAAAAGCGAAGAGCACGUGGACGCCCGAGGAAGCUUGUUGAUGAAGUGCAAGCUAAAAAAACAAAAACUAUGGAAGAGCUCAGAGUGAAAUUUGAUAGCAAGACCAUUGCUAAACAACUGUCUUCUUCGAUAUCAAGAUGAUCACGCAAGCCAUCACAUGCUAUAUCGAGCCCAUUCAAGUUAACCAAAUGGUAGUUUACGUAUGUACUGGGUAGCACUGUAGUUAGCACUACUUAUGAUACAUUUGUCAUUUACGAUUUGGUGAUUGAACUUUAUCAAACGUGCAUCGACGAGCGAUGAAAGAUGGCUUGCUAACAACAGCUAAGACCGUAAAAAGUAGGGUAUGAUAACAUACCUCAAUAUAGCAAUCUAUGUUGUCGCAGUACAUACUUUUGGCAAUCACGAACAUUAUAUAAUUUCGGCAAUUAGGGAUACAUGCUCAGUUCUUUUGGUUGAACUGCGAAUAGGUCAUUCUGCCAAUCAUUUGCAUGAUGUACUUUUGGCAAUAUAUUAUACAACCUAAGUGCAUGUCAAAAAAUGGCAAUGGGUACUUUUGGCAAUCAUGUGCAUGCUACAUUUCUGGCAAUUACUAAUGCAUGCUGAUUUGUUUUGCUUCAAAUGGCAGUAUGUACUCCUAGCGAACAUUUGUGUGCUCUACUUUUGGCAGCUAUUAAUACAGGAUCAUUUAGAAUGGUUUAACUGUCCAUAGAAAUAACUAGAAUAUCAUUAUUUCUGAACAUACCAAAUUCAGUGCAAGAUAUAGCAUUCGCAUCUUUAGUUAGAGUCAUAACAUAUAUGUACCACAUAUCACCAUAGUGGAGGUAUUAGGCAAGGUUGACCGCAAUGCACUUAUUAGUACAGGGUAGGUGCUUACAAGAUAAACAAUAGUUCAAUGAAGCAACAACACUUAUUAGUACAGGGUAGACACUUAAUUCGGCGCCUAUCAUGUACAAAUUGGCACUGCUGCUUCCGAAAACCAUGUUUAAUAUAGUUAGCAUGUACCUAAGCACGUAGCAUUGGAAGUUGGCCAUUACCAGAAAUGAGCAAUGUACUACCAAACACUUAAACAUAGCAUGUUAAACACUCGCAACCCAAAAGAUAAACUGGCACAUAAGUUCAAGCAGUACGGUGGGGCAGAAGUAUCACAUGACAACCAUAACAUAAAAACAGUCUUAACUAGGGUGGACCAGUAGUAACAACCAAGUAGCGCAUCAGAUCCUCGGCAUCUUGGCCGGACGAGGUGGCCUCGGGAGGUAGAAUGGAAGAUGCCCCUUCGCAUACUUCCCAAGGAAGGCAUCAAAAGCGGAAUGUUCAGCCCGACCGUGGGGCUUGCGGUUCCUCCCAUUACCACGGCUGAUAUCGGUGCCAUGCAUGAUCAGGUUGUCGUAGUCGCUCUUGAUUCUCGUGCAGCAGAAGGGGCAGGCUAUGUUGCUGUAGAGCUUGUCGGAGCCGCUGCGGUAUGGGAUUUCCCCAUUCCGCAACCUCCUGAGGACGUAGCGGCUCUUGCUUUCCCUCUUCUCCUUAAUAUCAUCCACGCCUUCGUCAUCUUCAUGUGUGUUAGUUGAUCGACAGCUAUGUCAGAUUAGGAAUACAGAAAUGUAGCAUUUCAUAAGAGUAUCAAGUACAUUCCGAAAGUAGGAACACAAAAAUAUGAUCAAUCAGAUGAUUCACACAACAUGUACCUCAUGUAUUGCUAUAUAUGUUUAUGUAUUAUUUGUUAUCUUUCUUGUUCUUUUUUCUUUGCUUGGAAAGCGUACCUGUUAUCCCCUGUAAAGAAGUAAUCCUAUUUGUACAAUCUAAGUUGACAAUUAACUAAAGGGUUCGGGUUUUAGGGUAUGAACAAAUCAUUUUACUGCAUUCAAGCACAUAUUUUAUUUCAUACUGAAAAUAGAUAAUUCCAAAAACAGGAUCAUUUCUUGCCAUUUCUUGCAACAAUAUUUUGUAUGAUCUGGUUUUAUCAUAAAGAGAUACCAGACAAUAUCUAAUUUAAUUAUAUUCAAACUAGAUGAGUACAUACUACAAAGUAAAACUACCGCAUCAACAAAGAAAAGAUUGCCCUCACUUGAUAUUUUGAAGACAACAAAUCAUAUGAAUCAUGUCAUGAAUUAUGUAUAAAAAGAGAAAUUUUUGACUGAGGUACAUCGGUUGCGAACAUAAGGAAUUAUGGCUUUAAUUACUCCUUGUUGCUAAUAAUUACAUAGGGUGCGUACAUAAGAAACUCUGCAAUGAAUUACUGAAGGAAAUAUGCCCUAGAGGCAAUAAUAAAGUUAUUAUUUAUUUCCUUAUAUCAUGAUAAAUGUUUAUUAUUCAUGCUAGAAUUGUAUUAACCGGAAACAUAAUACAUGUGUGAAUACAUAGACAAACAGAUUGUCACUAGUAUGCCUCUACUUGACUAGCUCGUUGAUUAAAGAUGGUUAUGUUUCCUAGCCAUAGACAUGAGUUGUCAUUUGAUUAACGGGAUCACUUCAUUAGGAGAAUGAUGUGAUUGACAUGACCCUUUCCAUUAGCUUAGCACACGAUCGUUUAGUAUGUUGCUAUUGCUUUCUUCAUGACUUAUACAUGUUCCUAUGACUAUGAGAUUAUGCUACUCCCGUUUACCGGAGGAACACUUUGUGUGCUACCAAACGUCACAACGUAACUGGGUGAUUAUAAAGGUGCUCUACAGGUGUCUCUGAAGGUACUUGUUGGGUUGGCGUAUUUCGAGAUUAGGAUUUGUCACUCUGAUUGUCAGAGAGGUAUCUCUGGGCCCACUCGGUAAUGCACAUCACUUAAAGCCUUGCAAGCAUUGCAACUAAUGAGUUAGUUGUGGGAUGAUGUUUUAUGGAACGAGUGAAGAGACUUGCCGGUAACGAGAUUGAACUAGGUAUUGAGAUACCGACGAUCGAAUCUCGGGCAAGUAACAUACCGAUGACAAAGGGAACAACGUAUGUUGUUAUGCGGUUUGACCGAUAAAGAUCUUCGUAGAAUAUGUGGGAGCCAAUAUGGGCAUCCAGGUCCCGCUAUUGGUUAUUGACCGGAAACAUGUCUCGGUCAUGUCUACAUAGUUCUCGAACCCGUAGGGUCCGCACGCUUAACGUUCGUUGACGAUAUAGUAUUAUAUGAGUUAUGUAUGUUGGUGACCGAAUGUUGUUCGGAGUCCCGGAUGAGAUCACGGACAUGACGAGGAGCUCCAGAAUGGUCCGGAGGUAAAGAUUCAUAUAUUGGAUGAUAUGCUUAGGCUAAGGGGUCAGGCCCACGGGGCUAUAAGUCGGUGCGAAAGGAGUUUUGCGCAGGCCAGGAGGCCAAAUGCCAGAGACCCUGGCGUCUAGCCCUGGGCCAGACGCCGAGGCCCAUGGCGUCUGGGCCAGACACUAGGAUUGUGGCGUUUGGUCCUGGAGUCCGAGUGGGACUCUUGCCUUUAGGGCAAAACCGACUUUGAGGAGGCUUUUGCUCCAAGUUUCGACCCCAGGGCUCAACAUAUAAAUAGAGGGGAGGGGCUAGCACCAAAGACACAUCAAGAAACACCAAGCCGUGUGCCGGCAACCCCGUCCCCUCUAGUUUAUCCUCCGUCAUAGUUUCCGUAGUGCUUAGGCGAAGCCCUGCGGAGAUUGUUCUUCACCAACACCAUCACCACGCCGUCGUGCUGCCGGAACUCAUCUACUACUUCGCCCAUCUUGCUGGAUCGAGAAGGCGAGGACGUCAUCGAGCUGAAUGUGUGGAGAACUCGGAGGUACCGUGCGUUCGGUACUUGGAUCGGUCGGAUCGUGAAGACGUACGACUACAUCAACCGCGUUGAUAAACGCUUCCACUUAGCGAUCUUCAAGGGUAUGAAGAUACACUCCCCCUCUCGUUGCUAUGCAUCACCAUGAUCUUGCGUGUGCGUAGGAUUUUUUUUUUGAAAUUACUACGUUCCCCAACAAUUACUUACUGCAAUCAGAAAAUGUCUUCACAAUAUAGCUAUAAGGCUUCAUGAUUUUCAUCAAAUAAACUAGUUUUUCUAACAACUAAAUAAAUGUACUGUUUAAUAGGUCUCAACGGAUUUGGCAAUCAGAUUGAAAUUAAGAUGCAUAGUCCACUUCAUUAUAUGGAAAUCAUGAAGCAGAUAGAAAAAGUUUGCACUGUUAAGGUAUGAAAGAUUCUAUAAGUAAGGAGAAAAUGUGGUAUCAGCUUUGUGCAUAUGGAGCAUUAUGAUUACGCUUAGUAAUGAAAAAUUCUAUAUAAUAAGAAUGCAAUAGAAAAUCUUGUUGCUAGAAAUGUACUGUUGUAUGGACUUGGCAUGCAUGAUUACUGAUGUGGCAUAGUUUCAUGGAUUGAUUUGUGCAAGAGAAGAACUAAUCCAUGUUUGUUGUUAAUGGCAGGCAGUGGCCGUAAAUUGUUACUACAUGCAUCAGUACUGACCAGAUGCAUAACUCGAUGAUGUGGCCCAGUUUCGUGCAUACCAAAACUAGAUAAUGGGUUGCCACUAUUGAAGAACGGAGCAUAGUUUCAUGAAUAGCAAAACCAGAUAAUGGGUUGCACAAUUGAGGAACAGAGCAUAGUUGUAACAGGGGUUCUCUAAUUUAAAAUAUCAUCAUUGAUAGUAUUGUUGGUUACUAGCGAGGCACACGUGCAUUGGGCGUGAAAGCAACAUUUAUUGUCAAUUAUUUUAGAUGCACUUUACAUUGCUAUGUUACUGUAGCAAUGGAUUUUUGUGUGUGUUUUCUUUAAUAAAGAGAUAAUGUUUGUGCAUAAUAUGCAUUCAGAUUCACAAAGGUCAAAGCAUUAGCAAUUCAUUUAGAAGAAAAGAGUUUGCGCUGUUAAAGUAUCCAAGAUUCUAUAAUAAUGGAGAAACAUAGUGCUAUGAGGUUGUUUGUGCAUAGGUCGCAUUGUGCUUAAGCUUACAAAUGGAAUAUUCUAGAUGGUACGCAUGCUUGGAAUUUUUCUUUUGUAGUAAAUAAGAUAUUGAAUGGCCAACAAUGCUGGGAUUUACCAUCUGUCCACCGUUGGAUUGGCUUCAUCCAACAGCAAAUAUUCAAAGUUGUUUCCAAAGUACAUGUUUUAAAAGUUACCAUUUAUAGAAGGUCAAGCACCGUUGAUAAAUAUUUACUGUUGCAUGUCAACUUUUCAAGUCCUAGAUAUUAAUCAUUGAUCCUCUUGUUGACUGUCAUGAAAUAAACAAAUUUGAAGGAAAUUUUUCCAUCCACUCAAACCUGUCUGAAAGAAUCCUACGUUUUUAGUAUGCACAAUCAAACACUCAUAUAAUCCUGUAGGAUUCAAGAUGAGAUGCCACUCUAAUCCCACGUUUUCCCUAUUCAUGCGUUUGGAAAUCGUACGAAUCAAAGAGGUGAUACCUAACGAACACACCAUUUUCUACAGCAGAACUGGUUCAUAAUCAGUUUCUAAAUCAUAUUCUUACUCAUCUUCACAAAAUAAUUGCACGCACAGGGGGAUUUUAUGCCUACAUGACUACUGUUCCAUGCCAGGUUUCAUAUUGAAGGGGUUUCCUUCCAAAUGUAUGAAACAACUAGUACUAAUCCUAACCCUAAGGGAGAGAUCAAGAAACAUAACCUAUGUGGACGAAAUCUAAUCCGUGCUGCAUGCAAUUUAGGAGAAAACCCCAUGGGAGAAAACCCCAAAAACAGAGUAGGAGAAUAGAGCAAAACAGAGUAGUACCUCCGAGAGCUCGUCGUCGACCUCCUCAUCAAACUCGACUACCUCGUCCUGCACUUCCUUAGUGUCGAGCUCGGCCUCCUCGUAGUACUUUUCAAUGAGCUCGUACUGCUCGCGCUUCUGCUUGGCCCUCUGCUCUUCCAGAUCCACCGCCACCUCCUCCUCCACCUGCUCCCCGACCGCAGGCUCGGAUGCUGUGACGGCGGCCGGAGCAGUCACAACAGAUGGUGCACCGCCUCCCGUCGCCGCGACGGCGCCGUCGGCCACGCCAACUGCGGCGGCAAUGACCACAGCAGGCUUCUCCACUGCUUCUACCGCUGCAUCCUUCUCCACCGCGGUGUCUUCAUGGCCGGCCUUCAUCUUCCGACAACGAAGGGCAAGGGAGAUGGUUGCUGGCUCGUAGGAGGUAGGGUUCGAGGUGAGAGGAGAGGGUUUUUGCUGAUUUGGGGAAGAAAAGCAGCAGGGGUGGGGGAGUGGGGGAGACGGGGGUGGGGGAGGCGGCCUUUAUUUGGCGUGUGGGUGGACGUUUGGAGUUACCGAGGCUAGACGCGUGGCAUCAUGCGCUCGUGCACGCCCCAACCACUUUAAUUUUUUUUGUCAUGAAUUUGUAUAUUUUUUGACUUGUGGUUUAGCGAGGAAAUUACACAAACCACCUACUUUUGGUGUUACUUUUGCAUAGAACACCUACUUUACAGGUUUGUUGCAAAAAAAUCACAUAUUGGUGGGGUAAUUUGUUGCAGCAAGGUCUAAUCCGCCAUUUUGGGUGGGUUGACAUGAUUUCUAACAAGUGAGUCCAGUUAGUAAGUGCACCGCGGGAAAUAAAACAUUCCACAUCAGCACCCAACUAGAGCUGUGCAAAAUUUACAAAUGGGUACUCCAGAAAUAAUUCUCAUUGUUUCUAGGCCCACAGAAGAGGUCACAAUGCACUGACACAUGUCACUUGGGCCAGCACGCACCAUGCCCGCAUACAAGGAACAAAUAAGCCUAUAGGAUCCACAUGCACCGAUAAACUACGUCUCGACAUGCAACAACUUUUUGUAGUCACAUUGCACGCAGAGUGCAUACCAAGACACGCCAACGGCCCGUCAUGUAGCAAUCUUCAUGUGUUUUCACUAAUCAUGGUCUCUUUGGCCUCACGGAUGCCAUAAGGGCCAAAUGCACCAAUAUUGACACGUUGCACUCAAACGUGCCACUUGGGCCAACAUGGAUCAUGGUUUCUUUACUAGCAAGGAUCACAAAAGCCAUUAUAUAGUGUUGGUACCCUAGCUAAUAACAACAUAUAUCAACAUUGGUCCUAGUUGCAGCUACAUAGGACCACUUAUGCCACACAUGGAGCGCAGCCUCGGUGCAUGGUUUUUUUUCCGUGCGUCUGUAUCUGGAUACAUGUCUUAAGGAGAGGCAAAUUGGUUCUGCGGAACACACUGCAUCAACCGAACUGGCUAGACCCUUUACCUCACACCCUCAUGGCCCUGGUUCGAAUCCCCGCGAGGCAGUUGGAAAUGCCAAUUUUUUUUCUAUGGGUACUGACACGUGGGUUCCCUUGUCAUCCACACAAAUGCGCCACCACAUGUACCACAUUUGGCUAAGUGCACCUACUACUCCACAUCAUUUUCAACUUUCUUCUUCCCCUUCUCGACAAGCGCUGCCGCCGCCAUCUACAGACGACGCCUCUCUUCGUCACCGGAUCUGCGUGGCCGCUGCCAACUCUGGCAAGUAGGUGAGAUCUCCCCUCAUCCCCCUCACGAAUCUUCUUCCCUUCCCCAACCGCAUGCAUCUCCCUCCGGACGCGGAUCUGGUCCAUAAAUUUUAAUUGGUACAUGCGGUAGAUGAUUUGUUGAUGGAUAUGAUGGCUCUUUCAUAGAUUGAUGGAUGUCAUAGUGUAGGGUCUGAGUUGUACCAGGGAAAAGUGAGGCCCUAUGCAAAUCAAAAUGCGGCCCUAUGUGUGAAAAAAUAAAUCAAAAUAAUUCAUCUGUUCUUCACUAUAGUAUGUAGUACUGACAUUGGAUUGGAUUGGAUUGUGAUUUAUUAGGUAGAUGAUACUGGAAUUGCCAUUGUCAUUGGCAUUGCUUUUUUAGGUAGAUGAUAGUAAAUAGAUUUAAUAGGUAUUGCAUUUUAGGUUAUCACUAUGAUUUAUUAUAUGUAUGAUCUUUGUAUUGUACUAUGGUAGCGUACAAUUCAACUUAGAGUUCAACAUGUUCUGUGUAAAAUGGAGGAAGCACCAUGUGGACGGUGCAAGUCACGGUACUGGACCAGCCUUUGUACUGCCACGCUGUUCGGCAUCUACUUCCAGCCUACUUUUGUUUUGCAGUGGUAACAAUUUAUAUGAACCUUCUGACAGUUCAUUUUUUUCUAUUUCCACUAAUGCAUUGUGUUUGUUAUUUGUUUUUUUCUUGCACAGAUCGUCCCAUGCAAUGUGAGAUUGACAUUCAAUGAGCUCAUCAGAGAUACCGUGACCUUCGACGCUCUUGGGGGGGCGUACACUAUGCAUGUCGAUAAGGGGCGAACGAUAACCCAGAUUGGAGGAUAUGAAUGGGAUCGUUUCAUCGCCCGCUUGCGUCUUAGUGGGGGUGAACGGAUCCUCUUCUCCUUAAGGGGAGAAAGGCCUAGGAUUUCUAUUAUCUAUCUAAAUUUGAUUGCAGAUAGUGAGGAUGCAGUUCAUGAGGAGGAUGAUGGUGAGGAUUUAGAUGAUGAUGAGAACCCACUUGAUGAAGCCCUCUAUGCCCAAGGAGUGAGGCUGAGCGACGAGGAAACCAGCAACCUCUGGGACAUGCUUCCGCUACGUGAAGACUACGUUGGGAUGCCAUUCGUGACCCGCCUCACAAAGACGAAUGUUAAACAGCAUCUCAUGGUAUGUUACUUAGUGUGGUAAUUACAUGAUAUGCAUGCUUAAUUAUUGUAGUAGUUGAUAUGAUAUGCAUGUUGUAGUACUGUGAUGAUAUGCCUAGUGUGGAAUUCAUUUAGUGCAGAAUUUUAUGGUAUGCAUGUGUUGUAGUAAUGCGAUAUAUGCUUAUCUAGUGUAGUAAUAUGCGAUGAUAUGCUUAGUGUGCGUAGUAUAUAAUCUAAUGAUAUGCUUAAUUACUGUAGUAAUUUGAUGAUUAGCGUGUAGUGUAGUGAUGUGAUGUGACAUAUGUGUCUUGAAGUGUAUGGUCUGUUGAUAAUUGCACGUGACAUGCUCAUAUAUCAUAUCAACUAUUUUCAAAAAUUACCUAAGAGGUUAUCUGAUAGUUGUGGCAUCGAGCCGGAUGAAGAAGGCAUGGCUGCUGGACUACGCCUUAUCAGAACGGGCUCCAUCACCACCUGUGCCUACACAGUGGACACGGACGGUCGCACUAUCUUCAACCGGGCAGGGUGGAAGAAGUUCCUUCAUGGAAAGAAUCUUCCAGUAGGUCAGGGCAUCCUACUCACUGUUGCGAAUACCCAUCGCCGUGACUUGAGGAUGAUGAUCACCAUCGACCUCAUUUAGAACUGGCUGGGCCAUGUUUCGAUGUGAAAUGAACUUGGUAUGUUAGCUCUUGUUUCAGAGUACUUGCCGUGUAUUAUCGUACCUAUCUCUCUCUCUCUCUCUCUCUCUCUCUCUAUAUAUAUAUAUAUAUAUAUAUAUAUAUAUAUAUAUAGGUUCAGUAAAUGGGCCAUGUAUCGAUGUGAAAUGAACUUGUUAUGUUUGGGGCUUGCUUUGCUGUUGCCCCAGCGGUUAUUUGUGACUUCCUUGAACUUGAAUCUGUCUUCAAAUGUUAUUGGAUGCUUGGUGCCGUUGCUUUAUAGUAUAAAGCUGGGGGCGUUGGGGGACCUUUUUAGUAGGUUUGGGUAAUGGAGUUUAGCUCUUAUUGUACUUAUUGUUUUCAUUUCAAUACAAUUCUGAACCCAAACUACACAUGGCACAACCUUCUGUGAUUAGUUCCUUUGAUAACUAGUACUCCCUCUGUAAACUAAUAUAAGAGCGUUUAGAUUACUAAAAUAGUGAUCCAAACGCUCUUACAUUAGCUUACGGAGGGAGUAUUGAAGAGCAGCCACAGAGUUCCAUUCACAAUUUACUUGAAUUUUUGUUUUGAUGAAUAAACAAAAUAGGAAGCUAGCAAACUUAUUUAACGAAAUAAGCAAACUAUGUACUUGAUUACAUAAGUAAACUUUUUCAACCCUGACAAACUGGACAUAAACAAACAGGUUCAACUAUGACGCACAUGACAUAUACAAGCUGGUUUAACCCAAGAAAAGGAAACUACAAAUUUCAAACAACAAGAUAAAGGACAAGCACAAGUGCAAGCAACACGAAGCCAGAUUUUGAUGUCUCCUCAUCCCGCAUACUGGCAGUGGUAGUAGGGGUCCUCUUCCUGCUCUUUUGAAAUUUCCAGACCUCUUUUGAUGUUGUUGAUUAUCUUCCACGACUUGUAGGUGGCGUAUGCAUCUAUUGCCGCGUACUCGAUGAAGUAAUCUGGUAGUGGGCUGACCCCCCACAGUUUAUGGUCUCCCUGCUUGUUUAUCUUGUUCUUCAUCUUGCUGUAGAAUGGGUGGAUGAUGCUGGCUGCAACAUCAGCCAAGGAGUCAUACGGUUUUCCGUUGUAUGGAACUCUCCAGUUGUGCUGAAUGUCGAUGUGCUUGUUGGGGUUUAUCUCCAAACCAGACAUCUUCAACUUGUCCCUGUCAUUUUUAAUGUUGAAACUGGCAAAGGUGAACAACUUCUCCUCCUGUAGAAACUCUUUGAGGCGCUUUGGCCUGCUAGGGGAGAGACAAGUGAUGAAUACAUGGAGUACUAGUGUUUAUUUUCAAGAUUUAAUCAUCUGUUUUUUACGGUUUACAAGUGAAUAAUACAUGGAGUAGAUGCUUAUACAGUAUAAGUCAUGGAUGAAUGUAGUUCAGAAACUAGUACACAAAGUUCUGAAAUUAAAAUCAAGUACACCAUAUUAUUUUUCUUUUUGGAAUAUAUAGUUGAGUCAAUGAUCUAUUUGCUUUCUUAGUGCUAGUUUAGUUUUAUUUUGUUGAAUAAAAUAACAUAUACCUCUGCUUCACCAAGUUCUUAAGUUUUUUUGGUGGUGAAAAUAACACCAGACCAAGUUCAGAAACUACUUCACUACAUCAAGUUCAGAAACUAGACUAAUGAAUCAAGAUGAGAAACUACACUGGUACAUGAAGCUCACAAAUUAAUCUUGUGCAACAAUUUCAGAUACUAUUCAAGUGCACCAGGUUCAAAAUAUAUUCUAGUGCAUCUACUUUGAUGAACUACACUAGUGCAUCCAUUUUCACAAACUACACUAGUACAUCUAGUAUGAAACUAGUCUAAUGAAAUUUCGAGGGAGCAGUAUUGAUGAAUGGAAGAGGGUGAAUGAGUAGGAUUGUUCACCAUUUUGUGGCCGCAGCAAUGUGGUACACGAGGCAGAGACCCUCCAUGCAGAACUGCAGAACUGCUGCCAUCUAUGGAGGUUCAUCAUCUUUGGUAAACUCCACAUCAACGCUGAUGAUGUGGGGAUACGAGCCGCAUGCGCUCCUCCUGAUCCAAAAGAUCACCUCGUCGGCCUUGUCUGGUUCGCUGGUGCAGACGACCUCCAUCGUCUCCUUGCCGUGGAGCUCAACCCCUUUGAGGGUUAUGGUGUACUCGCGCUUCUGACCGGGAACAUGAAUGACGUCGAGGUUGCCGCUCUGGUCAGACGUCUGGCCACAAUGACGCUUAGCAGACGCUUCCUCCGCCAUUGCCCUCCUCCUGCGACUGCGGGCUUCGAAGAGAGAUGUUUGUGGGUUGUUUGUAGAAGAGAUGGAAGCGGCAAUGGAGGUUCGCAGAAUGAGGUAGUGAUGUAGUCGAUUUGGGGCUUUUUCAUGCAUGGGAUGGGGACGUGGGGGAGGUGGUUCGGGUGUAGGACGUGGGGGUAGUGGUGGUGGGGCGCAGUUGCAAUCCGACGUGGCAACCGCGCUUUGUGCACUGCUGGGUGCGCGUGCGUUUGAGUUUAGUCCCACCACGGGCCUGCAUCCUGGCCCAUAUCACUAGGUUUGUUGUCGUAUGCGGGUCGUGGUGUGCGAAAUAUCAUGUUAGGUAGGUAGGCUUUUUUUCUAUAAAAUCCUUUUUUGCCUAUGUGACAUGUUGACUUAUACUAAAAUAACACUUCCUUUUUUUAGGUACACGUGUCUUAUGUGAAAAGUUUAAGUUUGAUAACAAUUAAAAACAUUUAAAACCUUGCCACACUGGCUUUCUUGGACAUGUGUAAAAAGUUUAAGUUUGAAAACAAUUGAAAAACAUGUAAAACCUUGCAUCAUUGAAUUUUAAUUCUAAAAUAAAUUUGAAAUAUUGCAGUUAAUUCGUAGACCAUCUCUAAAUCAAACCAAAUUUGUUUUACAUUGUCACAUACAUGUGACAAACAUUGUUAUUUACAGAUCAUGUGUGCAAAAACUGAGGUGAUUUAGAUGUGGUCGAAAAAAGGUGAUUUUUUUCACCACCUCCAAAUCACCUAAAAUUUAUUCUACAUGCUCAAAUAGAUGAGCCAAACAUGUGUAUGAAAGAAAUUUGAAAAAACGUAUCCUACAAUGCCCGCUUAAGGUGUAGACCGUUGUUUUGAUCAGUCAGUCUACAAGGCAGAAUAAAUUCAAAACAAAUUAAAAAAUUGUAAAACACUGAAAACUUAUCUAUGUUUGUGCAACAUAUCAAGUGUGCAAAAUUAGAGAUGAUUUAGAGGAGGUCAAAAAAAUCACGCUAAAACACGAGGAGCCAUUUGGUCUCACUGAAGCCAGUUUUUGUAUAAAAUGUGAUUUUUUCCACCACCUCCAAAUCAUCACAAAUUUGUUCUACAUGCUUAAAUAGAUGUGCCUAGCAUGUCUAUGAGAGAAAUUUGGAAAAAAUGUAUUCUACAAUGCCCGCUUAAGGUGUAGACCGUUGUUUUGAUCAGUCAGUCUACAGGACAGAAUAAAUUCAAAAAUAAAUUAAACAAUUAUAAAACCUUGAAAACCUAGCUAUGUUUUCGCAACAUAUCAAGUGUGCAAAAUUAUAGGUGAUUUAGAGAAGGUCGAAAAAAUCAUGCUUAAACACGAGGGACCAUUUGGUCUCACUUAAGCCAGUUUUUGUAGAAAAUGUGAUUUUUUUACACCACCUCCAAAUCACCCCAAAUUUCUUCUAGAUGCUCAAAUAGAUGUGCUAAGCAUGUCUAUGAAAGAAAUUUGGAAAAAAUGUAUCCUACAAUGCCUGCUUAAGGUGUAGACAGAUGUUUUCAUCAAUGAGUCUACAGGGCAAAAUAAAUUAAAAACAAUUAUAAAAUUUUCAAACCUUGAAAACCUAGCUAUGUUUGUGCAACAUAUAAAGUGUGCAAAAUUAGAGGUGAUUUAGAGGAGGUCGAAAAAAUCACGCUAAAACACGAGGGACCAUUUGGUCUUCACUUAAGCCAGUUUUUGUAGAAAAUGUGAUUUUUUCCACCACAUCCAAAUCACCACAAAUUUGUUCUACAUGCUUAAAUAGAUGUGCCUAGCAUGUCUAUGAGAGAAAUUUGGAAAAAAUGUAUCCUACAAUGCCCGCUUAAGAUGUAGACCGUUGUUUUGAUGAGUCAGUCUACAUGGCAGAAUAAAUUCAAAAAAAAUAAAAAAUUCUAAAACCUUGAAAACCUAGCUAUGUUUGUGCAACAUAUCAAGUGUGAAAAAUUAUAGGUGAUUUUGAGAAGGUCUAAAAAAUCACGCUUAAACACAAGGGACCAUUUGGUCUCACUUAAGCCAUUUUUUGUAGAAAAUGUGAUUUUUUUUCCACCACCUCCAAAUCACCCCAAAUUUGUUCUAGAUGCUCAAAUAGAUGUUCCAACCAUGUCUAUGAAAGAAAUUAUGAAAGAAAUGUAUCCUACAAUGCCCGCUUAAGGUGUAGACCAAUGUUUUGAUCAGUCGGUCUAUAGCGCAGAAUAAAUUCGAAAAACAAUUAUAAAAUCUUGAAAACCUAGCUAUGUUUGUGCAACAUAUCAAGUGUGCAAAUUUAGAGGUGGUUUAGAGGAAGUCGAAAAAAUCAUGCUAAAACACGAGGGACCAUUUGGUCACUUAAGCCAGUUUUUGUAGAAAAUGUGUUUUUCCACCACAUCCAAAUCACCACAAAUUUGUUCUACAUGCUUAAAUAGAUGUGUCUAGCAUGUCUAUGAGAGAAAUUUUGAAAAAAUGUAUCCUACAAUGCCCGCUUAAGGUGUAGACCGUUGUUUUGAUCAGUCAGUCUACAAGGCAGAAUAAAUUCAAAAAAAAAUUAAAAAUUCUUAAACCUUGAAUAUCUAGCUAUGUUUGUGCAACAUAUCAAGUGUGCAAAAUUAUAGGUGAUUUAGAGAAGGUUGAAAAAAUCACGCUUAAACACGAGGGACCAUUUUCUCUCACUUAAGCCAUUUUUUGUAGAAAAUGUGAUUUUCCCACCACCUCCAAAUUACCCCAAAUUUGUUCUAGAUGCUCAAAUAGAUGUGCCAAGCAUGUCUAUGAAAGAAAUUUGAAAAAAAAAUGUAUCCUACAAUGCCCGCUUAAGGUGUAGACCGAUGUUUCGAUCAGUUAGUCUACAGGGCAGAAUAAAUUCAAAAAAAAAUUAUAAAAGCUUGAAAACCUAGCUAUGUUUGUGCAACAUAUCAAGUGUGCAAAAUUAGAGGUGAUUUAGAGGAGGUCGAAAAAAAUCACGGUUUAAUUUGUGUGUGUGUGGGGGGGGGGGGAGGUAGACCUCCCGAGAGCCGUUUACUGGUCAUUUUCGUUCCGUAUAUGUGUAAACAUUCCAAAUUUUGCCCAACAUGAAAAGCAUAUUAUGCGUGCAUGCUCUAUGUGGUCAAGGGAUGCGAUGCAGCAAAAUUGGGAUCAUUAGUGCAUGUAUACGCAAGUAGGGUCUCUGAAACGCACUCUUCAGGGAUAGCCUGUCACCACCCCGAGAGCACUAGCUCAGUUUCUCACCUGUAUGAAACCAACCCAACAUUUCAGGAUGACAAGUCAUGGCCAUGUUAGGGCUACUUGCCAUGUUUCAACCAUCUUCAACAAAUUUUGAAAGUUUCGUCACAUGCGGGAUUUUUUCGGUCAUUAGUACAAUGUGGACCAUUUUCAACAUUUAUUGCAAGUUUUGUCACGUACGGCAUUUUUCGGGCAUAUGCGACACGAAAAAACCAUUUUUAAUACUUAAAAAACAAGGACAAUAUUUUCUAGAUUUUUUGGGAUAUCAUUGUGAGAUUAUUGAAAUCUCAUAUAACUCACGCGGCCCACCCCUCCCUAAAUCCCGCGAUUACAGCGCCUCAUUCUAACCACCCGGCCGUGCCAUCCGCAGCUCCCACGACUGCUGCAAGAUCAGAUCGGAGACGCCGGGCUCACACGGAUAACAGGAGUCGCCGGCCACCGCCCACCGCCAUGAGGGGUCGGACUUCAGUGUUAUUCUCGCCGCUCCCUCCGUUUAUCCUUGCCGUCGUCUACCGCGCUAUAGGGGCACUUCUAGUUUGCGACGCACUGUCCGCUUCCAUCAACUCGGCGCCGCCGUCUCCGAGAGAAGGUAUUUCCUGAUCGUAGCUUUUUUAAUCGUUGUCGGCCGCUCCUUUAGUAGUUGAACCCUCAUAGGUUUUGCACAACUUCACAUGGUUAAGCAAUUGGAUACCCUUGUUAAACUGCGCUUAUUUUAUGCACGACCAACUAGGUUGUGUGCUUAAAGUCAUAAGUGGAUCAUAUGUUAAAUGACCCCCUUAAUUUUUUUUAAUAUUAGUUGACUGCUAAUUUUGUUAUAAAUCUUUUGAUUAUUGUCUUCAGAUUAAUUGACCCGGUUUUCAUCAUUGCAUACAAGCCAGCAAUGUUAGUUUCAGAUAAAAGUCUUUGUAACAUAGAAAAGCCUCGAAGAACUCAAACUAAAAUUUGACAGCAAGACUGUAGGCAAACAAAUGUUUUUUUAUCAUCACGGUCACACAGAGCCAUGAGUAGCUAUGUUGAGCCCAUUCAAACACAAAUAGGUAGCAUCAAUUGAUACAUGAUCUUGCUCAUGCUCUACUUUUAGGAUCAUUUGAUACAUGUUCAGUUCUUAUCAUAAAGUGGAUAUAUGUACCUUUGGCAAUCAUGAGCAUCCUCUACUUACUGCUAUAACUAAUGCAUCCUCGGUACAAAAAUUGAAUUGGCAAUAUGGUUGUAUUGGCAACGAUUUGCAUGCUUUACUUUUGGCAAGAACUAAUGCAUAGUUGAGUUAUAACUGGUCAUAGAUAUGGCUGGAACAUCUAGAGUUAUCAUCACGGUCACUCGGAGACCCUAAACCAUCACCAGAUAUGUUGAGCCCAUUCAAACACAAAUAGGAAGCAGCAAUUGAUACAUGUUCAUGCUCAUGCUCUACUUUUGGCAUAAUUUGAUACAUGUUCAGUUCUUACCAGAAAGUGGAAACAUGCACUUUUGGAAAACAUGAGCAUCCUCUACUUAUUGCAAUAACUAAUGCAUCCUCAGUACAAAGCUUCAAUAGGCAAUAGUUAGAAUUGGCAAUCAUUUGCAUGCUUUACUUUUGGCAAAAACUAAUGCAUAGUUCAGUUGUAACUGGUCAUAGAUAUGGCUGGAACAUCCUGAGUUAUAAACUGAACAUAAUCAUGCCAAGCUAUAACUACCAUAUUUAUAGUAGUAGAGUUCCUAGCAUGCAUCACCAUACGAUUCUAGAACGGUUGAAUUAACACAACUAACUAACAUAGACCACCGUACGAUACUUGAGUUGCUAUGGCCUUGUACAAUGCAAGGUGAUUAGGCGAGGUGUUUAGAGAGAUAAACCAGGCUUUUCUUAAGCACCAGUGCUUAUUUGUAUAGGGUAGACGCAUAACUAGGCGUCUGUCCUGUACAAAUAGGCAAUGGUGCUUCAGAAAAACCCGGUUUAUUUUUCUAAGCAUCACCCUUAGCAUCUACCAUUGUAUAAUGCCUAACAUGCAUCAGCAAAAUAGUACUAAUAACAACUUAGACAACUUAAGCAGGUUAGCAGCAAGCACUUAGAUAAACGGCAGAUUAACCACCGCACACCAUAAGUUCACACCCACCAUAGACCAUAGGACAUAAGUUCUUACACACCAUAGACAAUAAGUUUUAGAGUCGACCAGCGAAUACCGAUAACAUAAAAGGACACGGCGGUCCUGGGGCAGCAGCAGCAGUCUAGCAGCACAUCACUUGUCUCCCAUGUUCAGCUGCGGCACGGCGGGAUGUAGUAGGGCUCAUUGACUUUGACAAUCUUUAGGAAGCGCCCGUAGGCCGCAUGUUUGGCCAGAGUAGUGGCCUUUUGCUUCCUACUGUAGGAGUUGCCAGUGGUGACGGCAUGCUGCAUCAAGCCAUCUAUGCCGCCCUUGAUCGCCUUGCCAUAGAAGGGGCAACCAAGCUUGCCAUAGAAACGGUACUUGAAUUUUCCAGCAAUCAGCUGCCUCAUGAUGUAGCGGCUCUUGCUGUGCCUGCUGUCCAUGUCAUACCCCACAUCAUCGUCAUCCUCCUGUGAAUUAGUACACAAAGAAGAACUCAGUUAAUCUAUUCUGCUACAUUGCUCUUAAUUAGAAUGUUUGAAAAGUACAGACGUGUAACAUGACAACUAUCCAUUUGCUGGAAAUAAGGCGUAUAUGCACAUACAUAAUUGACCCAAAUAAUUUGACAUGCAUAAAUAUGGACGAUGGAAUAGUUGCAUUGAUAGAUUAGUGCACAAGAAGUACAUAAUUAACACAUGAAAGAAUUCAUGAUGUGGCUUGGUUUAAUGAUACUUGAUACUUGUUACAGGUGUAAUUCUGAUUGGAAUUAGAAAAAGGGCUUCAUUAUACUCCUCCGUGUUACACACAAGGGGGUAUUCUUAUAUCUACUAGAAUCAAGAAACCAUUAUUCUUUCUGAGAGUAGAAAUACUAAUUCUCCAACAUUGUUAGCCCCUGAUAAGUUUUAGAAGGAAAUUCAUAAAGGAGCUAUGGGCAACUAUCUUUAUCCCUUAACUUGUGACUCUGAUGAUACCGGUGUGGAAAAUACUUUGGAGGAACUUAACAUGGAAAAGGAAAUUUUGUCAUGCAAAAGAAAGUGUUUUUUUGUCUAUUUAUUGGAAUCAGAAAUUGAAUUCUAGUUUUACAAAUAUAUGCUAAAAAACAUUCAUUCCAGUGGUCUAAAAAAGAUUCAUAAAUUGAAUUCUAGUUUUACAAAUACAAGUUGAGUAUUUAGGGCAUGUUGUCUAAAAAACAUUCAUUCCAGUGGUCAGAUGCUGAAAUUGAGGCCUUCACAACAUUGAAGAAUUGUCUGGUCACUGCUCUUGUUAUGGCUUUGCCUUAUUUGACCCUACCACUAGUAGAAAAGGGGGCAAUGGUCCAGGCCGGGCCAGCCCAUUAGUACCGAUUCAGUCCAGAACCGGGACCCAUGGGGGCACUAGACCCGGUUCGUGAGCCCCGGGGGCCGGCCGGGCCACGUGGGCCAUUGGUCCCAGUUCGUCUAGACCUUUUGGUCCCGGUUGGUGGGACGAACCGGGACCAAUGGGCCUCGCUCCUGGCCCACCACCAUUGGUCCCGGUUGGUGGCAUGAACCGGGACCAAAGGCUGCCCUUUAGUCCCAGUUCAUGCCACGGACUGGUACCAAUUAAUUGCCUAUAUAUACCCCUCGCCCGCGAGCAGAGCACUCCCACUGCUCUGUUUUUCCUGGCCGGCGAGGAGAGAGCUUUGUGGUGCUCUAGCUCACCUCCUAUGCACACGAGGUGUUCGAUGGAAUGCCCAAGCCACACUACUUAAGCUUUCUCCUCUCCAAGCUCGACCUCCAGGCUCCAUUUUCCUCAAUAUUUGUCUAGGUUUAGUGGUCCGUCACGUCCCAUCCCCGUCUUCACCGCCGUUGAUCGCCCACGCCGAUCUCGUCACCGGCACCACCGUGGUGAGCCUCUUGUUCUUAUCUUCUUUCUGAAAGCAAAAAAAAUUCUUACUUGUAUGUUUAUAUAGAUACUUGUAUAAUUUUCUUACUUUUAUUAUUGCAUCUUAUAUAGUGCGAUGGUUUUGGUAUCCGCCCCCGUCGGCCCUCGUCCUAUCUAUGAUUCAGAUGUGGUAUAUAUUAUCUUUUCAUAACUAUUGGUUCAUUUAUUGUUUAUGACAAUUAUGCCGACCAACGUGACAUAGAUUUUAUUUAUCUAGGAGGUUGUUGAACCGGAAAUUCCAACCGACCCUAUUGUCGAGAGGUUAAAUUUAGUUGAAGAAGAAAACAAUUUCUUGAAAGGAAAAAUAAGAAAAAUUGAGGAGGAGAAGAUGAUAUUGGAGUUGCAUGUUGCGGAUGUCGUCGAUGAUCACAAGAGCAAGAUGGAUGCAAUGCGCUUGAAGAUUAGAAAGAUUAGAAAAUAUGCCAUUCAUACCGAGGCUUGGUAUCAUUAUGCCGUUGGAUCAGUUGUUACAUUGGUUGCGAUUAUGAUCGCAUUUGUUUUCGCGUUGAAAUGUUUUACAUAGUUUCAAUGUAUGGUUUAAUCUCUACUCCUAAUGGAGCACUUGGUAAAUAGUCCGCGCGGUUUAUUUUCGCCAUACUCCCACCACCGUUUUUUUCGUCAUCCUACCACCUCUGCACUACCCUCCAUCGAAAUAAACCGGUGCAAAAAAAACUCUGGGAUCGAUCCCUCGUUCACACAGCUGAUCGAUCUCCGCCGCCGCCCGACACAGCAGAUCGAUCUCCGCCGCCGCCCGAUCACGCGCCCGAUCCACCCCUACGCCUAGUCCGUGGCGGAUCCAUCCCUGUGCCGCGCCGCGGCGGAUCCAUCCCUGUGCCGCGCCGAUCCAUCCCUCUACCGCGGCCGAUCGAAACCUUCGCCGUUGCACUUGCAGGAGGCGCGGUCUGCUGUUGGAUCGAGCAAGGACACGGGGUCGCGAUCCCGCGUCUUUUGUUCGCCGGCGAUCAUGACCCCGAUCCGACGGCGGCCCCCUUCUGACCACCCACAGGGUCUCAACCGGCGCUGCUCCCCUUUCAGUUCUAUGUAAUGCAAGUUCAUACACAAUAAUUCAUACUAAAGGCCAUACAAAAAUCAUCUCAGGAGGCGGCGAUCUGCUGUGGGAUCGCUUCAGGAGACGGGGCCGCGAUCUGCUGUGGGAUCGCUUCAGGAGACGGGGCCGCGAUCCCGUCUACGUGACGCUGUGAUCCCCUUCUGGACGCGCCCAGCAUCCAACUUCUGUUGUACGUAUUGCAAUUUUAUACUCAAUAAUUGGUCAAUACCUAUGUUCAGAAAAUACAUACAGAAUCUCAAGUUUAUACUCGAUUAUGACUGUCUUUGCUGGAGCAUGGUAGGCCAAACACCAGUUAUGAAAUUGCAUAUUUGAGUUGGUUGCAUGUACUUACUUGGAAUGCUCAAUGUCGGCAAUCUUAGAUUACAUAUACAUCAAGCACACGACCUCCUUUCCUGGAGCAUGGUAUGCUAGGCACCAUUUCUGAAAUUUGCAACAGAAUCGCUUAGGAGUUGUUUAUGCAAGUUGCUGUACAUGUUUGCAUAACUGAGUGUGUUGCUUUUACUUACUUUGAUUGCUUGGUUGUGCGGCUUGUUCUGCUAACUUUGCACUGCCAAGAAGCAGCCUGUCCAAUAAGCAUAGUCCAUUAUAUCAAACAAUAAUUAAUGUUGUCUCCAAGUUCACAAACGAAAGUGCAUGAAACCACUUAAUACAUCAAACAAUUUAGGGGCUGGAAGUACUUUUCCCUCAGAACAAGACUGUUUACAGAAAACCUCCCAAUACGGAGGCCAGGACUGAUGUAUACCUGCUUAAACGGUAGGAAACAUAACAAAAUAAGAUCAUGAAGAUGGUAGACAACUUCAGUUCACAAGCCAUUGUUAAUAGUAUGAAAUCUUUGCUUGUAGGUAAGUAUGGGGAAUCCACAAAGCAAAUCUGCGGAACAUAUAACAUCGUCGGGUCUACCUAGAGGUAAAUGUUUGACUAAAAAACUUGCCGCACAUGUCAAGCUAUAUCCCGAUUGUGAUUUCCUGUAAUGACGUUAUUGCAGAUAAUUUUGAUGGGACAAAUGAUGGUGAGAACAACCUGAGUACCCCAUUUAUGACAGGCGGAUUGUUAAUUUACCAUGAUUUAAUACUAUUUAUUUAUCGAUUUGAUCUCGCUUACUUGUAUGAACGACACUCAGAUGGGCUGACACUUGAACCGUCUGGACAACCGGUUCUUCCGGAUAAUGAACUUGUGAGUACUGAAGUUGUAGGAUAUCAUAUGGAUGGGACAAAUGUUGUUGAUAAUCACCCUAUUAGUCCAGGUAUGAGGCUGUGCGGAUAGAGUACUCAUCAUUUUAUUCUCUUAAGUUUGUGACUUUAAUCUUAGUUACUUGUAUGAACCAUGCUCCAGGCCAGUCCAUACUUGAACAGACCGCAGACCCGGUUGUUCCCCAACCCACUGAUGGUGAUAUCACAUGUGUUCAGCGGCCUCCCGAUCUGAACUCAGGUGAGCAUAAAACAUAUUGAAAAGGAAACCUGGCAUUCUCGGUUAUUUAUACAUCAAACAGGAAACCUGGCAAUUAUUGAGUUUUUGUGCCUUUCAGUUGUCGCACACACGAGUGUGCCACAGCCUUAGCACAAAGUGUAAACGGUAUUACAUGAUUCGUCUUUCGUUGUGAACCGUAUCAUGCUUAUAGAGGUUGUGUUGCAGAUGUUCAAGAACAGUCUAAGAACAAUAUCAUUUUGCUUUUGUUUUGUUCCAGAUGUUCUAGAUGUGUCUCCUAUUGAUGGAGGAAUACACUUGUACACUAUGGCAACUGCUCAAGUUUUAUCCCAAACCAUUUCAACAUCCGAGCACAUGACUACAAGAUUUUUCGUGAAUGUCUCCAAACAAACUAAAAAAAGGUAUCUUAUCUGAUGAAAAAAGGGAGCAGAUAAGAGCCAAGAGGCGAGCUACUUAUCAGCGGAAAAAAGAGGAGGAAGCAGAGAAACUGAAGCAUGAAAGUCAAGCUUACCUUUCAAUAUCUGGUAUGAUUGUUUGAUUUUUAAUCAAAACAAUGUGCAUUCCUGCUUUGACUACUCUCGCACCUUGCUGCAUCUAUUACUAGAUCGUUGAUUUACCAUGAUUUAGUACUAUUUAUUUUCCGAUUGUAUCUCGCUAACUUGUAUGAAUGCUACUCAGAACGGUUGACACUAGAACCGACUGCACAAAUGGUUGUUCCGUAUAAUCACCCUAUUAGUCCAGGUAUGAGGAUGUGCGGGGAGAGUACUCAUAAUUAUAUUCUCUUUGUGUGAUGAAUUAAAUCUCAAUUACUUGUAUGAACCAAUUUCAGAUCAGUCCAUCACUGAACAGACCGCAGUUGUUGUUGUUCCUCAACCCACUAAUGGUGAUAUCACAUGUGUACUGUUGUCUUCCGAACUGAACUCAGGCUAGUAUAAAACAUAAUGAUUACUCUCUACUCUUAGGAUAGCACUAAACUGACCCAUUUUUACCACUAUCGGUUAUUUUUACAUCAAGCAGGCAACCCGGCAAUCUCAUCAACGUUUGUCUCUCUUAGUUGUCUCACUGACGAAGUGCCGCAGCCGUAGCACAAAGUGUAAACGGUAUUACAAGAUUCGUCUUUCGUUGUGAACCGUAUCAAUUUUAUAGAGGUUGUGUUGCAGAUGUUCAAUAACAUACUAAGAACAUUAUCAUUUUGCUUUGGUUUUGUUCCAGAGGCUCUAGAUGUGACUCAUAUAUAUGGAGGAAAUCACGUAAACAUUAAUGCAACUCCUCAAGUUUUACCCCAAUCCGGUUCAACAUCCAAGCACAUGACUACAGGAUCUAUCGUGAAUGUCUCCAAACCAUCUAAGAAAGUUAUCUUGUCUGCUGAAAAAAGGGAGGAAAUAAACGCCAAGAGGUGAGCUCCUUAUCGGAGGAAAAAAGAAGAGGAAGCUGAAAGUCAACCUGACAUUUCGAUAUUUGGUAUGAUUGUUUGAUUUUAAAUCAAAACAAUGUACAUUCCUGCAUUGACUACUCUCACACCUUCAUGCAUCUAUUACUAGAUGACAAGAGGGAGCUAAUAAAUGCGCGGAGGUGGGCAACGUAUCUUAAGAACAAGGAAAAUGCUGACAUUAACAAGGAACAGAUGAAAGCUCCGUUGGUAGAUGGUUAUCGAAAAAAUAUGAUGAUGCCGCCGGCAAGCAUCUCCAUCAAAAUCUGCCUGCCGUUGACAUGUCGAGUAUGACUAUUUCUAUAUUAUAGGCCAGACGUCGAUUGAAUAUACUCCCUUUGUUGAUAACAGUAUGAUUAUUAUCUGAGAAUACGUGAGUAUGACACCUGCAACCAUAUUGCAGGUAUGAAAAAUGUUCCACGGAGCGCUCUCGGUGAUAUCACUAAUGGGGUACAAGCUCACUCUAUGCUCCUUGUCGACAAAAAUAGCCAGAUCAAGGCUCAAGGGCGAGCUACCGUGAAGCACAAAGAUGAUAACCUUCCUGCCCUUACAAGUUCAGGUUAGAAUGCUUUUUGAUUCAGCUCCCUUUUGAUAGUAUAUAUAUUCCUAAUGUUUUUGAAUACAUAUUUUUAAUAAGUAAGCAUGCAAAACAAGCUUUACAAACUCAGUGUUUCAUCUAUCGCUCGUAUGACUUUUGAUUAGACAUUAAGACCUUAUGAAAAUGUACGGAAGGAGUCAGCUGAUAUGACCUACAUAAUCUGCUGGUACCUUUUGUAUCAAUGACCAAUUAAUGACAUACUAAUUAGCAUUUUAUACUGUUGUAUAACCAGCCGACCCAACUAGGUCCACCUAUACGUCAUUGUCACAAGAUGAGGCGGUAUUGCCUCAUACCACUACAAUCACAACAUAUGUCAUUCAUGAUAACCAACUACCUAGGAAGCAGCAUGGUAAGCAGCACAGAACUAACUUAACUCCUGAUCAAAUGGACCAAUCAAACGCGCGGAGGCGAGCAACAUAUCGGAAACAUCUAGAGCACAGAACUAUCGAUCUUGAAGAAAAAAUAGCACGCUGUGAGAAUGGAGGGCAUGCAGCAAAGAGAAGGGGGAGUUAAGUGCAAAAAGAAAGGCAACUUAUGCUGCAAAAAAAACACCUCGUGCAAAGAAUCCCUCGCACUCCCACGUCCAGACCUAGCAAACUUAUCCCAGACGAAACCCCUCUCUCGGGUCGCUGAAGAUGAUUCAUCUGAUGGUGACUCUCCGAUGAGCAUGCCGAAUUUCAUUGGCAGUACCAAUGGUAUGAUAAUUCUAUUGUCACAUUGUUGUGCUCAUUCUCAGCAACCCUCAUCUGACAUGACAUUGUCUAUUGUCGUCGGGGAGAUAAUGCAGAUGACAUUGAUGGGUUCCGAGACUGCAUCUUGGGCGACUAGACGACACCAUCCGACUUUAUGGAUGAGGAGUACUACAUGUUUCGCGGGGAAGGUAUUGUCAGCUAUAAACUAUGAGUUCGUGGAUCUUUAUCAUAAUUAUAGUUAGUAGUUAAUAAUGUUUCGAACAUCAUGUUUCAACAAAUGCACGUAGGAUCCGAUAAUGACACCUUGGAGGAUGACGAGGAAGCAAUCAUGUCGUCUGCUAUACCUAGCAAGGUUGAUCCAUUAGACUUUGUCUACACAAACAUCCCAGACACCACUCACAUCCUGAAGCUCGACGCGAACUGCAAACACUGCAAGGCCAAAAAGUUUGUGUCUGAGACUGACGGUUUCUGCUAUCGCUAUGGCCAGAUCGAACUUAGAAAACCGGAGCCAAUCCCAGAGCUGAUGAGGCUAUGGUCAAGCAUGGAUGCAGACUCUAGACAUUUUCGGGAGAACAUACGCUUCUUCAACGGGCAUUUCGCCUUCACAACCCUUGGUGUCAGCCUUGAUGAGAACUACACAAACAUGAAGUCUGGGGUGUACUCAUUCCGGGCACACGGCACCAUCUACCACAAUGUGCAUUCGUUCGGGCCUAGCUCUCGUCCUGAGCAUCUGCAGUUGUACUUCUACGAUGAUGACCCAACCAUCACUCAUCGUAAGGCGGCCACCAAGCAAUUAGACCAGGAUGUCGUGAAGAAGUUAGUAGACAUACUCAAAGAAAACCCAUACUCCCAGCAAUUUAGGAGUUUGGAUGCACACAAGGACAACCUGGAUGAUUACAGGAUAGACCUAAACACCGAUAAAAGGCUUGACCAAAGAAGAUAUAACAUACCGUUGUCAUCUGAAGUCGCUGCAAUUUGGGUUGAGGGCAGCGACAUAGCAAAAAGGUUUGACCGGAGGAUAACACUUUGUGGUAAUAACAACGAAAGGCAUAGUAUACGUGCGACCUCCGGAGCAUAUGACCCUUUGUCUUAUCCCCUAUUCUAUCCAAGGGGGGAACUAGGUUGGCAUCUGAAGCUACCUAAACGUGAUGUUCCUUGGGAGGUUGUACAAAAUCCUCAACUGGUCCAUGAUGAUGAUGAGGACGCAGUAUGCCGUCUGCGUCCCAUUUUGCUACAAAUAAUAUUUUAUUUGUCGAUUAUAUCCUCAUUUUGAUGGUACUCAAUCAUGUGCAGAGGGCAACAGCAGGUUGUGCGUCUCUGUCAGAGACUACUACUGUUACGUGCUGCAGACACGGCCUGUGAUCUUUAAUCCCAUACUCUAUGGAGCACGCCUCUUGCAGCAAUGGGCCGUCGACAUGUACGUCAAGAUUGAAAGUUGUCGGUUGAGGUGGUACAGGAAGAACCAGACGCAGAUUCCUGCCGACUUGUAUAAAGGAGUUGUUGAUGCGAUCACAUUGGGGAGAUACGAGCAAGCGCUAUUGGGGUAAGAAUAGUUCUCCCUGGAACAUACCCUGGUGGCGACCGCGACAUGAAGAAGAGGCAUAUGGAUGCCAUGGCAAUUGUCCAUACAUACAGGAAGCCUGAUAUCUUCUUGACCAUGACUUGCAAUCCUAAAUGGGAAGAGAUAACGAAUGAGUUGCUGCCUGGUCAGACGGCGCAAGACCGACCUGAUCUUGUGGCUCGCGUGUUCUUCGACAAACUAGAGGCUAUGAAGGACAUGUUGUUCAAGAAGCACAUCCUGGGUGUUGUUGUCGCAUAUGUGUAUGUUGUCGAGUUUCAAAAAAGGGGCCUCCCACAUGCACAUUUUUUGUUGAUUAUGGACUCAACAUAUAAGCUUAUCGUCCCGGAGCAGUAUGACCGUCUCAUUUCCGCAGAGCUCCGAGACAAGCAUAAGUAUCCGGAAUUGUAUGCAAUGGUGGUAAAACAUAUGAUGCACGGACCAUGCGGUGCUCUCAACCCGAAGAAUGUUUGCAUGCAAGAAAACGGAUGCAAGUGCAGAUACUCGCGGCCGUUCAAUGAAAACACAGCACAGGGGAAGGACUCGUACCCAGUUUAUCGACGUACAGAUGAUGGAAGGAGUGCUAAGGUCCGAGGGAAGAUGUUGGACAACAGAUGGGCUGUGCCUUAUAACCCAUACCUUCUGCAGAUGUUCAAUUGCCACAUCAACAUUGAGGUCUGCUCGAGCAUAAAGGCCGUCAAAUAUCUUUACAAGUACAUUUACAAGGGCCAUGAUAAGGCUUCUUUCAGCAUCGACCAGCCCGACGCCGAUGGUAACAUUGAUGAGAUCAAGAGAUAUGUUAACGCAAGGUGGAUCACACCUCCUGAGGCUAGGUGGAGGAUAUUUGGCUUUCCACUUUGCGCCAAUUACCCUCCUGUCUUGCAGUUGCCUCUUCAUCUUCCAAAUAUGCACAGGGUUGCUUUAAAUGUGUAGGCUGACUUGAAGAAUGUUGUCGCGUCCGAAAAUGCAUCGAAAUCGAUGUUAGCGGAGUAUUUCAAGGCUAACCAGGAACACCCUUGGGCUCGGAAACUAUUUUACAAAGAUUUUCCGGGAAGCUUUACGUGGCAAAAGAAAACAAAGUGUUGGAGGCCGCGGGUGGAGCAUUUUCAAAUAGGUCGUAUUGUCUCUGCCAAUCCUGCUGAGGGGGAGCGAUAUUACCUGCGUGUUAUGCUCAACCAUGUUACCAGAAAAACAUCCUUUCACAACUUGCUCACCGUGGAUGGCCUGGUUUGUGAGAGCUUUAGAGAUGCUGCUGAAAGGUUGGGACUCAUCAAGGCAGACAGCACGCUCGACGACUGUCUUACUGAAGCAGAGUAGUGGGCGAUGCCUUGUUCUCUUAGGAGGCUCUUCGCAACCAUCUUGGUGCACUGUGAGCCAGGCGACGUGCAAGGUUUAUGGGAUAGACACGUCGAGCCUAUGUCUGAUGACUACCGUCGAACACGGACGUCCCCGAAAGAGGUGGAGCAAAUGGUGUUGCUUGACAUCAGGGGUAUGUUGCAGUCCAUGGGUAAAGACAUAAGUGAUUUUUCGCUUCCAAGCAUCGAUGAUGCCUUUGACCCAACUGAGGGAGAGGCGAGAGAGGUCAUUGAGGAAUCAACCAUCGAGUUUGACGUAGACGACACAAAAUUGGCAUCUUCACUAAACUUUGAGCAGAAGGUGGCAUACGACGAGAUACUAGCGGCUGUUGAACUCAGUCUUGGGGGGGGGUAUUCUUUGUUGAUGGCCCUGGAGGUACAGGGAAGACCUUCCUCUAUAGGGUGUUGCUCGCCAAGUUAAGGAGCGAGGGCAAGAUUGCUAUCGCCACCGCGACCUCAGGUGUCGCCGCUUCUAUCAUGCCUGGCGGCAGGACUGCGCACUCUAGGUUCAAGAUACCAUUGGGUUGUGACGACAGAGCCUCGUGCAGCUUCACCAAGCAGAGUGGGACCGCAAAGCUACUAAGGAUGGCAUCGUUGAUACUAUGGGAUGAGGCCAGCAUGACUAAACGACAGGCAAUUGAGGCAUUGGACAAUAGCAUGCGUGACAUCAUGGGAACAAGGGACAUACCCUUUGGAGGAAAGACUGUUGUCUUUGGCGGUGACUUUAGGUAGGUGCUUCCGGUUGUCAGAAGGGGGUCGCGUGGCCAGAUAAUUGAUGCAACCCUCCGGAGUUCUCAUCUAUGGAAGUGUAUGUGGAAACUUCGACUCAUCACCAACAUGAGGGCUCAUAAUGACACGUGGUUUGCAGAUUACUUGCUUAGGAUCGGCAAUGGCACCGAGGAAGCUGACGAUCAGGGCAAUAUACUACUCCCCGAUGACAUCUGUCUGCCGUCUACAGGCGAUGCUGACGACCUCGAGAAGCUGAUUGAACACGUGUUUCCGAGUCUAGAUGACAACAUGACUGAUUCGAAUUACAUGACAUCUCGCGCAAUCCUUUCCACAACCAAUGACAACGUUGACAAGAUAAACACACGCAUGAUAGAGCGUUUUCACGGAGAUGAAGUAAUUUACCAUAGCUUUGACAGUGCGGAGGACGAUCCAUAUGGAUACUAUGCUCCUAAGUUUCUGAACGGAUUGACUCCAAACGGUCUUCCUCCGCAUGCACUCAAACUCAAGAUGAACUGCCCUGUCAUACUCCUUAGGAACAUUGAUCCAGCUAAUGGUUUGUGUAACUGGACCAGGCUUGUUGUCAGAGGUUUUGAGAGGAACACCAUUGACACAGAAAUUGUGAUUGGACAACACACAGGUAGGAGGGUUUUCCUUCCUAGAAUACCUUUGUGCCCAUCUGACAACAACAUGUUUCCAUUCAAGUUUAAGAGGAAGCAGUUUCCUAUAAGGCUUAGCUUCGCUACGACGAUUAACAAGGCUCAAGGUCAGACCAUCCCGAUUGUUGGUGUGUACCUACCUGAUCCAGUGUUCUCACAUGGUCAACUCUACGUCGCAUUGUCUCGAGCGACCACAAAGAGCAACAUAAAGAUCCUCAUUGAGAAGGACAAGCCGAAGGAGAAGGGCCAGAAGCAGUCUAAGAAUUCUAAAAAGCGCAAAAGAUCUACCGUGUCAGUGCUUAGCUCCAUGAAGAACAUCGUUUACAAGGAAGUCCUUACAGGCUGAUUUUUGUUUGUAUUAUAUCUGAUUGUUAUGGAAUUACGGAUAAUUUGUUCAACCAAUGGUAAGUUUUUUAACUAUUCCUUAAAUCCUUAUAUUUCUUUAGUAGUAACAAAGCUAUAUCAUCGGUAGAGACAUUGGUGCUUAGAUUGAUGUGUUCUUUUGCAUAAACAUAAUAAAGCGGAGCAAGGUUGUGAUUAUUAAUGGACAAUACGUCAUAACACAAUAAUAUGAAAUAACCUAAGCUUUAAUAUCGGCUCUCUCAGUAAUUGGUAGAGAUCAUGUCAAUCAAUUUCAGAUAUGUUCAUGUAUUAAAUUAGAUACGUUUGUUUUGUAUAUUUAAUACGCUUAUAACAUUCGUGUUCAUGAAAAUAUAGUUUUGUAACACAAAUUCACUUAGCACAACUAUGAAUAACGACUUACUUUGUUUUAUUAUAGUAUUUCGAAAAACCACAACCCGAAUGUUGGAAACAUCACUAGUGCAGAAACGGCCUUUAGUGCUGGUUCGUGAAGGCCUUUAGUGUCGGUUCACCAACCGGCACUAAAGAGUGGGGACUAAAGGUCCCCCCCUUUAGUACCGGUUCGUCACGAACCGGCGCUAAAGAGCCACCACGUGGCACGAGCCAGGCCCGUGUGCACGUAGGGCUUUAGUACCGGUUGGUAACACCAACCGGUACUAAAUGUUUGGGUUAUUUUUUUAAAAUUUUUGCUUUAGUUUUGUGUUUUCAAUUUAAUUUAGUGAUUGUUUUACAUUAAUAUAAAAACUGUUGCAUCACAUAUCAUCAACAUACUCUGGCUAGCUAGCUAAAAAACAUCGUAGUCGUCAUUAUCACUAUUUAAUCAUCAUCAUAGUCAUUACCGCUAUCUAAUCACUACCAACAGUAGCUUAAAGAAGAAACAUUCACUUGUACCAGAAGCAAAAAUAUCAUCGAGUUCAACAUGAUUGUCAUGAUAUUAUAAGCGUUCAUAUAUAACACCACAAAAGCAAAUCACUCUUCGAGAUUAAGUUCAGAACGAAGAACACGGACAUGAAAGGACAAGUACUAAGAGCAGCAUGAACUAGCUAAAUCACUCCUGCUAACUACUCUCUCUCUGGCAAAAUAGCAUAGAACAUGUAUAGCUCUCCUGAUUCAUCAUACUGGAGCAUGCAGAUCAACCUGCCUCCUAAUCGUGGGGUGCGCUUCUCAUUGCUGCCCCCUAGUACUUCUCUGCGAUCGUUAACAAUUUUGCUCCAAUCUUUCACUAUUAAGCAUUCAUCGCUUUUAGAAACCCUGAAUGCACUCAUGUGCAAUGUAGGAUAUCUUGACCGUAAGCUAACCAUUGACAUGUGACCUUUAGUCUCGAUCCACUGAGGCACAAUUGUCAUCAGGAAUCCCUGUUGAAGAACAUCGUAUAGUAAUUAAUAUACUUAGCAAUGAAAGUUUAGCAAAAAAUAAUGUAUGCAAAAGAUGCACUAAGGACAAAUAGUAAAAAUAUUACCAUCUUUCGUAAAUAGAUGUGACCGUAGUUCAAUACGAUCACUAUUGGUCGCACGUUUUGAGAACUAACAUUUCUAAGUGCAGGAAGAAAAUUUGUCUUGACAGUAUGAAGAUCCUCAAGCCAUGAAACAUAAUGACUUAUCUCCUCGCAGUUUAGUUCAGCUCCGGGACAGUAGUAGGUCCUAUCUACCAAGGGUCGGACAUGUUUUCUUGAAUGGAGCUAAGCUGUCAAUAGAAAUUAGUUGUCAAUUAUUUAUGAAUAAGCAAUAUCAAAGAAAAAAUAUAGUUGAGAAGAACUCACAUAAUGGUAGAAUUGGAGGCGUCUGCACAUCGACCCAUAUGUCUCUAUUACCUUCAAUAUCAUCUUCCGGACGAAUAUCAAAGGUGAUAGCCAUACCAGGCUCAAAUGCAUAAGCCUUGCAUAGUGCUUGCCAAGUUUUGCAUUCAAAAUAGGUGUAUGUGUGUGCAUUAUAUACUUUGAGUUUGAAAGUAUAACCAUGCUCAGUUUUUAGGUAAACUCUCUUUACCUCCAUAGUUUCCAUAUCAUUGAAACCUAUCUUAUCCAAGACAAAAAUUCUUGCAUGGCAGGGGAUGCGCUAGUAGAAUAGUGAAAAUUAAAAAUUAUAAGUCAGGCAAAUGAAGCAUAUAUAAGUCAUGCUUAAUUACGAAAACAGACUUGUCGUUGUGAAUUAAUGUAUCGAAUUCAAAGUUCUCAUCCAGCUUGAUGCUGAAUCGCCUAUCAUCAACAAGGAAAUUUCGUCACACUGGCCGCGCUGGUCUUCACAGUAUUCGCACAUAAUGAAAUCUUUUCCGUCGUCAGACGACAUUUCCUAUGUUCAUAUUAGGCGAAACAUUAAACACUUACUAAUUCAAUUAACUCAACUACUUCUAUUAAUUCAACUAAGCAUUUACUAAUAAUAAACUAGUUUUAUUAAUUCAAUUAGUUCAACUAAGCAUUUACUAAAAAUAAACUAGUUCUAUUAAUUCAAUUAGUUCAACUAUGCAUUUACUAAAAAUAAACUAUUUCUAUUAAUUCAACUAGUUCAAAUAAUAUAACUAGUUCUAUUAAUUCAACUAGUUCAAAUAAUAUAACUAUUUCUAUUAAUUAAAUUAGUUCAACUAAGCAUUUACUAUUCUAUUAAUUCAAAUACUAUAACUACUUCUAGUUUUAUUAAUUCAACUAGUUCAAAUAAUAUNNNNNNNNNNNNNNNNNNNNNNNNNNNNNNNNNNNNNNNNNNNNNNNNNNNNNNNNNNNNNNNNNNNNNNNNNNNNNNNNNNNNNNNNNNNNNNNNNNNNNNNNNNNNNNNNNNNNNNNNNNNNNNNNNNNNNNNNNNNNNNNNNNNNNNNNNNNNNNNNNNNNNNNNNNNNNNNNNNNNNNNNNNNNNNNNNNNNNNNNNNNNNNNNNNNNNNNNNNNNNNNNNNNNNNNNNNNNNNNNNNNNNNNNNNNNNNNNNNNNNNNNNNNNNNNNNNNNNNNNNNNNNNNNNNNNNNNNNNNNNNNNNNNNNNNNNNNNNNNNNNNNNNNNNNNNNNNNNNNNNNNNNNNNNNNNNNNNNNNNNNNNNNNNNNNNNNNNNNNNNNNNNNNNNNNNNNNNNNNNNNNNNNNNNNNNNNNNNNNNNNNNNNNNNNNNNNNNNNNNNNNNNNNNNNNNNNNNNNNNNNNNNNNNNNNNNNNNNNNNNNNNNNNNNNNNNNNNNNNNNNNNNNNNNNNNNNNNNNNNNNNNNNNNNNNNNNNNNNNNNNNNNNNNNNNNNNNNNNNNNNNNNNNNNNNNNNNNNNNNNNNNNNNNNNNNNNNNNNNNNNNNNNNNNNNNNNNNNNNNNNNNNNNNNNNNNNNNNNNNNNNNNNNNNNNNNNNNNNNNNNNNNNNNNNNNNNNNNNNNNNNNNNNNNNNNNNNNNNNNNNNNNNNNNNNNNNNNNNNNNNNNNNNNNNNNNNNNNNNNNNNNNNNNNNNNNNNNNNNNNNNNNNNNNNNNNNNNNGGCGACGACGGGGACGACGAUGACGGGCGGCGGGGGCGGCGAGGGUGGCGGGGACGGCGAUGACGUGCGGCGGGGGCGACGGCACAGCGGCAAGCGCGGCAGCGUCGGCGCGUCGGAGAUCGAUGCCGCGCGAGAGAAAAGUGGAACAAAGUGGUCUCCGAUAACUGAAUUUUUGUAAGUGCCAUAUAUAUAGGACGGGCCUUUAGUACCGGUUGGAGCCACCAACCGGUACUAAAGGCCAAUUUUGCCCAGCCCAAGCGGCGGGAAACGAGGGUGUCGGUGUCAAUACCGGCGGAUCUCGGGUAGGGGGUCCCGAACUGUGCGUCUAGGCGGAUGGUAAUAGGAGACAAGGGACACGAUGUUUUUUCCCAGGUUCGGACCCUCUCGAUGGAGGUAAAACCCUACUCCUACUUGAUUAAUAUUGAUGAUAUGGGUAGUACAAGAGUAAAUCUACCACGAGAUUAAAGAGGCUAAACCCUAGAAGCUAGCCUAUGGUAUGAUUGUUGUUCGUCCUACAGACUAAAACCCUCUGGUUUAUAUAGACACCGGAGAGGGCUAGGGUUACACAGAGUCGGUUACAAUGGUAGGAGAUCUACAUAUCCGUAUUGCCAAGCUUGCCUUCCACGCCAAGGAAAGUCCCAUCCGGACACGGGAUGAAGUCUUCAAUCUUGUAUCUUCAUAGUCUAGGAGUCCGGCCAAAGAUGAUAGUUCGGCUAUCCGGACACCCCCUAGUCCAGGACUCCCUCAGUAGCCCUUGAACCAGGCUUCAAUGACGACGAGUCCGACGCGCAUAUUGUCUUCGGCAUUGCAAGGCGGGUUCCUCCUCCGAAUACUUUGUAGAAGAUUUUGAACACAAGGAUAGUGUCCGGCUCUGCAAAAUAAGUUCCACAUACCACCGUCGAGAGAAUAACAUUCACACAAGUUCAAUCUGCUGACGUAUUCCGUGGCAUGGCAUCACACCACGGCCAAGCCUUUAUUCGAAUCAUUUUUACUGUUCCACCUCAGCGCGUUUAGCAAAGCGGUUUCCUCGGCACGUCUUGUCAAUGCAGAGAUCGUGCCCCCUUAUUCCGGGUUCCUCAUCAAUACGGGCGUGGGUAACCCAACCGUGCCCGUUGGCACGCCCCCUCUAUCGAAGGCGAGUCCCAAACGGCCACGGGGAGGGCUCUUGGUAUUCAACCUCUUUAUAACGAGACCAAGGCCUGCUCCUUUCUUUCAAUCUCAAUUGAAUCCGCCCCUCGCCUUGAGUUCCAACACCCAAAGCUCCAGAUUCAGGCUCUUCGGACCUUCGACGAUGUCCAGCUCCGACCUGCAAGGCCGGUGGAUGCCUUCUUACGUCAUGGAAGAAGACGUGCUAAAGCUGAGAGACGCCAGGUAUCUAACACUACUAGGAAAAGGGCUACUAAUGACGCACCAAUUUUGCCUACUAAUGGUGCAUCACUGGUGCGCCAUUAGUAUCACGCCACUAAUAUUUUUUACUAAUGGCGCACCACUGGUGUGCCAUUAGUAUCUGGUAUACUAAUGGCGCACCAAUGGUGCGCCAUUAGUAUAGGCCACGGUGCGCCAUUAGUAUAGGCCACUGGUGCGCCAUUAGUAUUUUUGAAUUUUGAAGGCGGGAAAAUAGUAGUGGCGCACCGUCUAACCCCCACCGUGCGCCAUUACUAUUUUUGAAUUUUGAAUUUGGAUCUGGAUCGUGAUUUUUUUGCCCAUUUUUUGCUCGUUUUUUUGCUCGCUUUUUGCACGAUAUUAUUUCAAAAUUUGUUCCUGUUUCUGGAUCUUGUAUGUUCUUUUGUCGUGUUCUUUUGCCAGAGAGGAGUUCGCCGGAGAGGAGGAGGAGGAGGUCACCGGAGAGGUGCUCGCCUACAUCGCCGGAGAGGAGGAGGAGGAGUUCGCCGGAGAGGAGGAGGAGGAGGUCGCCGGAGAGGAGUUCACCGGAGCAUCGGAGAGAAGGAAGGAGAAACNNNNNNNNNNNNNNNNNNNNNNNNNNNNNNNNNNNNNNNNNNNNNNNNNNNNNNNNNNNNNNNNNNNNNNNNNNNNNNNNNNNNNNNNNNNNNNNNNNNNNNNNNNNNNNNNNNNNNNNNNNNNNNNNNNNNNNNNNNNNNNNNNNNNNNNNNNNNNNNNNNNNNNNNNNNNNNNNNNNNNNNNNNNNNNNNNNNNNNNNNNNNNNNNNNNNNNNNNNNNNNNNNNNNNNNNNNNNNNNNNNNNNNNNNNNNNNNNNNNNNNNNNNNNNNNNNNNNNNNNNNNNNNNNNNNAGGAGGAGAAACCGUGAGGGGAGGGGAGGGGAGGAGAGGAGGGAGGAGGAGGUCGCCGGAGAGGAGGAGGAGGAGGUCGCCGGAGAGGAGGAGGGUAGUAUGGUGGAGGAGAGAAGGGAAGAUGGAGUGGAGGAGAGGAGGAGAUGGAGUGGAGGAGAGGUGGAGUGGAGGAGAAGAAUGAAGAGGUAAGGAGGAGAGGACCACGCCCAGCCAUAUAUACGGCAUAGUAAUGGCGCACCGCGGGUAGGUGCGCCAUUACUAACAUUUUUUUAUUUUUUUUUAUAUAUUUUGAAUUUUGAAGGCAGGAGGAUACUAAUGGCGCACCAUGGGCAAGUGCGCCAUUAGUAACUUUUCUUAUUUUUUUGACUUAUUUUGAAUUUUGAAGGCGGGAAGAUACUAAUGGCGCACCAUGGGCAGGUGGGCCAUUAGUAACUUUUUUUUAUUUUUUUGACUUAUUUUGAAUUUUGAAGGUGGGAAGAUAGUAAUGGCGCACCAAGGGUAGGUGCGCCAUUAGUAAGUUUGAAUUUUUUUGAAUUUUUUGCCUCUCCAGAUCUUAAAAGCCCCGUAUCUUAUUUUCUGUUAGGUUUUUGAGGAUUUUGAAAAUGUUUAACGGGGUUCCCCCAAUUAAAUUCGGAUGUAACUUUUUGAGUAGAUGAUUUUUCAUAUAAAAAACUUUUUCAUCCGAGUUCGUAUGCAAAAGUUAUGCCCAUUUUUACAAAUUCUCGAGAGAUUUUGCAAAAAAGUCAAAAAUUCAUGUUUGUAAAUUAUGCUAACAACUAGACCACAUAUCUCAUGGAAAUCUUAUUUUCUUUUAUUUUUUUGACAUUUCUAUCAUUUUCUUUUAUNNNNNNNNNNNNNNNNNNNNNNNNNNNNNNNNNNNNNNNNNNNNNNNNNNNNNNNNNNNNNNNNNNNNNNNNNNNNNNNNNNNNNNNNNNNNNNNNNNNNNNNNNNNNNNNNNNNNNNNNNNNNNNNNNNNNNNNNNNNNNNNNNNNNNNNNNNNNNNNNNNNNNNNNNNNNNNNNNNNNNNNNNNNNNNNNNNNNNNNNNNNNNNNNNNNNNNNNNNNNNNNNNNNNNNNNNNNNNNNNNNNNNNNNNNNNNNNNNNNNNNNNNNNNNNNNNNNNNNNNNNNNNNNNNNNNNNNNNNNNNNNNNNNNNNNNNNNNNNNNNNNNNNNNNNNNNNAAUUACUAAUGGUGCACCGUGGGAUGGUGCGCCAUUACUAGUUCAACUAGUAAUGGCGCACCACUCCCACGGUGCGCCAUUAGUAGUUUGAAAUUUUUUUAAAAAAAUUUACUAAUGGCGCACCGUGGAUGUGGUGCGCCAUUAGUAUUUGGACACUAAUGGCGUACCAACACGUGGUGCGCCAUUAGUAUAUAGUAAUGGCACACCACAUGUCUGGUGGGCCAUUAGUGUCAAUUCCAUCUAUAGCCCUUUUCCUAGUAGUGUAACCGGCGAAAUUUCGCAUAGGCUGCCUGCCCAAGGGCAGGUUAUUCCUACUCCCGAGCCUGGUGAGAGCGUGGUGUUCGUGUCUCACUUCCUUCGGGGUUUAGGCUUCCCGACGGACCCCUUCGUGAGGGGGCUCAUGUUUUAUUAUGGGCUGGAAUUCCACGACUUGGAUCCGGAGUCCAUCCUCCACAUCUCAUUGUUCAUUGUCGUAUGCGAAGCCUUCCUCCGCAUUACCCCUCACUUCGGAUUGUGGCUCAAGACCUUCAAAGUGGAGCCAAAGAUGAUCAAGGGGCAGCAGACAGAGUGCGGAGGGGCUGUUAUAAGAAAAAAUGCUGACACUCCAUGGCACGAGGGCUCUUUUCAAGAGGUGCUCGGUUUAUGGCAACAGGAGUGGUUCUACAUCACCGCUCCCAGGGGCACCAAAUGGGUGGGGCCACCUGCCUUCCGCCCGGGUCCUCCACAGGGGCUGGCGUCAUGGGUCAACAAAGGGCUCGACUGGGGGCCGUCCAAGGACGUUCCUCUGCUGCAGGGCCGUAUUUGAGACCUCCAAGAGAGAGAGAGAUCAAUCUGGUCGUAGUGGCGCAGGUCAUGCUGAUUCGGCGCCUUCUGCCCUGCAAACGUCGCCCCCCCCUCCAUCUGUGGGAAUUUAAUCCGGAGGGACCACGAGCUCUCCAACACUUCAUGGGCGCGACGCCCGUGGAGAUGUAUAAACUGUUCUUCGGAUCACAAGAGAUGUGUCCGGACUUGACUGAGGACGCAGGUCUGAGCUGCAAUUGCCCGGAUACUCAAGUAAGUAGUCCUGUGCCCGGACACGCUAUUCGUACAUUUAUCAUAAACUUGCCCUUUAAAGAGUUGUCCCUUGAACAGGAGUGGAUAGCGAAAGCAAAACUAAUAAGGUGGCCGGCCCCCCUCCCUGAGACCACGCCAGAUCCUGUGUUAACCAAGAUGCUGGAGGCUGCGCCUUUGGAAGAGGGCAAAGGGGGGAGCAGGGAAGCUACUGCCUCCGUGAAGGAGGCUUUCAAGGAAGGGGGAUCGAGAAUCCCUCCCUCCAGGGGGAGAAGAGGACCGCUUCUAAAGAUCCGGAGGCCAAGGCCUCAGAGCGGGGGAAGAAAUCUUCACCAGAGGGUCCUGCGCCAGGAGAAGCCCUGGCCGCACUAUUUCCCCAAGGGAAUCAGCCCUCCAGCAAGCCGUAAGUAGAAAGGGGAGUUUUGUAAUAAGGGACAUCCCUGUUUUUAUUUCUGAAGAUAACCGAAGCUUUACCUUGUAGUUCGGAUCUCAGCCCUUCUGAGCAGAGCUCAUCUUCGGGGGAUCUUCGUCCGGAGAUGAUGGAGAGGGAAACGCCUCCAUCUGCCGUACCGUCGUGCAGGGCGGACGACCCUGAGGUGUCAUCGCGGAGGGUUUCCCCGAGUCCGGCGGGGCCAGGAGGUCCGGCACCAACUGGUGUACGGUCGGAGGAGCUGAAGGAUCUGCUCGGGCGAGCGUCUAUCUCAGAAGAUCACCGUGCGUUAAUGGGUACGGUGAUUGAAAGGAUUUCAUCCGCUGAGAGCGGAUUGCAUGAAGCCGCCAGAAGUUUACUGACGGGGUUUGAGGUACGCGAAAAUGAUAUACCUUCUGACAGUUUUGCAUAUAGAAUGCGCCCUGUAUAGAUAGUAGCCCCUGAGGCUCGGUACGUUGUCGAAAGUGACAGCGCGCCGAGGAUCAUAAUCUCAGUUGUAAGAUGUCUCCUGUCCUAUAUAGGUGGCGGAGCGUCCGGUGGCCAGCCAGACUGAUCAAUUUGCCGAACUGAAGCGGCAACUUGACGUGGCGGAUGCGGACAUCGGGCUUGUCAAUAAGCGGCUUGACGAGUCACAAGGUAUGCAACUUCUCCGCGGACAUCUGGUAAGGGGGCUUGACGCCCAUGCCUUACAACAUGUAUGCUUUAUGCAGAUGGUGCCGCUGCUAUGGAGAACCUUCGGGCGGAGCUAGCCCGAGUCAAGGAGUAACCCAGAAAAAGUGAUGCGGCUGCCUUGAGGGCGGCCAAAGAGCUAAAAGCCGAACAGGUUGCUCACUGCCGAAGCAGGGAGGAAAUGGCCGAGAUGGCCGUAAAGUUGAAGAAUGCUACCGACCGUUGCGAGCUUCUUGAAAAAGAAGGGCGAGCGGAACAAGAGGACUUGAAAAAGGCCACUACUGAGGCCAAGGAUGCUCGCUCUGCGAUGAGAGCUAUGAAGGAGGAGCUGCGUCAGGCCGAAGAUAUUACGGCUGGAAAGCCUUUUCUGCUGCGGAGGAAAUUUACGGAUCCUAAGUAUGCUCAGUUGGGCCAGUUGUGGGGUGCGGAGGAUGCUUAUCUGGAUUUGGCGGCGAGUGCCGCAGACGCGGUAGCACACUUCCGAGGCCAAAAGGAUCACGGAAUGGAAGAGCUUUUUUGGUCGCAGUUCCAUAGUCAAAAGCGUCCACUUCCAUUAACCGAUCGGUUAGCCGAAUGGGCUGAGCUGAAUAGGUUGUCCGAACUUGCCAUGAAGGAUGUCGGGACUCAUUUGUGGCCGAAAAGGCCCGAGCCGAAGAGUUAUUUUGGCUUGGUGCAGCAGUUCCUUAGUGCGGUGCCGCAUAUCGAUGCAAUGAAGCGGUCGGCAUGCAUAGAGGGUGUGCGGAUGGCUCUUGCCCGUGUCAAGACAUGCUGGGCGGAGAUGAAGGCCACCGAUGUUGCAUCCCAGGAUUCGGACAGAAGCCGAGUACCUGCCGAGCACUAUUUUGAGGAAGUCAUGCAGGGUGCUCGUUUAAUAGAGACGCAGUGCUCGAAGGAUAUUAUGUUCUAAAGACAUGUAUGAUUUGUGAAACAAUGUUUCAAUAUAAUAUAAGGGCUUUUUAUACUUGUGCGUUCAAGUAUUGAAAUACCUCCUGUCGGCCGUUAAUGUAUAUGUGUAUAUAACCUGAAAGAUGGCAGUCUUCGGCUUCAGCCCCCACGUACAUAGUGCGGGGGUGUUUGCAAAAAAAGUGCAUUUUCACACUUAACCCAACGUCUUGGUCCUGUGAAGGAGGUGAUAGCGUAGCAAACUAGGCAACCGGACUAUAAUGCUUUAUCACUUUCACUUAGCCAUAGCAGUUCGAUGGUGGGGCUACUAUAUAGCCCCUAAGGGCACCACGCUCUCCGAAUUCGGGGCGCGUAUGUGCCUGACCGGGAAACGGUCCUUUGUUAAUGCGAAGGAAUUCUAAACAUUCCGGUGGGUCAUCGAGUGGUUGACCAGUCUCACGCUAUAUCAUGACAGUCAGUUUUCGGCUUUCUCUACUGAGGUGCUCACCAGGCCGAACCGGGGCACAAUCGCAGUAGUUCUCCUGGUGCCGCUUUAGCCGAUAGAGCGUAACGUAAGGCAGCAAAACACAGGAGCCGGGCAAACCCAACAUUUAACCAAAGACAUGAUUCGGAGCUGAUGCAUAUAAGGCCUAACUCGAGACGCCGAACACUCCCUAAGGUAUUCGGUCUUUAUGAAAACGGGCAGAACAAUGCCCUAAGCCCCUUGUGUCCAGGUACGCGCAAAAAUUUCUGACGCGGCCGAUGCCAAAACGCCAGCCUCCUCCUCGGUUAUAGCAAGAAACCGGGGGAUGUGUAACAACAAGAGACAGUAAAAAAGGUUUACGCAGGGUCUUAAUCUGAAAAGAAUCCUUGCAACGGGUCCCUGCUGCACAUCUGCGCCUGUGUCUCCGUUGUGCCGUAUCCUGGACGGGUAUAGCACGGCGUUCAUCUGUAAAAGAGAGGAACUUAGUUGGAAAAAAGAUUGUGCGAAAAAUGUAUUUUAAGAUAAACAGAGUAUGAUUCAAAAAAUGAAUAGAACUGAGCUUUAUUGUCUCUUGUUGUACAUGCGUGGAGCCCCUUGUAAGGGGGUACGCGGCUAGUAAGCCCCUUGUUUAUUUAUACCGGACUCGCCUAACCGUGUCCAGGGUCUGAAUGACCUGUUUAGGUGCUUUGAUCAGCAAAGCCGGAUUAGUGUGUGGCUGUCAAGGCAGUCUCAUGUUCUUCCGUAUUCGAGGAACACUUGAAGUUUCCCUUUAAUGAGAUGAUGCCGCGUGGACCGGGCAUUUUAAGUGUAACAGAUGCGUAAUGCGGUAUUGUGUUAAAGCGGGCGAAAGCUUCGCGUCCCAAUAGUGCUUCAUAGCUACUUUUAAAUGGGGCUAUGUUGAAGACUAACUUUUCACGACGGAAGUUGUUGGAUGAGCCGAACACAACUUCGAGUAGUAGAGAGCCCGUACAAAGGGCAUAUGGGCCUGGCAUCACUCCUUUAAAGGAAGUGUUGCUAUGGCGAAUUUUGGUUGGGUCUAUCCCCAUUUUGCAGAUUCUGCCUUGAUAUAGCAGGUUUAGAUCACUGCCGCCGUCCAUUAGGACUUCUCUGAAUUGGAAUCCGUCGAUUAUAGGAUCUAAUAUCAGGGCAGUCCAUCCUGCGUUCUGGAUACUUUCGGACUAAUCCUGAUGAUCAAAGGUGAUUGGUUUUGACAACCAGUGUCGGGACUCCAUCGGGAUAGACCGUGCGGCGCGUAUUUCAAUGGGCGCCGCUCUAUUUUUCCUUGUUGUCACUUGAAGUGAGUUUACUGUUUUGACCUCUUGUGGGAAAUUCUUUUGUUUUCCUGUGCUCUGCUUGUGGGGUUCGUCAUCGUCCUCACUUGGUGUGUCGAGCCCCUUGUGUUCGGCGUUAAGUCGGCCGGACUGUUUGAAGACCCAACAAUCUCUGUGGGUAUGGUUUGCAGGCUUUCUGGGGGUACUGUGGAUUUGGCAUAUCUUGUCCAAGAUUUUGUUUAAGUUGGAUAGCUCGUCGCUGUUGUCCUUAAGGGGCAGUUUUUUAUUGUUCUGUCGAGAGCUUUUGAAUGCGGCGUUGACUGUCGUGCUCUUCGGGCUGUUUCCCUUGGUUCGGCGCUAGUCCUUGUUGCGUCGUGGUUUCCCAUUUCCAUCCCUGACCUCAGAUGUACUUGGGUCACUGGUGCUGCAUCUUGCCAGCCAGCUAUCCUCUCCCGCGCAGAAGCAGGUCAUGAGGCUUGUUAGUGCGGCCAUUAUUCUUGGCUUUUCCUAGCCAAGGUGUCUGGCGAGCCAUUCGUCUCGAACGUUAUGUUUGAAAGCUGCUAAGGCUUCGGCGUCCGGACAGUCGACUAUUUGGUUCUUUUUGGUGAGAAACCUAUUCCAGAAUUUUCGGGCUGACUCGCCGGGCUAUUGGGUUAUGUGACUUAAAUCGUCUGCGUCCGGAGGUCGGACAUAGGUCCCUUGAAAAUUGGCCCGAAAAGCAUCCUCGAGCUCUUCCCAACUUCCAAUAGUGUUUUUGGGGAGGCUUUUAAGCCAAUGCCGGGCUGGCCCUUUGAGCUUGAGGGGUAAAUAUUUGAUGGCGUGGAGGUCAUCUUCUCUGGCCAUGUGUAUGUGGAGGAUGUAAUCCUCAAUCCAGACUCCAGGGUCUGUUGUUCCGUCGUAUGCCUCUAUGUUUACGGGCUUGAAUCCCGCAGGAAAUUCAUGAUCCAGCACCUCAUCGGUGAAACAUAGGGGGUGCACGGCGCCCCUAUAUUUGGGUGUGCCGUGAUGUUCGGAUACUUGACGUGCUGCAUUGCUCGCUAGAGCUUGUUUUCUUGGCCCAUAGAUAGACCUAACUGGGUCAUCCUUUUGGGGCAAAUCCUUAUGCGGAUCGCGUGCCGGCUUGUGUGCGGCGCCGCUUGCCGCUCUAUGUUUGCCAUGUGGUCGUCUAUCCGACCGGGCGGCCUCUUUGUUCUUUGAUUGUGGGGGCUCUAUGGCCUCCUUGUCAAAUUCGGGCAGUAGUUUGCGCUUCGGGUAGCUAUUUGUUUUGGCGACUAUCGCCAUAUUUGUCUGCGGUGUUGAGUACUUUGCUCCAUCUCAUUCUGAGUGCAUCUUCCGCUGUGUUGAGCUUCCGCUUCUGCUUCUUCAGACUACGUGCAGUGGCGAUGAGCCUUUUGUGGAGGUUCUUCUGCUCCAACGAUGUGUCCGGCGUGAGACCAUUCGGACUGUUAUCUUCGCCGGGGAUGGAUUGUUUAUGCAAGUUAUCCUAUUCGGAUGGUUGCUCGAGGACAUGUUCGUCGUCCAUCGGUUCGCCCUGCUCUAUGGCUGGGUCUGUAUGGGUGUUGUCUUUGUCGAGGCGGGACUUUGAGCGGCGCUUACGUCACCGUUUUGACUGCUUUUCGAGGGAAUUAUCCCUCGCAGCAUCCCGUUGUUCCUCGUUAUCACUUCUUUUAGGUGUAUCCACCAUAUAUACAUCAUGUGUUGAGGUGGCCUUCCAGUGCCCUGUAGGCGCUGGUUCUUGGUCGUCUCCGGCAUCGUCGUCCAUACCGUCGAUGUCUUCGGAGUCAAAGUCGAGCAUGUCGGUUAAAUCAUCGACAAUGGCUACAAAGUGGGUGGUGGGUGGGCAUUGAAUUUCUUCGUCGUCCGCAUCCCAACCUUCCUGACCGUAGUCCGGCCAGGUCUCUCCUGAUAAAGAGAGAGACUUUAGUGAAUUCAGGAUGUCGCCAAAGGGCGAGUACUGAAAGAUGUCUGCGGUAGUGAACUCCAUAACCGGCGCCCAAUCGGAUUUGAUAGGCAGGGGCGCGGGAGGUUCGGAGUCCAGAGAGGAGUCCGGCACCUCGGAGUCACGGGCUUUGCGAAGGACAGGGAUGGUGUUCGGCUCAAUCGCCAUAGAGAUCGUAGCCCCCGAGGCGGUGUCCAGCCACUCAUCCUCGACCGGCGAAGUCGGCUCCGAGCUAGGGGUCGGAGCGGACGCUGGUGCGGCCUCCAGGGUACUGUCCGGCGGUAGAGCUAGAUCAUACCCAUCGAGAUAGUGUGGUACGCUUGGCUGUGGCUCGAAUCCAUCGAAGAUCAAGUCUCCGCGGAUGUCGGCCGUGUAGUUCAAACUCCCAAAUCUAACCUGAUGGCCAGGGGCGUAGCUUUCAAUCUGCUCCAGAUGGCCAAGUGAAUUGGCACGCAGUGUAAAGCCGCCGAAUACGAAGAUCUGUCCGGGGAGAAAAGUCUCACCUGGGACCGCGUCGUUGUUGACGAUCGAAGAAGCCAUCGGGCCUAACGGUGACGACACAGAGGAACUCUCAAUGAAAGCACCAAUGUCGGUGUCAAAACCGGCGGAUCUCGGGUAGGGGGUCCCGAACUGUGCGUCUAGGCGGAUGGUAACAGGAGACAAGGGACACGAUGUUUUUACCCAGGUUCGUGCCCUCUCGAUGGAGGUAAAACCCUACUCCUGCUUGAUUAAUAUUGAUGAUAUGGGUAGUACAAGAGUAGAUCUACCACGAGAUCAAAGAGGCUAAACCCUAGAAGCUAGCCUAUGGUAUGAUUGUUGUUCGUCCUACAGACUAAAACCCUCCAGUUUAUAUAGACACCGGAGAGGGCUAAGGUUACACAGAGUCGGUUACAAUGGUAGGAGAUCUACAUAUCCGUAUUGCCAAGCUUGCCUUCCACGCCAAGGAAAGUCCCAUCCGGACACGGGACGAAGUCUUCAAUCUUGUAUCUUCAUAGUCUAGGAGUCCGGCCAAAGAUGAUAGUUCGGCUAUCCGGACACCCCCUAGUCGAGGACUCCCUCAGAGGGCCUUUAGUACCGGUUGGUGGCACCAACCGGUACUAAAGGGCAACACAUUAGUACCGGUUGGAGCCACGAACCGGUACUAAAGGCCGUGCGCUGCCACCCGCGAUGCGCCACUUUUACUCCCACCUCGCCGAGCGAAGGGCAGCCGCACUGGUUUAUAAACCCAGCCGCGGUUGCCCUUUCGAACUCCUCUAUAUAGCAGGCUUCCGGGCCUAACUACGGUGUGCUGCCCUAUGAGCCUGCGGGAUCUUCUGGUCCUGUAUUUGCAUACCCGUAGGUCUGGCAGGCCCACCGGGCAGCGCCCCAACAUUUUUUUAUAUAUUUUUGCUUUAUAUAAUUUUUUUACUUUUCUGCAUUAUUUAUUUUCUUCUAUUUAUUUUUGAGUAAUUUUUUAUAUAGUUUUUUCUUUUCUGCUUUAUUUUCUUCUUCUUCUUCUUCUUCUUCUCCUUCUCCUUCUCCUUCUUCUUCUCCUUCUUCUUCUUCUUCUUCUUCUUCUUCUUCUUCUUCUUCUUCUUCNNNNNNNNNNNNNNNNNNNNNNNNNNNNNNNNNNNNNNNNNNNNNNNNNNNNNNNNNNNNNNNNNNNNNNNNNNNNNNNNNNNNNNNNNNNNNNNNNNNNNNNNNNNNNNNNNNNNNNNNNNNNNNNNNNNNNNNNNNNNNNNNNNNNNNNNNNNNNNNNNNNNNNNNNNNNNNNNNNNNNNNNNNNNNNNNNNNNNNNNNNNNNNNNNNNNNNNNNNNNNNNNNNNNNNNNNNNNNNNNNNNNNNNNNNNNNNNNNNNNNNNNNNNNNNNNNNNNNNNNNNNNNNNNNNNNNNNNNNNNNNNNNNNNNNNNNNNNNNNNNNNNNNNNNNNNNNNNNNNNNNNNNNNNNNNNNNNNNNNNNNNNNNNNNNNNNNNNNNNNNNNNNNNNNNNNNNNNNNNNNNNNNNNNNNNNNNNNNNNNNNNNNNNNNNNNNNNNNNNNNNNNNNNNNNNNNNNNNNNNNNNNNNNNNNNNNNNNNNNNNNNNNNNNNNNNNNNNNNNNNNNNNNNNNNNNNNNNNNNNNNNNNNNNNNNNNNNNNNNNNNNNNNNNNNNNNNNNNNNNNNNNNNNNNNNNNNNNNNNNNNNNNNNNNNNNNNNNNNNNNNNNNNNNNNNNNNNNNNNNNNNNNNNNNNNNNNNNNNNNNNNNNNNNNNNNNNNNNNNNNNNNNNNNNNNNNNNNNNNNNNNNNNNNNNNNNNNNNNNNNNNNNNNNNNNNNNNNNNNNNNNNNNNNNNNNNNNNNNNNNNNNNNNNNNNNNNNNNNNNNNNNNNNNNNNNNNNNNNNNNNNNNNNNNNNNNNNNNNNNNNNNNNNNNNNNNNNNNNNNNNNNNNNNNNNNNNNNNNNNNNNNNNNNNNNNNNNNNNNNNNNNNNNNNNNNNNNNNNNNNNNNNNNNNNNNNNNNNNNNNNNNNNNNNNNNNNNNNNNNNNNNNNNNNNNNNNNNNNNNNNNNNNNNNNNNNNNNNNNNNNNNNNNNNNNNNNNNNNNNNNNNNNNNNNNNNNNNNNNNNNNNNNNNNNNNNNNNNNNNNNNNNNNNNNNNNNNNNNNNNNNNNNNNNNNNNNNNNNNNNNNNNNNNNNNNNNNNNNNNNNNNNNNNNNNNNNNNNNNNNNNNNNNNNNNNNNNNNNNNNNNNNNNNNNNNNNNNNNNNNNNNNNNNNNNNNNNNNNNNNNNNNNNNNNNNNNNNNNNNNNNNNNNNNNNNNNNNNNNNNNNNNNNNNNNNNNNNNNNNNNNNNNNNNNNNNNNNNNNNNNNNNNNNNNNNNNNNNNNNNNNNNNNNNNNNNNNNNNNNNNNNNNNNNNNNNNNNNNNNNNNNNNNNNNNNNNNNNNNNNNNNNNNNNNNNNNNNNNNNNNNNNNNNNNNNNNNNNNNNNNNNNNNNNNNNNNNNNNNNNNNNNNNNNNNNNNNNNNNNNNNNNNNNNNNNNNNNNNNNNNNNNNNNNNNNNNNNNNNNNNNNNNNNNNNNNNNNNNNNNNNNNNNNNNNNNNNNNNNNNNNNNNNNNNNNNNNNNNNNNNNNNNNNNNNNNNNNNNNNNNNNNNNNNNNNNNNNNNNNNNNNNNNNNNNNNNNNNNNNNNNNNNNNNNNNNNNNNNNNNNNNNNNNNNNNNNNNNNNNNNNNNNNNNNNNNNNNNNNNNNNNNNNNNNNNNNNNNNNNNNNNNNNNNNNNNNNNNNNNNNNNNNNNNNNNNNNNNNNNNNNNNNNNNNNNNNNNNNNNNNNNNNNNNNNNNNNNNNNNNNNNNNNNNNNNNNNNNNNNNNNNNNNNNNNNNNNNNNNNNNNNNNNNNNNNNNNNNNNNNNNNNNNNNNNNNNNNNNNNNNNNNNNNNNNNNNNNNNNNNNNNNNNNNNNNNNNNNNNNNNNNNNNNNNNNNNNNNNNNNNNNNNNNNNNNNNNNNNNNNNNNNNNNNNNNNNNNNNNNNNNNNNNNNNNNNNNNNNNNNNNNNNNNNNNNNNNNNNNNNNNNNNNNNNNNNNNNNNNNNNNNNNNNNNNNNNNNNNNNNNNNNNNNNNNNNNNNNNNNNNNNNNNNNNNNNNNNNNNNNNNNNNNNNNNNNNNNNNNNNNNNNNNNNNNNNNNNNNNNNNNNNNNNNNNNNNNNNNNNNNNNNNNNNNNNNNNNNNNNNNNNNNNNNNNNNNNNNNNNNNNNNNNNNNNNNNNNNNNNNNNNNNNNNNNNNNNNNNNNNNNNNNNNNNNNNNNNNNNNNNNNNNNNNNNNNNNNNNNNNNNNNNNNNNNNNNNNNNNNNNNNNNNNNNNNNNNNNNNNNNNNNNNNNNNNNNNNNNNNNNNNNNNNNNNNNNNNNNNNNNNNNNNNNNNNNNNNNNNNNNNNNNNNNNNNNNNNNNNNNNNNNNNNNNNNNNNNNNNNNNNNNNNNNNNNNNNNNNNNNNNNNNNNNNNNNNNNNNNNNNNNNNNNNNNNNNNNNNNNNNNNNNNNNNNNNNNNNNNNNNNNNNNNNNNNNNNNNNNNNNNNNNNNNNNNNNNNNNNNNNNNNNNNNNNNNNNNNNNNNNNNNNNNNNNNNNNNNNNNNNNNNNNNNNNNNNNNNNNNNNNNNNNNNNNNNNNNNNNNNNNNNNNNNNNNNNNNNNNNNNNNNNNNNNNNNNNNNNNNNNNNNNNNNNNNNNNNNNNNNNNNNNNNNNNNNNNNNNNNNNNNNNNNNNNNNNNNNNNNNNNNNNNNNNNNNNNNNNNNNNNNNNNNNNNNNNNNNNNNNNNNNNNNNNNNNNNNNNNNNNNNNNNNNNNNNNNNNNNNNNNNNNNNNNNNNNNNNNNNNNNNNNNNNNNNNNNNNNNNNNNNNNNNNNNNNNNNNNNNNNNNNNNNNNNNNNNNNNNNNNNNNNNNNNNNNNNNNNNNNNNNNNNNNNNNNNNNNNNNNNNNNNNNNNNNNNNNNNNNNNNNNNNNNNNNNNNNNNNNNNNNNNNNNNNNNNNNNNNNNNNNNNNNNNNNNNNNNNNNNNNNNNNNNNNNNNNNNNNNNNNNNNNNNNNNNNNNNNNNNNNNNNNNNNNNNNNNNNNNNNNNNNNNNNNNNNNNNNNNNNNNNNNNNNNNNNNNNNNNNNNNNNNNNNNNNNNNNNNNNNNNNNNNNNNNNNNNNNNNNNNNNNNNNNNNNNNNNNNNNNNNNNNNNNNNNNNNNNNNNNNNNNNNNNNNNNNNNNNNNNNNNNNNNNNNNNNNNNNNNNNNNNNNNNNNNNNNNNNNNNNNNNNNNNNNNNNNNNNNNNNNNNNNNNNNNNNNNNNNNNNNNNNNNNNNNNNNNNNNNNNNNNNNNNNNNNNNNNNNNNNNNNNNNNNNNNNNNNNNNNNNNNNNNNNNNNNNNNNNNNNNNNNNNNNNNNNNNNNNNNNNNNNNNNNNNNNNNNNNNNNNNNNNNNNNNNNNNNNNNNNNNNNNNNNNNNNNNNNNNNNNNNNNNNNNNNNNNNNNNNNNNNNNNNNNNNNNNNNNNNNNNNNNNNNNNNNNNNNNNNNNNNNNNNNNNNNNNNNNNNNNNNNNNNNNNNNNNNNNNNNNNNNNNNNNNNNNNNNNNNNNNNNNNNNNNNNNNNNNNNNNNNNNNNNNNNNNNNNNNNNNNNNNNNNNNNNNNNNNNNNNNNNNNNNNNNNNNNNNNNNNNNNNNNNNNNNNNNNNNNNNNNNNNNNNNNNNNNNNNNNNNNNNNNNNNNNNUUCUUCCUCUGCUUCUUCUUCCACUUCCUCUUCUUCUUCUUCUUCCUCUUCUUCUUCUGCUUCUUCUACUUCUGCUGCUUCUUCUGCUUCUUCUUCUUCUGCUUUUUCUUCCUCUUCUUCUUCUUCUUCUUCUUCUGCUUCUUCUUCCUCUUCUUCUUCUUCUGCUUCUUCUUCUGCUUCUUCUUUAUAUAGAGUUCAAUGAAGACCAAAUGCUUGUGAUAGUUUGAAAAAUAACAUAUUUAAAUUGUGCAUCUGAACGCAGAAAAAAUACAUUGGUCAGUACCGCCUUCCGGCCGAAACGCGCUACUGCUACAGAGAAGUACAUAUAAAAAAUACAUUGAUCAUCAAUGAUCUUUUUGUAUAGAAUCUACAUCGUCAAUAGGAAUCUAGUACAUAUAAAAAAUACAUUGAUCAUCAAUGAUCUUUUUUUAUAGAAUCAACAUCGUCAAUAGGAAUCUACCACCGAUUUAAGAACCGGCGAAGACUCCUAUUGCAGCCACAGAUCCUACACAUAGAGUUCAAUGAAGACCAACUGCUUGUGAUAGUUUGAGAAGUAACAUAUUUAAGGUGGUCAAAUUCUUGUUAGGGGACCAAGGUGGGACUAAAAAUAGCGCCUGCCACAACCUAUUUAGUACCGGUUCGUGCCACGAACCGGUACUAAAGAUACGCAAUGAACCGGUACUAAAGGUCACCUCCCGCCAAGUCAUUUGAACCGGCACUAAUGGACGCAUUAGUGCCGGCUCAUAUGCAAACCGGUACUAAUGCUUCUCAUAUUUGACCCUUUUUCUACUAGUGCAUACUCCACCGUGUGUGCUAACUUAAUUAAUUUUCCGUAGAAAUAUUUCCGCCUUCAGAUUGUAUUUUUUGUUGUGUACACUAAAAAUAACAUACUGAAACAAAACAACGUUGUACUAAAAAUGUAAAAGAAGAUAUUAUAAAACUAACAAACAUUUUUCUAUACAAACAGCUAUUUAAUAUCAGAAUCGUCUGGUGUGUAAAAUUCUAAUUAAUUAUGAAAUUAUAGGCAGAUAUUUCGCGAAUCUCUGAUAUCCUAUCACUAAAACAAUACGUGCAUGUUAAAUAUUUUAUUUGCUUCCUUUAAAAAAAGUUCCUAUUCGGUUUAGCACACAUGAAAUCUUAAGACGGGUUAUCUUUUUUGUCUUGCAAUCAUAUAGUAGGUUCUACUCACCGAAUCACAAAAUUGAUCCCAUUAAUUAAUAUUUGAUCGUGACCAAAUCAGUCGAUUUGUUUACCGAUUUCGUAAUCAGAGCUUCCUAGAAACGCUUAUAUAUUGAUCAACCGUUCCAGCGACCUUGCCAUACCUCUCUUGAACAAGUUAAACGAUUUCUUGACACUCCAUCCUCCUCUCACAUGGCGUCAUCCAACAGUUCAAUUCGCUUUAGCGAUGAUGCUAUUGAGGAUAUUCGUUGGCAGGAAUAAGAAAGUGAAGAUCUCGAUGUACUGGAAGAUCAUGACGGCACUACGCCGAUGCGUCCCUCUGCUGAGGGUAACACACCAAAGUCAAAAAGGCUUAGGAUGCAUAAUCACGUUGAGCCUAUUAACCUGCCUAUUAGUAGUAGAUAUCCCGUUAGGAAAGACGAUAGGAAAGAAGGUUUGGGGGACGGUUGGGCUACUAGAAACGAUCAAAUUCUGCAGGCAACCAAGGAGAGGAACAAGCUGAUGCAAACUCUCAUAAAGAAGAUCAAUCAGUUGGAAUAUAUGGUUGUGAAGCACAUGCAAGCAUGCGACAAGAAGACGGAAAUGCCUUGAAAGGAGCAAUCAUGAGGAGUUAUACAAUAUUCUUUACAGCUUUUUAUGUUUUAUGUUUCAACGCUCCUUAAGAGCAUUUUGCAUUGUAAUCGAUUUGGAGUCAAACUAUGAAAGUAUGAAUAAAGAACAUAUAUUGUUUCAUGCUUGCUUUCUUACCAUCUGUUUUUUUAUCUUCCCUNNNNNNNNNNNNNNNNNNNNNNNNNNNNNNNNNNNNNNNNNNNNNNNNNNNNNNNNNNNNNNNNNNNNNNNNNNNNNNNNNNNNNNNNNNNNNNNNNNNNNNNNNNNNNNNNNNNNNNNNNNNNNNNNNNNNNNNNNNNNNNNNNNNNNNNNNNNNNNNNNNNNNNNNNNNNNNNNNNNNNNNNNNNNNNNNNNNNNNNNNNNNNNNNNNNNNNNNNNNNNNNNNNNNNNNNNNNNNNNNNNNNNNNNNNNNNNNNNNNNNNNNNNNNNNNNNNNNNNNNNNNNNNNNNNNNNNNNNNNNNNNNNNNNNNNNNNNNNNNNNNNNNNNNNNNNNNNNNNNNNNNNNNNNNNNNNNNNNNNNNNNNNNNNNNNNNNNNNNNNNNNNNNNNNNNNNNNNNNNNNNNNNNNNNNNNNNNNNNNNNNNNNNNNNNNNNNNNNNNNNNNNNNNNNNNNNNNNNNNNNNNNNNNNNNNNNNNNNNNNNNNNNNNNNNNNNNNNNNNNNNNNNNNNNNNNNNNNNNNNNNNNNNNNNNNNNNNNNNNNNNNNNNNNNNNNNNNNNNNNNNNNNNNNNNNNNNNNNNNNNNNNNNNNNNNNNNNNNNNNNNNNNNNNNNNNNNNNNNNNNNNNNNNNNNNNNNNNNNNNNNNNNNNNNNNNNNNNNNNNNNNNNNNNNNNNNNNNNNNNNNNNNNNNNNNNNNNNNNNNNNNNNNNNNNNNNNNNNNNNNNNNNNNNNNNNNNNNNNNNNNNNNNNNNNNNNNNNNNNNNNNNNNNNNNNNNNNNNNNNNNNNNNNNNNNNNNNNNNNNNNNNNNNNNNNNNNNNNNNNNNNNNNNNNNNNNNNNNNNNNNNNNNNNNNNNNNNNNNNNNNNNNNNNNNNNNNNNNNNNNNNNNNNNNNNNNNNNNNNNNNNNNNNNNNNNNNNNNNNNNNNNNNNNNNNNNNNNNNNNNNNNNNNNNNNNNNNNNNNNNNNNNNNNNNNNNNNNNNCCACAUGCAAAUAUUGAAAGAAUGUUGAUUUUCCCGCCUAUGGGCCCCUUGGACUAUAUAUGCCUGUGCGCCCCUCUAUCUUUCUUUAACACUUCAUCCAUUAGCUCCCUGACCAUGGUGAUAUCGUAUAGCUCGAGGCCCUCGAGGAGGGUGAUGGCGAAUCCACCGGAUCCCAUCAGCCCUCCGAUGAACAGGCAAGUGUAUAGAUCUUCAUGCACACUUAUCUGACAUCACCGUUUGUUUAUCCCAUCAUUUUGUAUUAUUUUAUGUAGGUACCUGAAUUUUCAAAGUGUACAGAUGGAACAUAUCUAUCACAGAUGUUGGAUCAUUCGAGCUAAGGUGAUGUGGAAGUCCCAUAUCAGGGUGCAUGCAAUGGGAAACCCAUGCUUUCGUUGCAUACUUGUGGACCAGGAAGUAUGAGAUUAGUGAUCACUAAAUAUAUCAACCUUUUUUAAUGUAUAUACACAUGUGUUCUAAAGACUUGUUAUCUAAAUUUUUAAAAAUUUCUAGGGAACAAAGAUUGAAGCAAUUGCCUUCAGCAACCAAGCUUAUCCAUUCAACGCCAUUCUGCAGACCNNNNNNNNNNGGCUAACAUAUGACUUCAGUAGCAUCGGGAUAAACCCCACGAAAUGCUAGAUGGUCACUUCUGGUAUCUAUGCAUGGAGUUUGUCAUUGAACUAAAUGCUAUAACCAUGGUUAGUACAUCGGUGCACAGUAUUGCAUCGACAAUCUGUCCACCUUUUUUCCCACAACUUGAUGCCAUAUCCUUGCUACGGGACAAAACCAUUACCGGUGCAACAUCUUUUAGUUUGUUUUUGCAUAUUUAUUGAUUUAACAUUUUGUCUCACCCAGACUUAAUUUUUUCCAGAUGUUCUUGGUAUUCUUGUCUAUGCUGGUAGGAUACAACAUAGGUGGGAUUCAGUAUAUAGACGACGGGUCCAUUUGUUGAGAUAGGCAUCAUGAAUUUUCGGUAAACUCCAAUCAGUACUUGAGGUUUUAUAUGAUUAUUAAUAUUUGAUAGUUCACUACCAUCAACAUAUCUUUAUCAUUCCAGACAGGAGAUACUUUUUAUACGCCUAAGUCAAGAGCAUGCUGGUCGUCACUUGUACCACUUGCAGUGCACUGAAAAUUUGUUCGAGAAAAUUUCAGUUACGUACAUACAGCUAAACCGGAGGGAUAAGUGCUUGGAGACUAUGAGGGAGAGCACAUUCUUGUUCUCCCCCGACAGUAAUGAUGAUGUUCAUCAUCUUCAAGGUAAGUUCUAUAAACUAUUUUGAUUUUUAUGGCUUUUUGUUCAUUUCUGUGUUACGAUGUUAUCCGUACUAACAAAUUGUUUUUUAGUAGAUAUCCAUGAAGCCUGCUUAAUGACACUUGACGAAACACUAUCAUACGUCAAUGCUGCAGUUGUAGCCAGGAAAAAUGGACAGUAGAUGAGUUUGCUUUUCAACACGGCUCAUUAAAUAGCCCGUUUCCCUCGGUCCUUUUAUCUACAUUUGGAAUAAUAAUGUAUUCACACAGAACAAUCAUUUCUGUUAAAGUGUGUUUUCUUUUUGCUUGUCAACUCUAUGUGUAGCCAUUAUGGCAGUAUGUAUUUUUUGUACGCGUACUUAAUUCGGGAUAUCUGGUUUUAUACAAAGGUUGAUUUUUUUCGAUUCGUUGAGAUUGAACUGUAAAUAUGGCAAUCCUUAGGAAUAAAAUAUUCAACUAUAAAAAAGGAGAAAGAUCUGAUACGCCCCCGUCACGAUUUUUUAUAAUUAGAAAGAAUCAUCUACGUCUUAAAAAUGACUUGAUAUAUUUGGCAGGCAAUAAAUAGCAUUAAAAAUAUAUCCGUUUAUAUAUAUGCUGCAUCGACAUCCUAAUUGCCAAGACACCUCAGUGAACGAUCACUCACGCAUAUCGAUCAGCGAUGGAGCCUAUCAUUGGAAGCAAUGCGCCGGCGACCGUGGAUGCCGCUGCCCCCGACCCCAAUGAGGCUGCCCUCCAGCUCCACGAUGUUGUGGCCGACCCCCAGGAGGAUUUGCCCGCACCCCUGCAUCUUCUGCCCCCACCAAGGCAUUUCGUGGAAGAUGCACUCGAAUAUAUUUUCGGCUUUAUGAACGGCGUUCAUGAUGAGCAGACACUAGAGUAAGUUAUGCUAUUGUAUGUUUAUUUUCUGUAAAGAAAUCUCAUUAGAACUAGGUCGUACACAGAAGACUCUGUUUGAUAUAGGAGUAUGAUAUUGCUUGAUUUGUUUUUCUUUAGAUUGAAUCUUACUUUUUGCGGCCAUCAGUACAAUAUUAUUUUUGUUAAAUGUUUUGGCAGUAUUUCCGUUGCACAUCAACCGUAUGUAAUGAAUAAAAAAACGCUAAUAUUAUUUUCAGUACAAAUGUUGAAAAACUUAAUGUCCUUACUAUAUUGUAUAACAAUUUAAUAUUGUUUUUGAACAGCCAGCAAACUUGGUAUAAUGGGCGAGGGAGUCCUGGAUUAGGGGGUGUCCGAGUAGCCGGACUAUACCUUCAGCAGGACUCCAGGACUAUGAAGAUACAAGAUUGAAGACUUCGUCCGGUGUCCGAAUGGGACUUUCCUUGGCAUGGAAGGCAAGCUUGGCGAUGCGGAUAUUCAAGAUCUCCUACCAUUGUAACCGACUUUGUGUAACCCUAACCCUCUCCGGUAUCUAUAUAAACCGGAGGGUUUUAUUCCAUAGGACAACUUCAUGAUACAACAAUCAUACCAUAGGCUAGCUUCUAGGGUUUAGCCUCCUUGAUCUCGUGGUAGAUCUACUCUUGUACUACCCAUAUCAUCAAUAUUAAUCAAGCGGGACGUAGGGUUUUACCUCCAUCAAGAGGGCCCGAACCUGGGUAAAACUUCGUGUCCCUUGUCUCCUGUUACCAUCCGGCCUAGACGCACAGUUCGGGACCCCCUACCCGAGAUCCGCCAGUUUUGACACCGACAUUGGUGCUUUCAUUAAGAGUUCCUCUGUGUCGUCACUUUUGGGCCCGAUGGCUCCUUCGAUCAUCUAUAACGAUGAAGUACAGGGCGAGACUUUUCGCCCCGGACAGAUCUUUGUCUUCGGCGGUUUCGCACUGUGGGCCAAUUCGUUGGCCACCUGGAGCAGAUCGAAAGCUACGCCCCUAGCCAUCAGGUCAGGUUUGGAAGCUUAAACUUCACGGCAGACAUCCGCGGGGAUUUGAUCUUCGACGGAUUCGAGCCAUAGCCGAGCGCGCCGCACUGUCUCGUUGGGCAUGAUCUAGCUCUACCGCCGAACAGUGCCCUGGAUGCCGCACACGCACCGGUUCUGACCCUUAAUUCGGAGGCUAUUGCGCCAAUCGAGGAUGAGCGGUUGGACGUCACCUCGGGGGCUGCGAUCUCAAAGGCGAUCGAGCCAAAUACCAGCCCCGCGCUCCGCACGGCCCGUGACUCCGAGGAGCCGGAUUCCUCUCCGAACUCCGAGCCCCCCGCGCCCCUGCCGAUCGAAUCCGAUUGGGCACCGAUAAUGGAGUUUACCGCCGCGGACAUCUUUCAGCACUCGCCCUUUGGCGACAUCUUGAAUUCUCUAAAGUCUCUCUCUUUAUCAGGAGAGCCCUGGCCGGACUACGAUCAGCAAGGAUGGGAUACGGACGAUGAAGAAAUUCAAAGCCCACCCACCACCCACUUGGUAGCCACUGUCGACAAUUUAAACGACGUGCUCAACUUCGACUCCGCAGACAUCGACAGCAUGGACGACGACGCAGGAGAUGCAGAUGAACCAACGCCCAUAGGGCAUUGGACAGCCACCUCAUCUCACAAUGUGUACAUGGUGGAUACCCCUAAAGGAAGCGACAAUGAGGAAAAAUGGGAUGGAACGAGGGACCGGUCCCUCGAAAAACAAUCAAAGCGUCGGUGUAAACGCCGACCCAAGCCCUGCCUCGAUAAAGACCCAGCCAUAGAGCAGGAUGAGCCAAUAGACGACGAGCAGGCCUUAGAGCAACAGUCUGAACAGGGCAACACGGAUAGAGAAACCAAACAUCCCUCCCCCGGCGAAAAUGGCACUCCGGACGACCUUACGCCGGAUAAACCCACGGAGCGGAAGAACCUCCACAAGAGGCUCGUUGCAACAGCACGCAGCCUGAAAAGGCAGAAGCGGAAGCUAAAAACAGCGGAAGAUGCACUCAGGAUCAGAUGGAGCAAAGUAAUGAAUACCGCAGAUAAAUACGGCAACAGUCGCCGCACUAAAAGCUAUCCGAAGAGAAAGCUACUGCCUGAAUUCGACGAAGAGGCCUUAGAGCCCUCGCAUUCAAAAAAUAAGAAAGCCAAAUGGCCGGAUAGACGACCCCAUGGCCAGCAUAAAACGGCAAGCGGCGCCGCACUUAAGCCGGCAUGCGACCCACUUAAGGAUUCGCAUCAUGGCCCAGACCGGUCCAUUUACAGGCCAAGAAAGCAAGGUCUCGUAAGCAAUGCAAUAAACCCAUCAUCAGAAUCCGGCACACCCAAAUACAGGGGCGCCGCACACCCCCUAUGUUUCACCGAUGAGGUCCUGGAUUAUGAAUAUCCAGAGGGAUUCAAACCCAUAAACAUAGAGGCAUAUGAUGGAACAACAGACCCUGGGGUCUGGAUCGAGGAUUAUAUCCUCCACAUACAUAUGGCUAGAGGAGAUGACCUCCANNNNNNNNNNNNNNNNNNNNNNNNNNNNNNNNNNNNNNNNNNNNNNNNNNNNNNNNNNNNNNNNNNNNNNNNNNNNNNNNNNNNNNNNNNNNNNNNNNNNAAAAAAAUUAUAUAAAGCAAAAAUAUAUAAAAAAAUGUUGGGGCGCUGCCCGGUGGGCCUGCCAGACCUACGGGUAUGCAAAUACAGGACCAGAAGAUCCAGCAGGCUCAUAGGGCAGCACACCGUAGUUAGGCCCGGAAGCCUGCUAUAUGGUGGAGUUCGAAAGGGCAGCCGCAGCUGGGUUUAUAAACCAGUGCGGCUGCCCUUCGCUCGGUGAGGUGGGAGUAAAAGUGGCGCAUCGCGGGUGGCAGCGCACGGCCUUUAGUACCGGUUGGUGGCUCCAACCGGUACUAAUGUGUUGCCCUUUAGUACCGGUUGGUGCCACCAACCGGUACUAAAGGCCCUCUGAGGGAGUCCUCGACUAGGGGGUGUCCGGAUAGCCGAACUAUCAUCUUUGGCCGGACUCCUAGACUAUGAAGAUAGAAGAUUGAAGACUUCGUCCCGUGUCCGGAUGGGACUUUCCUUGGCGUGGAAGGCAAGCUUGGCAAUACGGAUAUGUAGAUCUCCUACCAUUGUAACCAACUCUGUGUAACCCUAGCCCUCUCCGAUGUCUAUAUAAACCGGAGGGUUUUAGUCCGUAGGACGAACAACAAUCAUAUCAUAGGCUAGCUUCUAGGAUUUAGCCUCUUUGAUCUCGUGGUAGAUCUACUCUUGUACUACCCAUAUCAUCAAUAUUAAUCAAGCAGGAGUAGGGUUUUACCUCCAUCGAGAGGGCCCGAACCUGGGUAAAAACAUCGUGUCCCUUGUCUCCUGUUACCAUCCGCCUAGACGCACAGUUCGGGACCCCCUACCCGAGAUCCGCCGGUUUUGACACCGACAUUGGUGCUUUCAUUGAGAGUUCCUCUGUGUCGUCACCGUUAGGCCCGAUGGCUCCUUCGAUCGUCAACAACGACGCGGUCCCGGGUGAGACUUUUCUCCCCGGACAGAUCUUCGUAUUCGGCGGCUUUACACUGCGGGCCAAUUCACUUGGCCAUCUAGAGCAGAUUGAAAGCUACGCCCCUGGCCAUCAGGUCAGAUUUGGGAGUUUGAACUACAUGGCCGACAUCCGCGGGGACUUGAUCUUCCACGGAUUCGAGCCACAGCCAAGCGUGCCGCACUAUCUCGAUGGGUAUGAUCUAGCUCUACCGCCGGACAGUACCCUGGAGGCCGCACCAGCAUCCGCUCCGACCCCUAGCUCGGAGCCGACUUCGCCGGUCGAGGAUGAGUGGCUGGACACCGCCUCGGGGGCUACGAUCUCUACGGCGAUUGAGCCGAACACCAUCCCUGUCCUUCGCAAAGCCCGUGACUCCGAGGUGCCGGACUCCUCUCCGGACUCCGAACCUCCCGCGCCCCUGCCUAUCAAAUCCGAUUGGGCGCCGGUUAUGGAGUUCACUACCGCAGACAUCUUUCAGUACUCGCCCUUUGGCGACAUCCUGAAUUCACUAAAGUCUCUCUCUUUAUCAGGAGAGCCCUGGCCGGACUAUGGUCAGGAAGGUUGGGAUGCGGACGACGAAGAAAUUCAAUGCCCACCCACCACCCACUUUGUAGCCAUUGUCGAUGAUUUAACCGACAUGCUCGACUUUGACUCCGAAGACAUCGACGGUAUGGACGACGGUGCCGGAGACGACCAAGAACCAGCGCCUACAGGGCACUGGAAGGCCACCUCAACUCACGAUGUAUAUAUGGUGGAUACACCUAAAAGAAGUGAUAACAAGGAACAACGGGAUGCUGCGAAGGAUAAUUCCCUCGAAAAGCAGUCAAAACGGUGACGUAAGCGCCGCUCAAAGUCCCGCCUCGACAAAGACAACACCCAUACAGACCCAGCCAUAGAGCAGGGCGAACCGGUGGACGACGAACAUGCCCUCGAGCAACCAUCCGAAUAGGAUAACUUGGAUAAACAAUCCGUCCCCGGCGAAGAUAACAGUCUGGACGAUCUCACGCCGGACACAUCGUUGGAGCAGAAGAACCUCCACAAAAGGCUCGUCGCCACUGCACGUAGUCUGAAGAAGCAGAAGCAGAAGCUCAACACAGCGGAAGAUGCACUCAGAAUGAGAUGGAGCAAAGUACUCAACACUGCAGACAAAUAUGGCGAUAGUCGCCAAACAAAUAGCUACCCGAAGCGCAAACUACUGCCCGAAUUUGACAAGGAGGCCAUAGAGCCCCCAAAAUCAAAGAACAAAGAGGCCGCCCGGUCGGAUAGACGACCACAUGGCAAACAUAGAGCGGCAAGCGGCGCCGCACACAAGCCGGCACGCGAUCCGCAUAAGGAUUUGCCCCAAAAGGAUGGCCCAGUUAGGUCUAUCUAUGGGCCAAGAAACAAGCUCUAGCGAGCAAUGCAGCACGUCAAGUAUCUGAACAUCACGGCACACCCAAAUAGAGGGGCGCCGUGCACCCCCUAUGUUUCACCGAUGAGGUGCUGGAUCAUGAAUUUCCUGCGGGAUUCAAGCCCGUAAACAUAGAGGCAUACGACGGAACAACAGACCCUGGAGUCUGGAUUGAGGAUUACAUCCUCCACAUACACAUGGCCAGAGAAGAUGACCUCCACGCCAUCAAAUAUUUACCCCUCAAGCUCAAAGGGCCAGCCCGGCAUUGGCUUAAAAGCCUCCCCGAAAACACUAUUGGAAGUUGGGAAGAGCUCGAGGAUGCUUUUCGGGCCAAUUUUCAAGGGACCUAUGUCCGACCUCCGGACGCAGACGAUUUAAGUCACAUAACCCAAUAGCCCGGCGAGUCAGCCCGAAAAUUCUGGAAUAGGUUUCUCACCAAAAAGAACCAAAUAGUCGACUGUCCGGACGCCGAAGCCUUAGCAGCUUUCAAACAUAACGUUCGAGACGAAUGGCUCGCCAGACACCUUGGCUAGGAAAAGCCAAGAACAAUGGCCGCACUAACAAGCCUCAUGACCUGCUUCUGCGCGGGAGAGGAUAGCUGGCUGGCAAGAUGCAGCACCAGCGACCCAAGUACAUCCGAGGUCAGGGAUGGAAAUGGGAAACCACGACGCAACAAGGACUAGCGCCGGACCAAGGGAAACAGCCCGAAGAGCACGACAGUCAACGCCGGAUUCAAAAGCUCUCGACAGAACAAUAAAAAACUGCCCCUUAAGGACAACAGCGACGAGCUAUCCAACCUAAACAAAAUCUUGGACAAGAUAUGCCAAAUCCACAGUACCCCCAGGAAGCCUGCAAACCAUACCCACAGAGAUUGUUGGGUCUUCAAACAGUCCGGCCGACUUAACACCGAACACAAGGGGCUCGACACACCAAGUGAGGACGAUGACAAACCCCACAAGCAGAGCACAGGAAAACAAAAGAAUUUCCCACAAGAGGUCAAAACAGUAAACUCACUUCAAGUGACAACAAGGAAAAAUAGAGCGGCGCCCAUUGAAAUAUGCGCCGCACGGUCUAUCCCGAUGGAGUCCCGACACUGGUUGUCAAAACCAAUCACCUUUGAUCAUCAUGAUUAGUCCGAAAGUAUCCAGAAUGCAGGAUGGACUGCCCUGAUAUUAGAUCCUAUAAUUGACGGAUUCCAAUUCAGAGAAGUCCUAAUGGACGGUGGCAGUGAUCUAAACCUGCUAUAUCAAGACACAAUCUGCAAAAUGGGGAUAGACCCAACCAAAAUUCGCCAUAGCAACACUUCCUUUAAAGGAGUGAUGCCAGGCCCAUAUGCCCAUUGUACGGGCUCUCUACUACUAGAAGUUGUGUUCGGCUCAUCCGACAACUUCCGUCGCGAAAAGUUAGUCUUCAACAUCGCCUCAUUUAAAAGUAGCUAUGAAGCACUAUUGGGACGCGAAGCUUUCGCCCACUUUAACGCAAUACCACAUUACGCAUCUCUUACACUUAAAAUGCCCGGUCCACGCGGCAUCAUCUCAUUAAAGGGAAACUUCGAGUGUUCCUCGAAUACGGAAGAACGUGAGACUGCCUUGACAGCCACACACUAAUCCGGCUUUGCUGAUCAAAGCACCUAAACAGGUCAUUCAGACCCUGGACACGGUUAGGCGAGUCCGGUAUAAAUAAACAAGGGGCUUACUAGCCGCGUACCCCCUUACAAGGGGCUCCACGCAUGUACAACAAGAGACAAUAAAGCUUAGUUCUAUUCAUUUUUUGAAUCAUACUCUGUUUAUCUUAAAAUACAUUUUUCGCACAAUCUUUUUUCCAACUAAGUUCCUCUCUUUUACAGAUGAACGCCGUGCUAUACCCGUCCAGGAUACGGCACAACGGAGACACAGGCGCAGAUGUGCAGCAGGGACCCGUUGCAAGGAUUCUUUUUAGAUUAAGACCCUGCGUAAACCUUUUUUACUGUCUCUUGUUGUUACACAUCCCCCGGUUUCUUGCUAUAACCGAGGAGGAGGCUGGCGUUUUGGCAUCGGCCGCGUCAGAAAUUUUUGCGCGUACCUGGACACAAGGGGCUUAGGGUAUUGUUCUGCCCGUUUUCAUAAAGACCGAAUACCUUAGGGAGUGUUCGGCGUCUCGAGUUAGGCCUUGUAUGCAUCAGCUCCGAAUCAUGUCUUUGGUUAAAUGUUGGGUUUGCCCGGCUCCUGUGUUUUGCUGCCUUACGUUACGCUCUAUCGGCUAACGCGGCACCAGGAGAACUACUGCGAUUGUGCCCCGGUUCGGCCUGGUGAGCACCUCAGUAGAGAAAGCCGAAAACUGACUGUCAUGAUAUAGCGUGAGACUGGUCAACCACUCGAUGACCCACCGGAAUGUUUAGAAUUCCUCCGCAUUAACGAAGGACCGUUUCCCGGUCAGGCACAUACGCGCCCCGAAUUCGGAGAGCGCGGUGCCCUUAGGGGCUAUAUAGUAGCCCCACCAUCGAACUGCUAUGGCUAAGUGAAAGUGAUAAAGCAUUAUAGUCCGGUUGCCUAGUUUGCUACACUAUCACCUCCUUCACAGGACCAAGACGUUGGAUUAAGUGUGAAAACGCACUUUUUUUGCAAACACCCCCGCACUAUGUGCGUGGGGGCUGAAGCCGAAGACUGCCAUCUUUCAGGUUAUAUACACAUAUACAUUAACGGCCGCAUAGGAGGUAUUUUAAUACUUGAACGCACAAGUAUAAAAAGCCCUUAUAUUAUAUUGAAACAUCGUUUCACAAAUCAUACAUGUCAUUAGAACAUAAUAUCCUUCAAGCACUGUGUCUCUAUUAAACAAGCACCCUGCAUGACUUCCUCAAAAUAGUGCUCGGCAGGUACUCGGCUUCUGUCAGAAUCCUGGGAUGCAACAUCGGUGGCCUUCAUCUCCGCCCAGCAUGUCUUGACACGGGCAAGAGCCAUCCGCGCACCCUCUAUGCAUGCCGACCGCUUCAUUGCAUCGAUAUGCGGCACCGCACUAAGGAACUGCUGCACCAAGCCAAAAUAACUCUUCGGCUUGGGCCUUUUCGGCCACAAAUGAGUCACGACAUCCUUCAUGGCAAGUCCGGACAACCUAUUCAGCUCAGCCCAUUCGGCUAACCGAUCGGUUAAUGGAAGUGGACGCUCUGGACUAUGGAACUGCGACCAAAAAAGCUCUUCCAUUCCGUGAUCCUUUUGGCCUCGGAAGUGUGCUACCGCAUCUGCGGCACUCGCCGCCAAAUCCAGAUAAGCAUCCUCCGCACCCCACAGCUGGCCCAACUGAGCAUACUUAGGAUCCGUAAAUUUCCUCCGCAGCAGAAAAGGCUUUCCUGCCAUAAUAUCUUCGGCCUAACGCAGCUCCUCUUUCAUAGCUCUCAUCGCAGAGCGAGCAUCCUUGGCCUCAGUAGUGGCCUUUUUCAAGUCCUCUUGUUCCGCUCGCCCUUCUUUUUCAAGAAGCUCGCAACGGUCGGUAGCAUUCUUCAACUUUACGGCCAUCUCGGCCAUUUCCUCCCUGCUUCGGCAGUGAGCAGCCUGUUUGGCUUUUAGCUCUUUGGCCGUCCUCAAGGCAGCCGCAUCACUUUUUCUGGCUUACUCCUUGACUCGGGCUAGCUCCGCCCGAAGGUUCUCCAUAGCAGCGGCACCAUCUGCAUAAAGCAUACAUGUUGUAAGGCAUGGGCGUCAAGCUCCCUUACCAGAUGUCCGCGGAGAAGUUGCAUACCUUGUGACUCGUCAAGCCGCUUAUUGACAAGCCCGAUGUCCGCAUCCGCCACGUCAAGUUGCCGCUUCAGUUUGGCAAAUUGAUCAGUCCGGCUGGCCACCGGACGCUCCGCCACCUAUAUAGGACAGGAGACAUCUUACAACUGAGGUUAUGAUCCUCGGCGCGCUGUCACUUUCGACAACAUACCGAGCCUCAGGGGCUACUAUCUAUACAGGGCGCAUUCUAUAUGGAAAACUGUCAGAAGGUAUAUCAUUUUCGCGUACCUCAAACCCCGUCAGUAAACUUCUGACGGCUUCAUGCAAUCUGCUCUCAGCGGAUGAAAUCCUUUCAAUCAUUGUACCCAUUAACGCACGGUGAUCUUCUGAGAUAGACGCUCGCCCGAGCAGAUCCUUCAGCUCCUCCGACCAUACACCAGUUGGUGCCGGACCUCCCGGCCCCGCCGGACUCGGGGAAACCCUCCGCGAUGACACCUCAGGGUCGUCCGCCCUGCACGACGGUGCGGCAGAUGGAGGCGUUUCCCUCUCCAUCAUCUCCGGACGAAGAUCCCCCGAAGAUGAGCUCUGCUCAGAAGGGCUGAGAUCCGAAAUACAAGGUAAAGCUUCGGUUAUCUUCAGAAAUAAAAACAGGGAUGUCCCUUAUUACAAAACUCCCCUUUCUACUUACGGCUCGCUGGAGGGCUGAUUCCCUUGGGGAAAUAGUCCGGCCAGGGCUUCUCCUGGCGCAGGACCCUCUGGUGAAUAUUUCUUCCCCCGCUCUGAGGCCUUGGCCUCCGGAUCUUUAGAAGCUGUCCUUUUCUCCCCCUGGAGGGAGGGAUUCUCGAUCCCCCCUUCCUUGAAAGCCUCCUUCACGGAGGCAGUAGCUUCCCUAUUCCCCCCUUUGCCCUCUUCCAAAGGCGCAGCCUCCAGCAUCUUGGUUAACACAGGAUCCGGCGUUGUCUCAGGGAGGGGGGCCGGACACCUUAUUAGUUUUGCUUUCGCUAUCCACUCCUGUUCAAGGGAAAACUCUUUAAAGGGCAAGUUUAUGAUAAAUGUACGAAUAGCGUGUCCGGGCACAGGACUACUUACUUGAGUAUCCGGGCAAUUGUAGCUCAGACCUGCGUCCUCGGUCAAGUCCGGACACAUCUCUUGUGAUCCGAAGAACAGUUUAUACAUCUCCACGGGCGUCGCGCCCAUGAAGUGUUGGAGAGCUCGUGGUCCCUUCGGAUUAAAUUCCCACAGGCGGAGGGGGCGACGUUUGCAGGGCAGAAGGCGCCGAAUCAGCAUGACCUGCGCCACUACGACCAGAUUGAUCUCUCUCUCUUGGAUGUCUCAAAUACGGCCCUGCAGCAGAGGAACGUCCUUGGACGGCCCCCAGUCGAGCCCUUUGUUGACCCAUGACGCCAGCCCCUGUGGAGGACCCGGGCGGAAGGCAGGUGGCCCCACCCAUUUGGUGCCCCCGGGAGCGGUGAUGUAGAACCACUCAUGUUGCCAUAAACCGAGCACCUCUUGAAAAGAGCCCUCGUGCCAUGGAGUGUCAGCAUUUUUUCUUAUAACAGCCCCUCCGCACUCUGUCUGCUGCCCCUUGAUCAUCUUUGGCUCCACUUUGAAGGUCUUGAGCCACAAUCCAAAGUGAGGGGUAAUGCGGAGGAAGGCUUCGCAUACGACAAUGAACGAUGAGAUGUGGAGGAUGGACUCCGGAUCCAAGUCGUGGAAUUCCAGCCCAUAAUAAAACAUGAGCCCCCUCACGAAGGGGUCCGUCGGGAAGCCUAAACCCCGAAGGAAGUGAGACACGAACACCACGCUCUCACCAGGCUCGGGAGUAGGAAUAACCUGCCCUUGCGCAGGCAGCCUAUGCGAAAUUUCGCCGGUUACACUACUAGGAAAAGGGCUAUAGAUGGAAUUGACACUAAUGGCGCACCAGACAUGUGGUGCGCCAUUACUAUAUACUAAUGGCGCACCACGUGUUGGUACGCCAUUAGUGUCCAAAUACUAAUGGCGCACCACAUCCAUGGUGCGCCAUUAGUAAAAAAAUUUAAAAUUUUUUCAAACUACUAAUGCCGCACCGUGGGAGUGGUGCACCGUGGGAGUGGUGCGCCAUUACUAAUGCCCACGGUGCACCAUUAGUAAUUUGGCCCAAACAUUCCCCCGNNNNNNNNNNNNNNNNNNNNNNNNNNNCAAAAAAAAUAAAAGAAAAUGAUAGAAAUGUCAAAAAAAUAAAAGAAAAUAAGAUUUCCAUGCGAUAUGUGGUCUAGUUGUUAGCAAAAUUUACAAACAUGAAUUUUUUACUUUUUUGCAAAAUCUCUCGAGAAUUUGUAAAAAUGGGCAUAACUUUUGCAUACGAACUCGGAUGAAAAAGUUCUUUAUAUGAAAAAUCAUCUACUCGAAAAGUUACAUCCGAAUUGAAUUGGGGGAACCCCGUUAAACAUUUUCAAAAUCCUCAAAAACCUAACAGAAAAAAAGAUACGGGGCUUUUAAGAUCUGGAGAGGCAAAAAAAUUCAAAAAAAAUCAAACUUACUAAUGGCACACCUACCCUUGGUGCGCCAUUACUAUCUUCCCACCUUCAAAAUUCAAAAUAAGUCAAAAAAAUAAAAAAAAGUUACUAAUGGCCCACCUGCCCAUGGUGCGCCAUUAGUAUCUUUCCGCCUUCAAAAUUCAAAAUAAGUCAAAAAAAUAAGAAAAGUUACUAAUGGCGCACCUGCCCAUGGUGCGCCAUUAGUAUCUUCCCGCCUUCAAAAUUCAAAAUAUAUCAAAAAAAUAAAAAAAUGUUAGUAAUGGCGCACCUGCCCGCGGUGCGCCAUUACUCUACCGUAUAUAUGGCUGGGCGUGGUCCUCUCCUCCUUACCUCUUCAUUCUUCUCCUCCACUCCACCUCUCCUCCACUCCAUCUCCUCCUCUCCUCCACUCCAUCUUCCCUUCUCUCCUCCACCAUACUACCCUCCUCCUCUCCGGCGACCUCCUCCUCCUCCUCUCCGGUGACCUCCUCUUUCCCUCCGGCGACCUCCUCCUGCCUUCUCUCCUCCCCUCCCCUCCCCUCACGGUUUCUUCUCCCUCCUCUCCGGUGAGCUCCUCCUCCCUCCUCUUCGGUGAGCUCCUCCUCCCUCCUCUCCGGUGAGCUCCUCCUCCAUCCUCUCCUCCCAUCCCCUCAUGGUUUCUCCUUCCUCCUCCCCGAUGCUCCGGUGAACUCCUCUCUGGCGACCUCCUCCUCCUCCUCUCCGGCGAACUCCUCCUCCUCCUCUCCGGCGAUGUAGGCGAGCGCCUCUCCGGUGACCUCCUCCUCCUCCUCUCCGGCGAACUCCUCUGCGGCAAAAGAACACGACAAAAGAACAUACAAGAUCCAAAAACAGGAACAAAUUUUGAAAUAAUAUCGUGCAAAAAAAAACGAGCAAAAAAAAUGAGCAAAAAAUGGGCAAAAAAAUCACGAUCCAGAUCCAAAUUCAAAAUUCAAAAAUAGUAAUGGCGCGUGGUGGGGGUUAGAUGGUGCGCCACUACUAUUUUCCCGCCUUCAAAAUUCAAAAAUACUAAUGGCGCACCAGUGGCCUAUACUAAUGGCGCACCGUGGCCUAUACUAAUGGCGCACCAUUGGUGCGCCAUUAGUAUACCAGAUACUAAUGGCGCACCAGUGGUGCGCCAUUAGUAAAAAAUACUAGUGGCGUGAUACUAAUGGCGCACCAGUGAUGCGCCAUUAGUAGGCAAAACUAGUGCGCCAUUAGUAGCCCUUUUCCUAGUAGUGUUAGAUACCUGGCGUCUCUCAGCUUUAGCACGUCUUCUUCCAUGACGUAAGAAGGCAUCCACCGGCCUUGCAGGUCGGAGCUGGACAUCGUCGAAGGUCCGAAGAGCCUGAAUCUGGAGCUUUGGGUGUUGGAACUCGAGGCGAGGGGCGGAUUCAAUUGAGAUUGAAAGAAAGGAGCAGGCCUUGGUCUCGUUAUAAAGAGGUUGAAUACCAAGAGCCCUCCCCGUGGCCGUUUGGGACUCGCCUUCGAUAGAGGGGGCGUGCCAACGGGCACGGUUGGGUUACCCACGCCCGUAUUGAUGAGGAUCCCGGAAUAAGGGGGCACGAUCUCUGCUUUGACAAGACGUGUCGAGGAAACCGCUUCGCUAAACGCGCUGAGGUGGAACAGUAAAAACGAUUCGAAUAAAGGCUUGGUCGUGGUGUGAUGCCAUGCCACGGAAUACGUCAGCAGAUUGAACUUGUGUGAAUGUUAUUCUCUCUACGGUGGUAUGUGGAACUUAUUUUGCAGAGCCGGACACUAUCCUUGUGUUCAAAAUCUUCUACAAAGUAUUCGGAGGAGGAACCCGCCUUGCAAUGCCGAAGACAAUAUGCGCGUCGGACUCGUCGUCAUUGAAGCCUGGUUCAGGGGCUACUGAGGGAGUCCUGGACUAGGGGUUGUCCAGAUAGCCGAACUAUCAUCUUUGGCCGGACUCCUAGACUAUGAAGAUACAAGAUUGAAGACUUCGUCCCGUGUCCGGAUGGGACUUUCCUUGGCGUGGAAGGCAAGCUUGGCAAUACGGAUAUGUAGAUCUCCUACCAUUGUAACUGACUCUGUGUAACCCUAGCCCUCUCCGGUGUCUAUAUAAACCAGAGGGUUUUAGUCCGUAGGACGAACAAUAAUCAUACCAUAGGCUAGCUUCUAGGGUUUAGCCUCUUUGAUCUCGUGGUAGAUCUACUCUUGUACUACCCAUAUCAUCAAUAUUAAUCAAGUAGGAGUAGGGUUUACCUCCAUCGAGAGGGCCCGAACCUGGGAAAAAAUAUCGUGUCCCUUGUCUCCUAUUACCAUCCGCCUAGACGCACAGUUCGGGACCCCCUACCUGAGAUCCGUCGGUUUUGACACCGACACCCUCGUUUCCCGCCGCUUGGGCUGGGCAAAAUUGGCCUUUAGUACCGGUUGGUGGCUCCAACCGGUACUAAAGGCCCGUCCUAUAUAUAUGGCACUUACAAAAAUUCAGUUAUCGGAGACCACUUUGUUCCACUUUUCUCUCGCGUGGCAUCGAUCUCCGACGCGCCGAUGCUGCCGCGCGCGUCACUGUGCCGUCGCCCCCGCCGCACGUCAUCGCCGUCCCCGCCGCCCUCGCCGCCCCCGCCGCCCAUCAUCGUCGUCCCCGUCGNNNNNNNNNNNNNNNNNNNNNNNNNNNNNNNNNNNNNNNNNNNNNNNNNNNNNNNNNNNNNNNNNNNNNNNNNNNNNNNNNNNNNNNNNNNNNNNNNNNNNNNNNNNNNNNNNNNNNNNNNNNNNNNNNNNNNNNNNNNNNNNNNNNNNNNNNNNNNNNNNNNNNNNNNNNNNNNNNNNNNNNNNNNNNNNNNNNNNNNNNNNNNNNNNNNNNNNNNNNNNNNNNNNNNNNNNNNNNNNNNNNNNNNNNNNNNNNNNNNNNNNNNNNNNNNNNNNNNNNNNNNNNNNNNNNNNNNNNNNNNNNNNNNNNNNNNNNNNNNNNNNNNNNNNNNNNNNNNNNNNNNNNNNNNNNNNNNNNNNNNNNNNNNNNNNNNNNNNNNNNNNNNNNNNNNNNNNNNNNNNNNNNNNNNNNNNNNNNNNNNNNNNNNNNNNNNNNNNNNNNNNNNNNNNNNNNNNNNNNNNNNNNNNNNNNNNNNNNNNNNNNNNNNNNNNNNNNNNNNNNNNNNNNNNNNNNNNNNNNNNNNNNNNNNNNNNNNNNNNNNNNNNNNNNNNNNNNNNNNNNNNNNNNNNNNNNNNNNNUAGUUAUAGUAUUUGAAUUAAUAGAAUAGUAAAUGCUUAGUUGAACUAAUUUAAUUAAUAGAAAUAGUUAUAUUAUUUGAACUAGUUGAAUUAAUAGAACUAGUUAUAUUAUUUGAACUAGUUGAAUUAAUAGAAAUAGUUUAUUUUUAGUAAAUGCAUAGUUGAACUAAUUGAAUUAAUAGAACUAGUUUAUUUUUAGUAAAUGCUUAGUUGAACUAAUUGAAUUAAUAAAACUAGUUUAUUAUUAGUAAAUGCUUAGUUGAAUUAAUAGAAGUAGUUGAGUUAAUUGAAUUAGUAAGUGUUUAAUGUUUCGCCUAAUAUGAACAUAGGAAAUGUCGUCUGACGACGGAAAAGAUUUCAUUAUGUGUGAAUACUGUGAAGACCAGCGCGGCCAGUGCGACGAAAUUUCCUUGUUGAUGAUAGGCGAUUCAGCAUCAAGCUGGAUGAGAACUUUGAAUUCGAUACAGUAAUUCACAACGGCAAGUCUGUUUUCGUAAUUAAGCAUGACUUAUAUAUGCUUCAUUUGCCUGACUUAUAAUUUUUAAUUUUCACUAUUCUACUAGCGCAUCCCCUGCCAUGCAAGAAUUUUUGUCUUGGAUAAGAUAGGUUUCAAUGAUAUGGAAACUAUGGAGGUAAAGAGAGUUUACCUAAAAACUGAGCAUGGUUAUACUUUCAACGUCAAAGUAUAUAAUGCACACACGUACACCUAUUUUGAAUGCAAAACUUGGCAAGCCCUAUGCAAGGCUUAUGCAUUUGAGCCUGGUAUGGCUAUCACCUUUGAUAUUCAUCCGGAAGAUGAUAUUGAAAGUAAUAGAGACAUAUGGGUCGAUGUGCAGACGCCUCCAAUUCUACCAUUAUGUGAGUUCUUCUCAACUAUAUUUUUGUCUUUGAUAUUGCUUAUUCAUAAAUAAUUGACAACUAAUUUCUAUUGACAGCUUAGCUCCAUUCAAGCAAACAUGUCCGACGCUUGGUAGAUAGGACCUACUACUGUCCUGGAGCUGAACUAAACUGCGAGGAGAUAAGUCAUUAUGUUUCAUGGCUUGAGGAUCUUCAUACUGUCAAGACAAAUUUUCUUCCUGCACUUAGAAAUGUUAGUUCUCAAAACGUGCGACCAAUAGUGAUCGUAUUGAAUUACGGUCACAUCUAUUUACGAAAGAUGGUAAUAUUUUUACUAUUUGUCCUUAGUGCAUCUUUUGCAUACAUUAUUUUUUGCUAAACUUUCAUUGCUAAGUAUAUUAAUUACUAUACGAUGUUCUUCAACAGGGACUCCCGAUGACAGUUGUGCCUCAGUGGAUCGAGACUAAAGGUCACAUGUCAAUGGUUAGCUUACGGUCAAGAUAUCCUACAUUGCACAUGAGUGCAUUCAGGGUUUCUAAAAGCGAUGAAUGGUUAAUAGUGAAAGAUUGGAGCAAAAUUUUUAACGAUCGCAGAGAAGUACUAGGGGGCAGCAAUGAGAAGCGCACCCCACGAUUAGGAGACAGGUUCAUCUGCAUGCUCCAGUAUGAUGAAUCAGGAGAGCUAUACAUGUUCUAUGCUAUUUUGCCAGAGAGAGAGUAGCUAGCAGGAGUGAUUUAGCUAGUUCAUGCUGCUCUUAGUACUUGUCCUUUCAUGUCCGUGUUCUUUGUUCUGAACUUAAUCUCGAAGAGUGAUUUGCUUUUGUGGUGUUAUAUAUGAACGCUUAUAAUAUCAUGACAAUCAUGUUGAACUCGAUGAUAUUUUUGCUUCUGGUACAAGUGAAUGUUUCUUCUUUAAGCUACUGUUGGUGGUGAUUAGAUAGCGGUAAUGACUAUGAUGAUGAUUAAAUAGUGAUAAUGACGACUACGAUGUUUUUUAGCUAGCUAGCCAGAGUAUGUUGAUGAUAUGUGAUGCAAGAGUUUUUAUAUUAAUGUAAAACAAUCACUAAAUUAAAUUGAAAGCACAAAACUAAAGCAAAAAUUAAAAAAAAAUAACCCAAACAUUUAGUACCGGUUGGUGUUACCAACCGGUACUAAAGCCCUACGUGCACACGGGCCUGGCUCGUGCCACGUGGUGGCUCUUUAGCGCCGGUUCGUGAUGAACCGGUACUAAAGGGGGGGACCUUUAGUCCCCACUCUUUAGUGCCGGUUGGUGAACCGACACUAAAGGCCUUCACGAACCGGCACUAAAGGCCGUUUCUGCACUAGUGAUGUUUCCAACAUUCGGGUUGUGGUUUUUCGAAAUACUAUAAUAAAACAAAGUAAGUCGUUAUUCAUAGUUGUGCUAAGUGAAUUUGUGUUACAAAACUAUAUUUUCAUGAACAUGAAUGUUAUAAGCGUAUUAAAUAUACAAAACAAACGUAUCUAAUUUAAUACAUGAACAUAUCUGAAAUUGAUUGACAUGAUCUAUACCAAUUACUGAGAGAGCCGAUAUUAAAGCUUAGGUUAUUUCAUAUUGUUGUGUUAUGACGUAUUGUCCAUUAAUAAUCACAACCUUGCUCCGCUUUAUUAUGUUUAUGCAAAACAACACAUCAAUCUAAGCACCAAUGUCUCUAUCGAUGAUAUAGCUUUGUUACUACUAAAGAAAUAUAAGGAUUUAAGGAAUAGUUAAAAAAAUUACCAUUGGUUGAACAAAUUAUCCGUAAUUCCAUAACAAUCAGAUAUAAUACAAACAAAAAUCAGCCUGUAAGGACUUCCUUGUAAACGAUGUUCUUCAUGGAGCUAAGCACUGACACGGUAGAUCUUUUGCGCUUUUUAGAAUUCUUAGACUGCUUCCGGCCCUUCUCCUUCGGCUUGUCCUUCUCAAUGAGGAUCUUUAUGUUGCUCUUUGCGGUCGCUCGAGACAAUGCGACGUAGAGUUGACCAUGUGAGAACACUGGAUCAGGUAGGUACACACCAACAAUCAGGAUGGUCUGACCUUGAGCCUUGUUAAUCGUCAUAGCGAAGCUAAGCCUUAUAGGAAACUGCUUCCUCUUAAACUUGAAUGGAAACAUGUUGUUGUCAGAUGGGCACAAAGGUAUUCUAGGAAGGAAAACCCUCCUACCUGCGUGUUGUCCAAUCACAAUUUCUGUGUCAAUGGUGUUCCUAUCAAAACCUCUGACAACAAGCCUGGUCCCGUUACACAAACCAUUAGCUGGAUCAAUGUUCCUAAGGAGUAUGACAGGGCAGUUCAUCUUGAGUUUGAGUGCAUGCGGAGGAAGACCGUUUGGAGUCAAUCCGUUCAGAAACUCAGGAGCAUAGUAUCCAUAUGGAUCGUCCUCCGCACUGUCAAAGCUAUGGUAAAUUACUUCAUCUCCGUGAAAACGCUCUAUCAUGCGUGUGUUUAUCUUGUCGACAUUGUCAUUGGUUGUGUAAAGGAUUGCGCGAGAUGUCAUGUAAUUCGAAUCAGUCAUGUUGUCAUCUAGACUCGGAAACACGUGUUCAAUCAGCUUCUCGAGGUCGUCAGCAUCGCCUGUAGACGGCAGACAGAUGUCAUCGGGGAGUAGUAUAUUGCCCUGAUCGUCAGCUUCCUCGGUGCCAUUGCCGAUCCUAAGCAAGUAAUCUGCAAACCACGUGUCAUUAUGAGCCCUCAUGUUGGUGAUGAGUCGAAGUUUCCACAUACACUUCCAUUGAUGAGAACUCCGGAGGGUUGCAUCAAUUAUCUGGCCACGCGACCCCCUUCUGACAACCGAAAGCACCUACCUAAAGUCACUGCCAAAGACAACAGUCUUUCCUCCAAAGGGUAUGUCGCUUGUUCCCAUGAUGUCACGCAUGCUAUUGUCCAAUGCCUCAACUGCCUGUCGUUUAGUCAUGCUGGCCUCAUCUCAUAGUAUCAACGAUGCCUUCCUUAGUAGCUUUGCGGUCCCACUCUGCUUGGUAAAGCUGCACGAGGCUCUGUCGUCACAACCCAAUGGUAUCUUGAACCUAGAGUGCGCAGUCCUGCUGCCAGGCAUGAUAGAAGCGGCGACACCUGAGGUCGCGGUGGCGAUAGCAAUCUUGCCCUCGCUCCUUAACUUGGCGAGCAACGCCCUAUAGAGGAAGGUCUUCCCUGUACCUCUAGGGCCAUCAACAAAGAAUACCCCCCCCAAGACCGAGUUCAACAGCCGCUAGUAUCUCGUCGUAUGCCACCUUCUGCUCAAAGUUUAGUGAAGAUGCCAAUUUUGUGUCGUCUACGUCAAACUCGAUGGUUGAUUCCUCAAUGACCUCUCUCGCCUCUCCCUUAGUUGGGUCAAAGGCAUCAUCGAUGCUUGGAAGCGAAAAAUCACUUAUGUCUUUACCCAUGGACUGCAACAUACCCCUGAUGUCAAGCAACACCAUUUGCUCCACCUCUUUCGGGGACGUCCGUGUUCGACGGUAGUCAUCAGACAUAGGCUCGACGUGUCUAUCCCAUAAACCUUGCAUGUCGCCUGGCUCGCAGUGCACCAAGAUGGUUGUGAAGAGCCUCCUAAGAGAACAAGGCAUCGCCCACUACUCUGCUUCAGUAAGACAGUCGUCGAGCGUGCUGUCUGCCUCGAUGAGUCCCAACCUUUCAGCAGCAUCUCUAAAGCUCUCACAAACUAGGCCAUCCACGGUGAGCAAGUCGUGAAAGGAUGUUUUUCUGUUAACAUGGUUGAGCAUAACACGCAGGUAAUAUCGCUCCCCCUCAGCAGGAUUGGCAGAGACAAUACGACCUAUUUGAAAAUGCUCCACCCGCAGCCUCCAACACUUUGUUUUCUUUUGCCACGUAAAGCUUCCCGGAAAAUCUUUGUAAAAUAGUUUCCGAGCCCAAGGGUGUUCCUGGUUAGCAUUGAAAUACUCUUCUAACAUCGAUUUCGAUGCAUUUUCGGACGCGACAACAUUCUUCAAGUCGGCCUGCGCAUUUAAAGCAACCCUGUGGAUAUUCGGGAGAUGAAGAGGCAACUGCAAGACAGGAGGGUAAUUGGCGCAAAGUGGAAAUCCAAAUAUCCUCCACCUAGCCUCCGGAGGUGUGAUCCACCUUGUGUUAACAUAUCUCUUGAUCUCAUCAAUGUUACCAUCGGUGUCGGGCUGGUCGAUGCUGAAAGAAGCCUUAUCAUGGCCCUUGUAAAUGUACUUGUAAAGAUAUUUGACGGCCUUUAUGCUCGAGCAGACCUCAAUGUUGAUGUGGCAAUUGAACAUCCACAGAAGGUAUGGGUUAUAAGGCACAACCCAUCUGUUGUCCAACAUCUUCCCUCAGACCUUAGCACUCCUUCCAUCAUCUCUACGUCGAUAAACUGGGUACGAGUCCUUCCCCUGUGCUGUGUUCUCAUUGAACGGCCGCGAGUAUCUGCACUUGCAUCCGUUUUCUUGCAUGCAAACAUUCUUCGGGUUGAGAGCACCGCAUGGUCCGUGCAUCAUAUGUUUUACCACCAUUGCAUACAAUUCCGGAUACUUAUGCUUGUCUCGGAGCUCUGCGGAAAUGAGACGGUCAUACUGCUCCGGGACGAUAAGCUUAUAUGUUGAGUCCAUAAUCAACAAAAAAUGUGCAUGUGGGAGGCCCCUUUUUUGAAACUCGACAACAUACACAUAUGCGACAACAACACCCAGGAUGUGCUUCUUGAACAACAUGUCCUUCAUAGCCUCUAGUUUGUCGAAGAACACGCGAGCCACAAGAUCAGGUCGGUCUUGCGCCAUCUGACCAGGCAGCAACUCAUUCGUUAUCUCUUCCCAUUUAGGAUUGCAAGUCAUGGUCAAGAAGAUGGCAGGCUUCCCGUAUGUAUGGACAAUUGCCAUGGCAUCCAUAUGCCUCUUGUUCAUGUCGCGGUCGCCACCAGGGUAUGUUCCAGGGAGAACUAUUCUUACCCCAACAGCGCUUGCUCGUAUCUCCCCCAAUGUGAUCGCAUCAACAACUCCUUUAUACAAGUCGGCAGGAAUCUGCGUCUGGUUCUUCCUGUACCACCUCAACCGACAACUUUCAAUCUUGACGUACAUGUUGACGGCCCAUUGCUGCAAGAGGCGUGCUCCACAGAGUAUGGGAUUAAAGAUCACAGGCCGUGUCUGCAGCAUGUAAUAGUAGUAGUCUUUGACAGAGACGCACAACCUGCUGUUGCCCUCUGCACAUGAUUGAGUACCAUCAAAAUGAGGAUAUAAUCGACAAAUAAAAUAUUAUUUGUAGCAAAAUGGGACGCAGACGGCAUACCUGCAUCCUCAUCAUCAUCAUGGACCAGUUGAGGAUUUUGUACAACCUCCCAAGGAACAUCACGUUUAGGUAGCUUCAGAUGCCAACCUAGUUCCCCCCUUGGGUAGAAUAGGGGAUAAGACAAAGGGUCAUAUGCUCCGGAGGUCACACGUAUACUAUGCCUUUCGUUGUUAUUACCACAAAGUGUUAUCCUCCGGUCAAACCUUUUUGCUAUGUCGCUGCCCUCAACCCAAUUUGCAGCGACUUCAGAUGACAACGGUAUGUUAUAUCUUCUUUGGUCAAGCCUUUUAUCGGUGUUUAGGUCUAUCCUGUAAUCAUCCAGGUUGUCCUUGUGUGCACCCAAACUCCUAAAUUGCUGGAGUAUGGGUUUUCUUUGAGUAUGUCUACUAACUUCUUCACGACAUCCUGGUCUAAUUGCUUGGUGGCCGCCUUACGAUGAGUGAUGGUUGGGUCAUCAUCAUAGAAGUACAACUGCAGAUGCUUAGGACGAGAGCUAGGCCCGACGAAUGCACAUUGUGGUAGAUGGUGCCGUGUGCCCAAAAUGUGUACACCCCAGACUUCAUGUUUGUGUAGUUCUCAUCAAGGCUGACACCACGGGUUGUGAAGGCGAAAUGCCCGUUGAAGAAGCGUAUGUUCUCCCGAAAAUGUCUAGAGUCUGCAUCCAUGCUUGACCAUAGCCUCAUCAGCUCUGGGAUUGGCUCCGGUUUUCUAAGUUCGAUCUGGCCAUUGCGACAGCAAAAACCGUCAGUCUCAGACACAAACUUUUUGGCCUUGCAGUGUUUGCAGUUUGCGUCGAGCUUCAGGAUGUGAGUGGUGUCUGGGAUGUUUGUGUAGACAAAGUCUAAUGGAUCAACCUUGCUAGGUAUAGCAGACGACAUGAUUGCUUCCUCGUCAUCCUCCAAGGUGUCAUUAUCGGAUCCUACGUGCAUUUGUUUAAACAUGAUGUUUGAAACAUUAUUAACUACUAACUAUAAUUAUGAUAAAGAUCCACGAACUCAUAGUUUAUAGCUGACAAUACCUUCCCCGCGAAACAUGUAGUACUCCUCAUCCAUAAACUCGGAUGGUGUUGUCUAGUCGCCCAAGAUGUAGUCUCGGAACCCAUCAAUGUCGUCUGCAUUAUCUCCCCGACGACAAUAGACAACGUCAUGUCAGAUGAGGGUUGGUGAGAAUGAGCACAACAAUGUGACAAUAGAAUUAUCAUACCAUUGGUACUGCCAAUGAAAUUCGGCAUGCUCGUCGGAGAGUCACCAUCAGAUGAAUCAUCUUCAGCGGCCCGAGAGAGGGGUUUCGUCUGGGAUAAGUUUGCUAGGUCUGGACGUGGGAGUGCGAGGGAUUCUUUGCACGAGGUGUUUUUUUUGCAGCAUAAGUUGCCUUUCUUUUUGCACUUAACUCCCCCUUCUCUUUGCUGCAUGCCCUCCAUUCUCACAGCGUGCUAUUUUUUCUUCAAGAUCGAUAGUUCCCUGCUCUAGAUGUUUCCGAUAUGUUGCUCGCCUCCGCGCGUUUGAUUGGUCCAUUUGAUCAGGAGUUAAGUUAGUUCUGCGCUACUUACCAUGCUGCUUCCUAGGUAGUUGGUUAUCACGAAUGACAUAUGUUGUGAUUGUAGUGGUAUGAGGCAAUACUGCCUCAUCUUGUGACAAUGACGUAUAGGUGGACCUAUUUGGGUCGGCUGGUUAUACAACAGUAUAAAAUGCUAAUUAGUACUGCAUUAAUUGGUCAUUGAUACAAAAGGUACCAGCAGAUUAUGUAGGUCAUAUCAGCUGACUCCUUCCGUACAUUUUCAUAAGGUCUUAAUGUCUAAUCAUAAGUCAUACGAGCGAUAGAUGAAACACUGAGUUUGUAAAGCUUGUUUUGCAUGCUUACUUAUUAAAAAUAUGUAUUCAAAAACAUUAGGAAUAUAUAUACUAUCAAAAGGGAGCUGAAUCAAAAAGCAUUCUAACCUGAACUUGUAAGGGCAGGAAGGUUAUCAUCUUUGUGCUUCACGGUAGCUCGCCCUUGAGCCUUGAUCUGGCUAUUUUUGUCGACAAGGAGCAUAGAGUGAGCUUGUACCCCAUUAGUGAUAUCACCGAGAGCGCUCCGUGGAACAUUUUGCAUACCUGCAAUAUGGUUGCAGGUGUCAUACUCACGUAUUCUCAAAUAAUAAUCAUACUGUUAUCAACAAAGGGAGUAUAUUCAAUCGACGUCUGGCCUAUAAUAUAGAAAUAGUCAUACCCGACAUGUCAACGGCAGGCAGAUUUUGAUGGAGAUGCUUGCCGGCGGCAUCAUCAUAUUUUUUUCGAUAACCAUCUACCAACGGAGCUUUCAUCUGUUCCUUGUUAAUGUCAGCAUUUUCCUUGUUCUUAAGAUACGUUGCCCGCCUCCGCGCAUUUAUUAGCUCCCUCUUGUCAUCUAGUAAUAGAUGCAUGAAGGUGUGAGAGUAGUCAACGCAGGAAUGUACAUUGUUUUGAUUUAAAAUCAAACAAUCAUACCAGAUAUCGAAAGGUCAGGUUGACUUUCAGCUUCCUCCUCUCUUUUCCUCCGAUAAGGAGCUUGCCUCUUGGCGUUUAUUUCCUCCCUUUUUUCAGCAGACAAGAUAACUUUCUUAGAUGGUUUGGAGACAUUCACGACAGAUCCUGUAGUCAUGUGCUUGGAUGUUGAAACGGAUUGGGGUAAAACUUGAGGAGUUGCAUUAAUGUUUACGUGAUCUCCUCCAUAUAUAUGAGUCACAUCUAGAGCCUCUGGAACAAAACCAAAGCAAAAUGAUAAAGUUCGUAGUAUGUUAUUGAACAUCUGCAACACAACCUCUAUAAGAUUGAUACGGUUCACAACGAAAGACGAAUCUUGUAAUACCAUUUACACUUUAUGCUACGGCUGCGGCACAUUCGUCAGUGAGACAACUGAGAGAGACAAACGUUGAUGAGAUUGCCGGGUUGCCUGCUUGAUGUAAAAAUAACCGAUAGUGGUAAAAACGGGUCAGUUUAGUGCUAUCCUAAGAGUAGAGAGUACUCAUUAUGUUUUAUACUAACCUGAGUUCAGUUCGGAAGGCCACGGUACACAUGUGAUAUCACCAUCAGUGGGUUGAGGAACAACAACAACUGCGGUCUGUUCAGUGAUGGACUGAUCUGAAAUUGGUUCAUACAAGUAAUUGAGAUUUAAUUCAUCACACAAAGAGAAUAUAAUUAUGAGUACUCUCCCCGCACAUCCUCAUACCUGGACUAAUAGGGUGAUUAUACGGAACAACCAUUUGUGCAGUCGGUUCUAGUGUCAACCGUUCUGAGUAGCAUUCAUACAAGUUAGCGAGAUACAAUCGGAAAAUAAAUAGUACUAAAUCAUGGUAAAUCAACGAACUAGUAAUAGAUGCAGCAAGGUGCGAGAGUAGUCAAAGCAGGAAUGCACAUUGUUUUGAUUAAAAAUCAAACAAUCAUACCAGAUAUUGAAAGGUAAGCUUGACUUUCAUGCUUCAGUUUCUCUGCUUCCUCCUCUUUUUUCCGCCGAUAAGUAGCUCGCCUCUUGGCUCUUAUCUGCUCCCUUUUUUCAUCAGAUAAGAUACCUUUUUUUAGUUUGUUUGGAGACAUUCACGAAAGAUCUUGUAGUCAUGUGCUCGGAUGUUGAAACGGUUUGGGAUAAAACUUGAGCAGUUGCCAUAGUGUACAAGUGUAUUCCUCCAUCAAUAGGAGACACAUCUAGAACAUCUGGAACAAAACAAAAGCAAAAUGAUAUUGUUCUUAGACUGUUCUUGAACAUCUGCAACACAACCUCUAUAAGCAUGAUACGGUUCACAACGAAAGACGAAUCAUGUAAUACCGUUUACACUUUGUGCUAAGGCUGUGGCACACUCGUGUCUGCGACAACUGAAAGGCACAAAAACUCAAUAAUUGCCAGGUUUCCUGUUUGAUGUAUAAAUAACCGAGAUUGCCGGGUUUCCUUUUCAAUAUGUUUUAUGCUCACCUGAGUUCAGAUCGGGAGGCCGCUGAACACAUGUGAUAUCACCAUCAGUGGGUUGGGGAACAACCGGGUCUGCGGUCUGUUCAAGUAUGGACUGGCCUGGAGCAUGGUUCAUACAAGUAACUAAGAUUGAAGUCACAAACUUAAGAGAAUAAAAUGAUGAGUACUCUAUCCGCACAGCCUCAUACCUGGACUAAUAGGGUGAUUAUCAACAACGUUUGUCCCAUCCAUAUGAUAUCCUACAACUUCAGUACUCACAAGUUCAUUAUCCGGAAGAACCGGUUGUCCAGACGGUUCAAGUGUCAGCCCAUCUGAGUGUCGUUCAUACAAGUAAGUGAGAUCAAAUCGAUAAAUAAAUAGUAUUAACUCAUGGUAAAUUGACAAUCCGCCUGUCAUAAAUGGGGUACUCAGGUUGUUCUCACCAUCAUUUGUCCCAUCAAAAUUAUCUACAACAACGUCAUUACAGGAAAUCACAAUCGGGAUAUAGCUUGACAUGUGCGGAAAGUUUUUUAGUCAAACAUUUACCUCUAGGUAGACCUGACGAUGUUAUAUGUUCCGCAGAUUUGCUUUGUGGAUUCCCCAUACUUACCUACAAGCAAAGAUUUCAUACUAUUAACAAUGGCUUGUGAACUGAAGUUGUCUACCAUCUUCAUGAUCUUAUUUUGUUAUGUUUCCUACCGUUUAAGCAGGUAUAUAUCAGUCCUGGCCUCCGUAUUGGGAGGUUUUCUGUAAACAGUCUUGUUCUGAGGGAAAAGUACUUCCAGCCCCUAAAUUGUUUGAUGUAUUAAGUUGUUUCAUGCACUUUCGUUCGUGAACUUGGACACAACAUUAAUUAUUGUUUGAUAUAAUGGACUAUGCUUAUUGGACAGGCUGCUUCUUGGCAGUGCAAAGUUAGUAGAACAAGCCACACAACCAAGCAAUCAAAGUAAGUAAAAGCAACACACUCAGUUAUGCAAACAUGUACAGCAACUUGCAUAAACAACUCCUAAGCGAUUCUGUUGCAAAUUUCAGAAAUGGUGCCUAACAUACCAUGCUCCAGGAAAGGAGGUCGUGUGCUUGAUGUAUAUGUAAUAUAAGAUUGCCGACAUUGAGCAUUCCAAGUAAGUACAAGCAACCAACUCAAAUAUGAAAUUUCAUAACUGGUGUUUGGCCUACCAUGCUCCAGCAAAGACAGUCAUAAUCGAGUAUAAACUUGAGAUUCUGUAUGUAUUUUCUGAACAUAGGUAAUGACCAAUUACUGAGUAUAAACUUGCAAUACGUACAACAGAAGUUGGAUGCUGGGCGCGUCCAGAAGGGGAUCACAGCGUCACGUAGACGGGAUCGCGACCCCGUCUCCUGAAGCGAUCCCACAGCAGAUCGCGGCCCCGUCUCCUGAAGCGAUCCCACAGCAGAUCGCCGCCUCCUGAGAUGAUUUUUGUAUGGCCUUUAGUAUGAAUUAUUGUGUAUGAACUUGCAUUACAUAGAACUGAAAGGGGAGCAGCGCCGGUUGAGACCCUGUGGGUGGUCAGAAGGGGGCCGCCGUCGGAUCGGGGUCAUGAUCGCCGGCGAACAAAAGUCGCGGGAUCGCGACCCCGUGUCCUUGCCCGAUCCAACAGCAGACCACCGCCUCCUACAAGUGCGACGGCGAAGGUUUCGAUCGGCUGCGGUAGAGGGAUGGAUCGGCGCGGCACAGGGAUGGAUCUGCCGUGGCGCGGCACAGGGAUGGAUCCGCUGCGGCGCGGCACAGGGAUGGAUCCGCCGCGGACUGGGCGUAGGGGUGGAUCGGGCGCGUGAUCGGGCAGCGGCGGAGAUUGAUCUGCUAUGUCGGGCGGCGGCGGAGAUCGUUCAUCUGUGUGAACGAGGGAUCGAUCCUAGAGUUUUUUUUGCACUAGUUUAUUUCGAUGGAGGGUAGUGCAGAGGUGGUAGGAUGACGAAAAAAACGGUGGUGGGAGUAUGGCGAAAAUAAACCGCGCGGACUAUUCACCAAGUGCUCCAUUAGGAGUAGAGAUUAAACCAUACAUUGAAACUAUGUAAAACAUUUCAAUGCGAAAACAAAUGCGAUCAUAAUCGCAACCAAUGUAACAACUGAUCCAACGGCAUAAUGAUACCAAGCCUCGGUAUGAAUGGCAUAUUUUCUAAUCUUUCUAAUCUUCAAGCGCAUUGCAUCCAUCUUGCUCUUGUGAUCAUCGACGACAUCCGCAACAUGCAACUCCAAUAUCAUCUUCUCCUCCUCAAUUUUUCUUAUUUUUCCCUUCAAGAAAUUGUUUUCUUCUUCAACUAAAUUUAACCUCUCGACAAUAGGGUCGGUUGGAAUUUCCGGUUCAACAACCUCCUAGAUAAAUAAAAUCUAUGUCACGUUGGUCGGCAUAAUUGUCAUAAAUAAUAAAUGAACCAAUAGUUAUGAAAAGAUAAUAUAUACCACAUCCGAAUCAUAGACAGGACGAGGGCCGACGGGGCGGAUACCAAAACCAUCACACUAUAUAAGAUGCAAUAAUAAAAGUAAGAAAAUUAUACAAGUAUCUAUAUAAACAUACAAGUAAGAAUUUUUUUUCCUUUCAGAAAGAAGAUAAGAACAAGAGGCUCACCACGGUGGUGCCGGCGACGAGAUCGGCGCGGGCGAUCAACGGCGGUGAAGACAGGGACGGGACGUGACGGACCACUAAACCUAGACAAAUAUUGAGGAAAAGGGAGCCUGGAGGUCGAGCUUGGAGAGGAGAAAGCUUAAGUAGUGUGGCUUGGGCAUUCCAUCGAACACCUUGUGCAUAGGAGGUGAGCUAGAGCACCACAAAGCUCUCUCCUCGCCGGCCAGGAAAAACAAAGCAGUGGGAGUGCUCUGCUCGCGGGCGAGGGGUAUAUAUAGGCAAUUAAUUGGUACCAGUUCGUGGCAUGAACUGGGACUAAAGGGUAGCCUUUGGUCCCGGUUCAUGCCACCAACCGGGACCAAUGGUGGUGGGCCAGGAGCGAGGCCCAUUGGUCUCGGUUCGUCCCACCAACCGGGACCAAAAGGUCUAGACGAACCAGGACCAAUGGCCCACGUGGCCCGGCCGGCCCCCGGGGCUCACGAACCGGGUCCAGUGCCCCCGUGAGUCCCGGUUCUGGACUGAAUCGGUACUAAUGGGCUGGCCCGGCCUGGACCAUUGCCCCCUUUUCUACUAGUGGUAGGGUCAAAUAAGGCAAAGCCAUAACAAGAGCAGUGACCAGACAAUUCUUCAAUGUUGUGAAGGCCUCAAUUUCAGCAUCUGACCACUGGAAUGAAUGUUUUUUAGACAACAUGCCCUAAAUACUCAACUUGUAUUUGUAAAACUAGAAUUCAAUUUAUGAAUCUUUUUUUAGGCCACUGGAAUGAAUGUUUUUUAGCAUAUAUUUGUAAAACUAGAAUUCAAUUUCUGAUUCCAAUAAAUAGACAAAAAACACUUUCUUUUGCAUGACAAAAUUUCCUUUUCCAAGUUAAGUUCCUCCAAAGUAUUUUCCACACCGGUAUCAUCAGUCACAAGUUAAGGGAUAAAGAUUGUAGCCCAUAGGUCCUUUAUGAAUUUCCUUCUAAAACUUAUCAGGGGCUAACAAUGUUGGAGAAUUAGUAUUUCUACUCUCAUAAAGAAUAAUGGUUUCUUGAUUCUAGUAGAUAGAAGAAUACCCCCUUGUGUGUAACAUGGAGGAGUAUAAUGAAGCCCUUUUUCUGAUUCCAAUCAGAAUUACACCUGUAACAAGUAUCAAGUAUCAUUAAACCAAGCCACAUCAUGAAUUCUUUCAUGUGUUAAUUAUGUACUUCUUGUGCACUAAUCUAUCAAUGCAACUAUUCCAUCGUCCAUAUUUAUGCAUGUCAAAUUAUUUGGGUCAAUUAUGUAUGUGCAUAUACGCCUUAUUUCCAGCAAAUAGAUAGUUGUCAUGUUACACGUCUGUACUUUUCAAACAUUCUAAUUAAGAGCAAUGUAGCAGAAUAGAUUAACUGAGUUCUUCUUUGUGUACUAAUUCACAGGAGGAUGACGAUGAUGUGGGGUAUGACAUGGACAGCAGGCACAGCAAGAGCCGCUACAUCAUGAGGCAGCUGAUUGCUGGAAAAUUCAAGUACCGUUUCUAUGGCAAGCUUGGCUGCCCCUUCUAUGGCAAGGUGAUCAAGGGCGGCAUAGAUGGCUUGAUGCAGCAUGCCGACACCACUGGCAACUCCUACAGUAGGAAGCAAAAGGCCAGUACUCUGGACCAACAUGCGGCCUACGGGCGCUUCCUAAAGAUUGUCAAAGUCAAUGAGCCCUACUACAUCCCGCCGCGCCGCAGCUGAACAUGGGAGACAAGUGAUGUGCUGCUACACUGCUGCUGCUACCCCAGGACCGCCGUGUCCUUUUAUGUUAUCGGUAUUCGCUGGUCGACUCUAAAACUUAUGGUCUAUGGUGUGUAAGAACUUAUGUCCUAUGGUCUAUGGUGGGUGUGAACUUAUGGUGUGCGGUGGUUAAUCUGCCGUUUAUCUAAGUGUUUGCUGCUAACCUGCUUAAGUUGUCUAAGUUGUUAUUAGUACUAUUUUGCUGAUGCAUGUUAGGCAUUAUACAAUGGUAGAUGCUAAGGGUGAUGGUUAGAAAAAUAAACCGGGUUUUUCUGAAGCACCAUUGCCUAUUUGUACAGGACAGACGCCUAGUUAUGCGUCUACCCUGUACAAAUAAGCACCGGUGCUUAAGAAAAGCCUGGUUUAUCUCUCUAAACACCUCGCCUAAUCACCUUGCAUUGUACAAGGCCAUAGCAACUCAAGUAUCGUACGGUGGUCUAUGUUAGUUAGCUGUGUUAAUUCAACUGUUCUAGAACCGUAUGGUGAUGCAUGCUAGGAACUCUACUACUAUAAAUAUGGUAGUUAUAUCUUGGCAAGAUUAUGUUCAGUUUAUAACUCAGGAUGUUCCAGCCAUAUCUAUGACCAGUUACAACUGAACUAUGCAUUAGUUUUUGCCAAAAGUAAAGCAUGCAAAUGAUUGCCAAUUCUACCUGUUGCCAAUUAAAGCUUUGUACUGAGGAUGCAUUAGUUAUUGCAAUAAGUAGAGGAUGCUCAUGUUUCCCAAAAGUGCAUGUUUCCACUUUCCGGUAAGAACUGAACAUGUAUCAAAUUGUGCCAAAAGUAGAGCAUGAGCAUGAACAUGUAUCAAUUGCUGCUUCCUAUUUGUGUUUGAAUGGGCUCAACAUAUCUGGUGAUGGUUUAGGGUCUCCGCGUGACCGUGAUGAUAACUCUAGAUGUUCCAGCCAUAUCUAUGACCAGUUAUAACUCAACUAUGCAUUUGUUCUUGCCAAAAGUAAAGCAUGCAAAUCGUUGCCAAUACAACCAUAUUGCCAAUUCAAUUUUUGUACUGAGGAUGCAUUAGUUAUAGCAGUAAGUAGAGGAUGCUCAUGAUUGCCAAAGGUACAUAUAUCCACUUUAUGAUAAGAACUGAACAUGUAUCAAAUGAUCCUAAAAGUAGAGCAUGAGCAAGAUCAUGUAUCAAUUGAUGCUACCUAUUUGUGUUUGAAUGGGCUCAACAUAGCUACUCAUGGCUCUGUGUGACCGUGAUGAUAAAAAAACAUUUGUUUGCCUACGGUCUUGCUGUCAAAUUUUAGUUUGAGUUCUUCGAGGCUUUUCUCUGUUACAAAGACUUUUAUCUGAAACUAACAUUGCUGGCUUGUAUGCAAUGAAGAAAACCGGGUCAAUUAAUCUGAAGACAAUAAUCAAAAGAUUUAUAACAAAAUUAGCAGUCAACUAAUAUUAAAAAAAAUUAAGUGGGUCAUUUAACAUAUGAUCCACUUAUGACUUUAAGCACACAACCUAGUUGGUCGUGCAUAAAAUAAGCGCAGUUUAACAAGGGUAUCCAAUUGCUUAACCACGUGAAGUUGUGCAAAACCUAUGAGGGUUCAACUACUAAAGGAGCGGCCGACAACGAUUAAAAAAAGCGACGACCAGGAAAUACCUUCUCUCGGAGACGGCGGCGCCGAGUUGAUGGAAGUGGACAGUGCGUCACAAACUAGAAGUGCCCCUAUAGCGCGGUAGACGGCGGCAAGGAUAAACGGAGGGAGCGGCGAGAAUAACACUGAAGUCCGACCCCUCAUGGCGGUGGGCGGUGGCCGGCGACUCCUGUUAUCCGUGUGAGCCCGGCGUCUCCGAUCUGAUCUUGCAGCAGUCGUGGGAGCUGCGGAUGGCACGGCCGGGUGGUUAGAAUGAGGCGCUGUAAUCACGGGAUUUAGGGAGGGGUGGGCCGCGUGAGUUAUAUGAGAUUUCAAUAAUAUCACAAUGAUAUCCCAAAAAAUCUAGAAAAUAUUGUCCUUGUUUUUUAAGUAUUAAAAAUGGUUUUUUCGUGUCACAUAUGCCCGAAAAAUGCCAUACGUGACAAAACUUGCAAUAAAUGUUGAAAAUGGUCCACAUUGUACUAAUGACCGAAAAAAUCCCGCAUGUGACGAAACUUUCAAAAUUUGUUGAAGAUGGUUGAAACAUGGCAAGUAGCCCUAACAUGGCCAUGACUUGUCAUCCUGAAAUGUUGGGUUGGUUUCAUACAGGUGAGAAACUGAGCUAGUGCUCUCGGGUUGGUGACAGGCUAUCCCUGAAGAGUGCAUUUCAGAGACCCUACUUGCAUAUACAUGCACUAAUGAUCCCAAUUUUGCUGCAUCGCAUCCCUUGACCACAUAGAGCAUGCACGCAUAAUAUGCUUUUCAUGUUGGGCAAAAUUUGGAAUGUUUACACAUAUACGGAACGAAAAUGACCAGUAAACGACUCUCGGGAGGUCUACCUCCCCCCCCCCCCACACACAAAUUAAACCGUGAUUUUUUUCGACCUCCUCUAAAUCACCUCUAAUUUUGCACACUUGAUAUGUUGCACAAACAUAGCUAGGUUUUCAAGCUUUUAUAAUUUUUUAUUUUUUUUGAAUUUAUUCUGCCCUGUAGACUAACUGAUCGAAACAUCGGUCUACACCUUAAGCGGGCAUUGUAGGAUACAUUUUUUUUCAAAUUUCUUUCAUAGACAUGCUUGGCACAUCUAUUUGAGCAUCUAGAACAAAUUUGGGGUAAUUUGGAGGUGGUGGAAAAAUCACAUUUUCUACAAAAAAUGGCUUAAAUGAGAGAAAAUGGUCCCUCGUGUUUAAGCGUGAUUUUUUCGACCUUCUCUAAAUCACCUAUAAUUUUGAACACUUGAUAUGUUGCACAAACAUAGCUAGAUAUUCAAGGUUUUAGAAUUUUUAAAUUUUUUUUGAAUUUAUUCUGCCUUGUAGACUGACUGAUCAAAACAAUGGUCUACACCUUAAGCGGGCAUUGUAGGAUACAUUUUUUUCAAAAUUUCUCUCAUAGACAUGCUAGACACAUCUAUUUAAGCAUGUAGAACAAAUUUGUGGUGAUUUGGAUGUGGUGGAAAAACACAUUUUCUACAAAAACUGGCUUAAGUGACCAAAUGGUCCCUCGUGUUUUAGCGUGAUUUUUUCGACUUCCUCUAAACCACCUCUAAUUUUGCACACUUGAUAUGUUGCACAAACAUAGCUAGGUUUUCAAGAUUUUAUAAUUGUUUUUUGAAUUUAUUCUGCGCUAUAGACCGACUGAUCAAAACAUUGGUCUACACCUUAAGCGGGCAUUGUAGGAUACAUUUUUUUCGAAAUUUCUUUCAUAGACAUGGUUGGAACAUCUAUUUGAGCAUCUAGAACAAAUUUGGGGUGAUUUGGAGGUGGUGGAAAAAAAAUCACAUUUUCUACAAAAAAUGGCUUAAGUGAGACCAAAUGGUCCCUUGUGUUUAAGCGUGAUUUUUUAGACCUUCUCUAAAUCACCUAUAAUUUUUCACACUUGAUAUGUUGCACAAACGUAGCUAGGUUUUCAAGGUUUUAGAAUUUUUUAUUUUUUUUGAAUUUAUUCUGCCAUGUAGACUGACUCAUCAAAACAAGGGUCUACAUCUUAAGCGGGCAUUGUAGGAAACAUUUUUUCCAAAUUUCUCUCAUAGACAUGCUAGGCACAUCUAUUUAAGCAUGUAGAACAAAUUUGUGGUGAUUUGGAUGUGGUGGAAAAAAUCACAUUUUCUACAAAAACUGGCUUAAGUGAAGACCAAAUGGUCCCUCGUGUUUUAGCGUGAUUUUUUCGACCUCCACUAAAUCACCUCUAAUUUUGCACACUUUAUAUGUUGCACAAACAUAGCUAGGUUUUCAAGGUUUGAAAAUUUUAUAAUUGUUUUUAAUUUAUUUUGCCCUGUAGACUCACUGAUCAAAACAUCUGUCUACACCUUAAGCAGGCAUUGUAGGAUACAUUUUUUCCAAAUUUCUUUCAUAGACAUGCUUGGCACAUCUAUUUGAGCAUCUAGAAGAAAUUUGGGGUGAUUUGGAGGUGGUGUAAAAAAAUCACAUUUUCUACAAAAACUGGCUUAAGUGAGACCAAAUGGUCCCUCGUGUUUAAGCAUGAUUUUUUCGACCUUCUCUAAAUCACCUAUAAUUUUGCACACUUGAUAUGUUGCGAAAACAUAGCUAGGUUUUCAAGGUUUUAUAAUUGUUUAAUUUAUUUUUGAAUUUAUUCUGUCCUGUAGACUAACUGAUCAAAACAACGGUCUACACCUUAAGCGGGCAUUGUAGAAUACAUUUUUUCCAAAUUUCUCUCAUAGACAUGCUAGGCACAUCUAUUUAAGCAUGUAGAACAAAUUUGUGAUGAUUUGGAGGUGGUGGAAAAAAAAUCACAUUUUAUACAAAAACUGGCUUAAGUGAGACCAAAUGGCUCCUCGUGUUUUAGCGUGAUUUUUUUGACCUCCUCUAAAUCAUCUCUAAUUUUGCACACUUGAUAUGUUGCACAAACAUAGAUAAGUUUUCAAUGUUUUACAAUUUUUUAAUUUGUUUUGAAUUUAUUCUGCCUUGUAGACUGACUGAUCAAAACAACGGUCUACACCUUAAGCGGGCAUUGUAGGAUACGUUUUUUCAAAUUUCUUUCAUACACAUGUUUGGCUCAUCUAUUUGAGCAUGUAGAAUAAAUUUUAGGUAUUUGGAGGUGGUGAAAAAAAUCACCUUUUUUCGACCACAUCUAAAUCACCUCAGUUUUUGCACACAUGAUCUGUAAAUAACAAUGUUUGUCACAUGUAUGUGACAAUGUAAAACAAAUUUGGUUUGACUUAGAGAUGGUCUGCAAAUUAACUGCAAUAUUUCAAAUUUAUUUUAGAAUUAAAAUUCAAUGAUGCAAGGUUUUAUAUGUUUUUCAAUUGUUUUCAAACUUAAACUUUUUACACAUGUCCAAGAAAGCCAAUGUGGCAAGGUUUUAAAUGUUUUUAAUUGUUAUCAAACUUAAACUUUUCACAUAAGACACGUGUACCUAAAAAAAGGAAGUGUUAUUUUAGUAUAAGUCAACAUGUCACAUAGGCAAAAAAAGAUUUUAUAGAAAAAAAGCCUACCUACCUAACAUGAUAUUUCGCACACCACGACCCGCAUACGACAACAAACCCAGUGAUAUGGGCCAGGAUGCAGGCCCGUGGUGGGACUAAACUCAAACGCACGCGCACCCAGCAGUGCACAAAGCGCGGUUGCCACGUCGGAUUGCAACUGCGCCCCACCACCACUACCCCCACGUCCUACACCCGAACCACCUCCCCACGUCCCCAUCCCAUGCAUGAAAAAGCCCCAAAUCGACUACAUCACUGCCUCAUUCCGCGAACCUCCAUUGCCGCUUCCAUCUCUUCUACAAACAACCCACAAACAUCUCUCUUCGAAACCCGCAGUCGCAGGAGGAGGGAAAUGGCGGAGGAAGCGUCUGCUAAGCGUCAUUGUGGCCAGACAUCCGACCAGAGCGGCAACCUCGACGUCGUUCACGUUCCCGGUCAGAAGCGCGAGUACACCGUAACCCUCAAAGGGGUUGAGCUGCACGGCAAGGAGACGAUGGAGGUGUCUGCACCAGCGAACCAGACAAGGCCGACAAGAUGAUCUUUUGGAUCAGGAGGAGCGCAUGCGGCUCGUAUCCCCACAUCAUCAGCGUUGAUGUGGAGUUUACCAAAGAUGAUGAACCUCCGUAGAUGGCAGCAGUUCUGCAGUUCUGCGUGGAGGGUCUCUGCCUCGUGUACCACAUUGCUGCGGCCACAAAAUGGUGAACAAUCCUACUCAUUCACCCUCUUCCAUUCAUCAAUACUGCUCCCUCGAAAUUUCAUUAGACUAGUUUCAUACUAGAUGUACUAGUGUAGUUUGUGAAAAUGGAUGCACUAGUGUAGUUCAUCAAAGCAGAUGCACUAGAAUAUAUUUUGAACCUAGUGCACUUGAAUAGUAUCUGAAAUUGUUGCACAAGAUUAAUUUGUGAGCUUCAUGUACCAGUGUAGUUUCUCAUCUUGAUUCAUUAGUCUAGUUUCUGAACUUGAUGUAGUGAAGUAGUUUCUGAACUUGGUCUGGUGUUAUUUUCACCACCAAAAACACUUAAGAACUUGGUGAAGCAGAGGUAUAUGUUAUUUUAUUCAACAAAAUAAAACUAAACUAGCAAUAAGAAAGCAAAUAGAUCACUGACUCAACUAUAUAUUCCAAAAAGAAAAAUAACAUGGUGUACUUGAUUUUAAUUUCAGAACUUUGUGUACUAGUUUUUGAACUACAUUCAUCCAUGACUUAUACUGUAUAAGCAUCUACUCCAUGUAUUAUUCACUUGUAAACCGUAAAAAAUAGAUGAUUAAAUCUUGAAAAUAAACACUAGUACUCCAUGUAUUCGUCACUUGUCUCUCCCCUAGCAGACCAAAGCGCCUCAAAGAGUUUCUACAGGAGGAGAAGUUGUUCACCUUUGCCAGUUUCAACAUUAAAAAUGAGAGGGACAAGUUGAAGAUGUCUGGUUUGGAGAUAAACCCCAACAAGCACAUCGACAUUCAGCGCAACUGGAGACUUCCAUACAACGGAAAACCGUAUGACUCCUUGGCUGAUGUUGCAGCCAGCGUCAUCCACCCAUUCUACAGCAAGAUGAAGAACAAGAUCGACAAGCAGGGAGACCAUAAACUGUGGGGGGUCAGCCCACUGCCAGAUUACUUCAUCGAGUACGCAGCAAUAGAUGCGUACGCCACCUACAAGUCGUGGAAGAUAAUCAACAACAUCAAAAGAGGUCUGGAAAUUUCAAAAGAGCAGGAAGAGGACCCCUACUACCACUGCCAGUAUGCGGGAUGAGGAGACAUCAAAAUCUGGCUUCGUGUUGCUUGCACUUGUGCUUGUCCUUUAUCUUGUUGUUUGAAAUUUGUAGUUUCCUUUUCUUGGGUUAAACCAGCUUGUAUAUGUCAUGUGUGUCAUAGUUGAACCUGUUUGUUUAUGUCCAGUUUGUCACGGUUGAAAAAGUUUGCUUAUGUAAUCAAGUACAUAGUUUGCUUAUCUCGUUAAAUAAGUUUGCUAGCUUCCUAUUUUGUUUAUUCAUCAAAACAAAAAUUCAAGUAAAUUGUGAAUGGAACUCUGUGGCUGCUCUUCAAUACUCCCUCCGUAAACUAAUGUAAGAGCGUUUAGAUCACUAUUUUAGUAAUCUAAACGCUCUUAUAUUAGUUUACAGAGGGAGUACUAGUUAUCAAAGGAACUAAUCACGGAAGGUUGUGCCAUGUGUAGUUUGGGUUCAGAAUUGUAUGGAAAUGAAAACAAUAAGUACAAUAAGAGCUAAACUCCAUUACCCAAACCUACUAAAAAGGUCCCCCAACGCCCCCAGCUUUAUACUAUAAAGCAACGGCACCAAGCAUCCAAUAACAUUUGAAGACAGAUUCAAGUUCAAGGAAGUCACAAAUAACCGCUGGGGCAACAGCAAAGCAAGCCCCAAACAUAACAAGUUCAUUUCACAUCGAUACAUGGCCCAUUUACUGAACCUAUAUAUAUAUAUAUACAAUAUAUAUAUAUAUAUAUAUAUAUAUAUAUAUAUAUGAGAGAGAGAAAGAGAGAUAGGUACGGUAAUACACGGCAAGUACUCUGAAACAAGAGCUAACAUACCAAGUUCAUUUCACGUCGAAACAUGGCCCAGCCAGUUCUAAAUGAGGUCGAUGGUGAUCAUCAUCCUCAAGUCACGGCGACGGAUAUUCGCAACAGUAAGUAGGAUGCCCUGACCUACCGGAAGAUUCUUUCCAUUAAGGAACUUCUUCCACCCCGCCCGGUUGAAGAAAGUGCGACCGUCCGUGUCCAUUGUGUAGGCACAGGUGGUGAUGGAGCCCGUUCUGGUAAGGCGUAGUCCAGCAACCAUGCCUUCUUCAUCCGGCUCGAUGCCACAACUAUCAGAUAACCUCUUAGGUAAUUUUUGAAAAUAGUUGAUAUGAUAUAUGAGCAUGUCACGUGCAAUUAUCAACAAACCAUACACUUCAAGACACAUAUGUCACAUCACAUCACUACACUACACGCUAAUCAUCAAAUUACUACAGUAAUUAAGCAUAUCAUUAGAUUAUAUACUACGCACACUAAGCAUAUCAUCGCAUAUUACUACACUAGAUAAGCAUAUAUUGCAUUACUACAACACAUGCAUACCAUAAAAUUCUGCACUAAAUGAAUUCUACACUAGGCAUAUCAUCACAGUACUACAACAUGCAUAUCAUAUCAACUACUAAACUAAUUAAGCAUGCAUAUCAUGUAAUUACCACACUAAGUAACAUACCAUGAGAUGUUGUUUAACAUUCGUCUUUGUGAGGCGGGUCACGAAUGGCAUCCCAACGUAGUCUUCACGUAGCGGAAGCAUGUCCCAGAGGUUGCUGGUUUCCUCGUCGCUCAGCCUCACUCCUUGGGCAUAGAGGGCUUCAUCAAGUGGGUUCUCAUCAUCAUCUAAAUCCUCACCAUCAUCCUCCUCAUGAACUGCAUCCUCACUAUCGGCAAUCAAAUUUAGAUAGAUAACAGAAAUCCUGGGCCUUUCUCCCCUUAAGGAGAAGAGGAUCCGUUCACCCCCACUAAGACGCAAGCGGGCGAUGAAACAAUCCCAUUCAUAUCCUCCAAUCUGGGUUAUCGUUCGCCCCUUAUCGACAUGCAUAGUGUACGCCCCCCCCCCCCAAGAGCAUCGAAGGUCACGGUAUCUCCGAUGAGCUCAUUGAAUGUCAAUCUCACAUUGCAUGGGACGAUCUGUGCAAGAAAAAAACAAAUAACAAACACAAUGCAUUAGUGGAAAUAGAAAAAAAUGAACUGUCAGAAGGUUCAUAUAAAUUGUUACCACUGCAAAACAAAAGUAGGCUGGAAGUAGAUGCCGAACAGCGUGGCAGUACAAAGGCUGGUCCAGUACCGUGAUUUGCACUGUCCACAUGGUGCUUCCUCCAUUUUACACAGAACAUGUUGAACUCUAAGUUGAAUUGUACGCUACCAUAGUACAAUACAAAGAUCAUACAUAUAAUAAAUCAUAGUGAUAACCUAAAAUGCAAUACCUAUUAAAUCUAUUUACUAUCAUCUACCUAAAAAAGCAAUGCCAAUGACAAUGGCAAUUCCAGUAUCAUCUACCUAAUAAAUCACAAUCCAAUCCAAUCCAAUGUCAGUACUACAUACUAUAGUGAAGAACAGAUGAAUUAUUUUGAUUUAUUUUUUCACACAUAGGGCCGCAUUUUGAUUUGCAUAGGGCCUCACUUUUCCCUGGUACAACUCAGACCCUACACUACGACAUCCAUCAAUCUAUGAAAGAGCCAUCAUAUCCAUCAACAAAUCAUCUACCCCAUGUACCAAUUAAAAUUUAUGGACCAGAUCCGCGUCCGGAGGGAGAUGCAUGCGGUUGGGGAAGGGAAGAAGAUUCGUGAGGGGGAUGAGGGGAGAUCUCACCUACUUGCCAGAGUUGGCAGCGGCCACGCAGAUCCGGCGACGAAGAGAGGCGUCGUCUGGAGAUGGCGGCGGCAGCGCUUGUCGAGAAGGGGAAGAAGAAAGUUGAAAAUGAUGUGGAGUAGUAGGUGCACUUAGCCAAAUGUGGUACAUGUGGUGGCGCAUUUGUGUGGAUGACAAGGGAACCCACGUGUCAGUACCCAUAGAAAAAAAAUUGGCAUUUCCAACUGCCUCGCGGGGAUUCGAACCAGGGCCAUGCGGGUGUGAGGUAAAGGGUCUAGCCAGUUCGGUUGAUGCAGUGUGUUCGGCAGAACCAAUUUGCCUCUCCUUAAGACAUGUAUCCAGACACAGACGCACAGAAAAAAAACCAUGCACCGAGGCUGCGCUCCAUGUGUGGCAUAAGUGGUCCUAUGUAGCUGCAACUAGGACCAAUGUUGAUAUAUGUUGUUAUUAGCUAGGGUACCAACAGUAUAUAAUGGCUUUUGUGAUCCUUGCUAGUAAAGAAACCAUGAUCCAUGUUGGACCAAGUGGCACGUUUGAGUGCAACGUGUCAAUAUUGGUGCAUUUGGCCCUUAUGGCAUCCGUGAGGCCAAAGAGACCAUGCUUAGUGAAAACACAUGAAGAUUGCUACAUGACAGGCCGUUGGCGUGUCUUGGUAUGCACUGUGCGUGCAAUGUGACUACAAAAAGUUGUUGCAUGUCGAGACGUAGUUUAUCGGUGCAUGUGGAUCCUAUAGGCUUAUUUGUUCCUUGUAUGCGGGGAUGGUGCGUGUUGGCCCAAGUGACAUGUGUCAGUGCAUUGUGACCUCUUCUGUGGGCCCAGAAAUAAUGAGAAUUAUUUCUGGAGUACCUAUUUGUAAAUUUUGCACAGCUCUAGUUGGGUGCUGAUGUGGAAUGUUUUAUUUCCCGCGGUGCACUUACUAACUGGACUCACUUGUUAGAAAUCAUGUCAACCCACCCAAAAUGGCGGAUUAGACCUUGCUGCAACAAAUUACCCCACCAAUAUGUGAUUUUUUUGCAACAAACCUGUAAAGUAGGUGUUCUAUGCAAAAGUAACACCAAAAGUAGGUGGUUUGUGUAAUUUCCUCGCUAAACCACAGGUCAAAAAAUAUACAAAUUCAUGAAAAAAAAAUUAAAGUGGUUGGGGCGUGCACGAGCGCAUGACGCCACGCGUCUAGCCUCAGUAACUCCAAACAUCCACCCACACGCCAAAUAAAGGCCGCCUCCCCCACCCCCAUCUCCCCCACUCCCCCACCCCUGCUGCUUUUCUUCCCCAAAUCAGCAAAAACCCUCUCCUCUCACCUCGAACCCUACCUCCUACGAGCCAGCAACCAUCUCCCUUGCCCUUCGUUGUCGGAAGAUGAAGGCCGGCCGUGAAGACACGACGAUGGAGAAGGAUGCAGCGGUAGAAGCAGUGGAGAAGCCUGCUGUGGUCAUUGCCGCCGCGGUUGGCGUGGCCGACGGCGCCGUCGCGGCGACGGGAGGCGGUGCACCAUCUGUUGUGACUGCUCCGGCCGCCGUCACAGCGUCUGAGCCUGCGGUCGGGGAGCAGGUGGAGGAGGAGGUGGCGGUGGAUCUGGAAGAGCAGAGGGCCAAGCAGAAGCGCGAGCAGUACGAGCUCAUUGACAAGUACUACGAGGAGGCCGAGCUCGACACUAAGGAAGUGCAGGACGAGGUAGUCGAGUUUGACGAGGAGGUCGACGACGAGCUCUCGGAGGUACUACUCUGUUUUGCUCUAUUCUCCUACUCUGUUUUUGGGGUUUUCUCCUAAAUUGCAUGCAGCACGGAUUAGAUUUCGUCUAGAUAGGUUAUGUUUCUUGAUCUCUCCCUUAGGGUUAGGAUUAGUACUAGUUGUUUCAUACAUUUGGAAGGAAAACCCUUCAAUCUGAUACCUGGCAUGGAACAGUAGUCAUGUAGGCCUAAAAUCCCCCUGUGCGUGCAAUUAUUUUGUGAAGAUGAGUAAGAAUAUGAUUUAGAAACUGAUUAUGAACCAGUUCUGUUGUAGAAAAUGGUGUGUUUGUUAGGUAUCACCUCUUUGAUUCGUACGAUUUCCAAACGCAGGAAUAGGGAAAACGUGGGAUUAGAGUGGCAUGUCAUCUUGAAUCCUACAGGAUUAUAUGAGUGUUUGAUUGUGCAUACUAAAAACGUAGGAUUGUUUCAGACAGGUUUGAGUGGAUGGAAAAAUUUCCUACAAAUUUGUUUAUUUCAUGACAGUCAACAAGAGGAUCAAUGAUUAAUAUCUAGGACUUGAAAAGUUGACAUGCAACAGUAAAUAUUUAUCAACGGUGUUUGACCUUCUAUAAAUGGUAACUUUUAAAACAUGUACUUUGGAAACAACUUUGAAUAUUUGCUGUUGGAUGAAGCCAAUCCAAAGGUGGACAAAUGGUAAACCCUAGCAUUGUUGGCCAUUCGAUAUCUUAUUUACUAUAAAAGAAAAAUUCCAAGCAUGCGUACUAUCUAGAAUAUUCCAUUUGUAAGCUUAAGCACAAUGCUACCUAUGCACAAACAACCUCAUAGCACUAUGAUUCUCCAUUGUAAUAGAAUCUUGGAUACUUUAACAGCGCAAACUCUUUUCUUCUAAAUGAAUUGCUAAUGCUUUGAACUUUGUGAAUCUGAAUGCAUAUUAUGCACAAACAUUAUCUCUUUAUUAAAGAAAACACACACACAAAUCCAUUGCUACAAUAACAUAGCAAUGUAAAGUGCAUCUAAAAUAAUUGACAUUAACUGUUGCUUUCACGCCCAAUGCACGUGUGCCUCGCUAGUAACCAACAAUACUAUCAAUGAUGAGAGUUUAAAUCAGAGAACCCCUGUUACAACUAUGCUCUGUUCCUCAAUUGUGCAACCCAUUAUCUGGUUUUGCUAUUCAUGAAACUAGGCUCCGUUCUUCAAUAGUGGCAACCCAUUAUCUAGUUUUGGUAUGCAUGAAACUAGGCCACAUCAUCGAGUUAUGCAUCUGGUCAAUACUGAUGCAUGUAGUAACAAUUUACGGCCACUGCCUGCCAUUAACAACAAACAUGGAUUAGUUCUUCUCUUGCACAAAUCAAUCCAUGAAACUAUGCCACAUCAGUAAUCAUGCAUGCCAAGUCCAUACAACAAUACAUUUCUAUCAACAAGAUUUUCUAUUGCAUUCUUAUUAUAUAGAAUUUUUCAUUAUUAAGCGUAAUCAUAAUGCUCCAUAUGCACAAAGCUGAUACCACAUUUUCUCCUUUCUUAUAGAAUCUUUCAUACCUUAACAGUGCGAACUUUUUCUAUCUGCUUCAUGAUUUCCAUAUAAUGAAGUGGACUAUGCAUCUUAAUUUCAAUCUGAUUGCCAAAUCUGUUGAGACCUAUUAAACAGUACAUUUAUUUAGUUGUUAGAAAAACUAGUUUAUUUGAUGAAAAUCAUGAAGCCUUACAGCUAUAUUGUGAAGACAUUUUCUGAUUGCAGUAAGUAAUUGUUGGGGAACGUAGUAAUUUCAAAAAAAAAUCCUACGCACACGCAAGAUCAUGGUGAUGCAUAGCAACGAGAGGGGGAAUGUAUCUUCAUACCCUUGAAGAUCGCUAAGUGGAAGCGUUUAUCAACGCGGUUGAUGUAGUCGUACGUCUUCACGAUCCGACCGAUCCAAGUACCGAACGCACGGUACCUCCGAGUUCUGCACACAUUCAGCUCGAUGACGUCCUCGCCUUCUCGAUCCAGCAAGACGGGCGAAGUAGUAGAUGAGUUCCGGCAGCACGACGGCGUGGUGAUGGUGUUGGUGAAGAACAAUCUCCGCAGGGCUUCGCCUAAGCACUACGGAAACUAUGACGGAGGAUAAACUAGAGGGGACGGGGUUGCCGGCACACGGCUUGGUGUUUCUUGAUGUGUCUUUGGUGCUAGCCCCUCCCCUCUAUUUAUAUGUUGAGCCCUGGGGUCCAAACUUGGAGCAAAAGCCUCCUCAAAGUCGGUUUUUGCCCUAAAGGCAAGAGUCCCACUCGGACUCCAGGACCAAACGCCACAGUCCUGGUGUCUGGCCCAGACGCCAUGGGCCUCGGCAUCUGGCCCAGGGCUAGAUGCCAGGGUCUCUGGCGUUUGGCCUCCUGGCCUGCGCAAAACUCCUUUUGCACCGACUUAUAGCCCCGUGGUCCUGACCCCUUAGCCUAAGCAUAUCAUCCAAUAUAUGAAUCUUUACCUCCGGACCAUUCUGGAGCUCCUCGUCAUGUUUGUGAUCUCAUCCGGGACUCCGAACAACAUUCGGUCACCAACAUACAUAACUCAUAUAAUACUAUAUCGUCAACGAACGUUAAGCGUGCGGACCCUACGGGUUCGAGAACUAUGUAGACAUGACCGAGACAUGUUUCCGGUCAAUAACCAAUAGCGGGACCUGGAUGCCCAUAUUGGCUCCCACAUAUUCUACGAAGAUCUUUAUCGGUCAAACCGCAUAACAACAUACGUUGUUCCCUUUGUCAUCGGUAUGUUACUUGCCCGAGAUUCGAUCGUCGGUAUCUCAAUACCUAGUUCAAUCUCGUUACCGGCAAGUCUCUUUACUCGUUCCAUAAUACAUCAUCCCACAACUAACUCAUUAGUUGCAAUGCUUGCAAGGCUUUAAGUGAUGUGCAUUAUCGAGUGGGCCCAGAGAUACCUCUCUGACAAUCGGAGUGAAAAAUCCUAAUCUCGAAAUACGCCAACCCAACAAGUACCUUCGGAGACACCUGUAGAGCACCUUUAUAAUCACCCAGUUACGUUGUGACGUUUGGUAGCACACAAAGUGUUCCUCCGGUAAACGGGAGUAGCAUAAUCUCAUAGUCAUAGGAACAUGUAUAAGUCAUGAAGAAAGCAAUAGCAACAUACUAAACGAUCGUGUGCUAAGCUAACGGAAUGGGUCAUGUCAAUCACAUCAUUCUCCUAAUGAAGUGAUCCCGUUAAUCAAAUGACAACUCAUGUCUAUGGCUAGGAAACAUAACCAUCUUUAAUCAACGAGCUAGUCAAGUAGAGGCAUACUAGCGACAAUCUGUUUGUCUAUGUAUUCACACAUGUAUUAUGUUUCCGGUUAAUACAAUUCUAGCAUGAAUAAUAAAAAUUUAUCAUGAUAUAAGGAAAUAAAUAAUAACUUUAUUAUUGCCUCUAGGGCAUAUUUCCUUCAGUAAUUCAUUGCAGAGUUUCUUAUGUACGCACCCUAUGUAAUUAUUAGCAACAAGGAGUAAUUAAAGCCAUAAUUUCUUAUGUUCGCAACCGAUGUACCUCAGUCAAAAAUUUCUCUUUUUAUACAUAAUUCAUGACAUGAUUCAUAUGAUUUGUUGUCUUCAAAAUAUCAAGUGAGGGCAAUCUUUUCUUUGCUGAUGCGGUAGUUUUACUUUGUAGUAUGUACUCAUCUAGUUUGAAUAUAAUUAAAUUAGAUAUUGUCUGGUAUCUCUUUAUGAUAAAACCAGAUCAUACAAAAUAUUGUUGCAAGAAAUGGCAAGAAAUGAUCCUGUUUUUGGAAUUAUCUAUUUUUAGUAUGAAAUAAAAUAUGUGCUUGAAUGCAGUAAAAUGAUUUGUUCAUACCCUAAAACCCGAACCCUUUAGUUAAUUGUCAACUUAGAUUGUACAAAUAGGAGUACUUCUUUACAGGGGAUAAUAGGUACGCUUUCCAAGCAAAGAAAAAAGAACAAGAAAGAUAACAAAUAAUACAUAAACAUAUAUAGCAAUACAUGAGGUACAUGUUGUGUGAAUCAUCUGAUUGAUCAUAUUUUUGUGUUCCUACUUUCGGAAUGUACUUGAUACUCUUAUGAAAUGCUACAUUUCUAUAUUCCUAAUCUGACAUAGCUGUCGAUCAACUAACACACAUGAAGAUGACGAAGGCGUGGAUGAUAUUAAGGAGAGGAGGGAAAGCAAGAGCCGCUACGUCCUCAGGAGGCUGGGGAAUGGGGAAAUCCCAUACCGCAGCGGCUCCGACAAGCUCUACGGCAACAUAGCCUGCCCCUUCUGCUGCAUGAGAAUCAAGAGCGACUACGACAACCUGAUCAUGCAUGGCACCGAUAUCAGCCGUGGUAAUGGGAGGAACCGCAAGCCCCACGGCCGGGCUGAACAUUCCUCUUUUGAUGCCUUCCUUGGGAAGUAUGCGAAGGGGCAUCUUCCAUUCUACCUCCCGAGGCCACCUCGUCCGGCCAAGAUGCCGAGGAUCUGAUGCGCUACUUGGUUGUUACUACUGGUCCACCCUAGUUAAGACUGUUUUUAUGUUAUGGUUGUCAUGUGAUACUUCUGCCCCACCGUACUGCUUGAACUUAUGUGCCAGUUUAUCUUUUGGGUUGCGAGUGUUUAACAUGCUAUGUUUAAGUGUUUGGUAGUACAUUGCUCAUUUCUGGUAAUGGCCAACUUCCAAUGCUACGUGCUUAGGUACAUGCUAACUAUAUUAAACAUGGUUUUCGGAAGCAGCAGUGCCAAUUUGUACAUGAUAGGCGCCUAAUUAAGUGUCUACCCUGUACUAAUAAGUGUUGUUGCUUCAUUGAACUAUUGUUUAUCUUGUAAGCACCUACCCUGUACUAAUAAGUGCAUUGCGGUCAACCUUGCCUAAUACCUCCACUAUGGUGAUAUGUGGUACAUAUAUGUUAUGACUCUAACUAAAGAUGCUAAUGCUAUAUCUUGCACUGAAUUUGGUAUGUUCAGAAAUAAUGAUAUUCUAGUUAUUUCUAUGGACAGUUAAACCAUUCUAAAUGAUCCUGUAUUAAUAGCUGCCAAAAGUAGAGCACACAAAUGUUCGCCAGGAGUACAUACUGCCAUUUGAAGCAAAACAAAUGAGCAUGCAUUAGUAAUUGCCAGAAAUGUAGCAUGCACAUGAUUGCCAAAAGUACCCAUUGCCAUUUUUUGACAUGCACUUAGGUUGUAUAAUAUAUUGCCAAAAGUACAUCAUGCAAAUGAUUGGCAGAAUGACCUAUUCGCAGUUCAACCAAAAGAACUGAGCAUGUAUCCCUAAUUGCCGAAAUUAUAUAAUGUUCGUGAUUGCCAAAAGUAUGUAGUGCGACAACAUAGAUUGCUAUAUUGAGGUAUGUUAUCAUACCCUACUUUUUACGGUCUUAGCUGUUGUUAGCAAGCCAUCUUUCAUCGCUCGUUGAUGCACGUUUGAUAAAGUUCAAUCACCAAAUCGCAAAUGACAAAUGUAUCAUAAGUAGUGCUAACUAUAGUGCUACCCAGUACGUACGUAAACUACCAUUUGGUUAACUUGAAUGGGCUCGAUAUAGCAUGUGAUGGCUUGCGUGAUCAUAUUGAUAUCGAAGAAGACACUUGUUUAGCAAUGGUCUUGCUAUCAAAUUUCACUCUGAGCUCUUCCAUAGUUUUUGUUUUUUUAGCUUGCACUUCAUCAACAAGCUUCCUCGGGCGUCCACGUGCUCUUCGCUUUUUGGGGGAGCUCGGGGUGUCGGGAUCCUUUGGGGAGCUCGACGUGUCUGAUAUCUUGCACUCAACAGUACCGAUAAUUUCUUGGACAUCAUCUUGUGAAUUGAUAGGUUCCGAUGCAACGUGGGCUCCAUACGUCUCCGCCUGUACAGCAGACAUCAGUGCAUUCGGUAGUGUCAAAUAUCCGUGCUUUUUCGCUAACCGUUAUGGGGUACUUGUAUGUUUCCAUGCGAAGACUGUUGCAAUCUGAUCACAGCAAGCGUGAAACUAUUUUCCAGCUAAAUAUAUCUAUCUGUGACUACAUUUGAUAAGCGACACAUAUGUCAGCACAUCGUUCUGUCAUAAGAUAUUCUACAAGAAAAUAUAGUGUUUUGCUCACCUGCUCCACUUUGUCGGUAAAUACUUCACUGUUCCAUGUCAACAUGUACUUCAGUGUAAAAAACGCACAUGAAUGCCUGCAGUGUUUAGUUUAGGUUUUAGUAAACUUGAACGUGUCGGCAAGGAAUAAUUUAGGAGGUCGUACGUACCCGUCAUUCUGUUGCGGUAUGUCAUCAUAGUGUACUACUUCCCAGUCGGUAAAUUAAUGGGCUUAUCUGGUGUUACCAAGCCAUCCUUCACCGCUCUGUCCAUGCAGGCCUGAAUCGCCUCCACCUAGCAUAAUACGAGUAUUAUGAAGGGUUACGGUGAUUUGGAGUUCAUGUGCCAUGCGACAGUAAAGAGGCAGCAAGAUAAAGCUUACAAGAGCAGUUUCCUUCGACUCGUCAAAUUGAUUUUUCAAGGAGUUUAGGAUUUGAAUCUCUUCUUUGUCGAAAUUAAACACCAUUGCCAUCCAGUGGUUAUCAUUCACAUUAAAAGGGAUGUGGACCUGCCAUAAAGUCAAAGAGGACUCAUUCCACAGAAUAAUGUAUAUAAGGUAACAAUUAUGGUUCAGGGAACCCCUGAAAUAUUUCAUCUACACUAUCUAUUACGAUAUAUGAAAGUGAGGAAAACAGGUACCUUACAGCGUCCUACAAAUUUAUUUGCAAUACGCUGAAGCAACGAGCUUCCACGCCCUUUGGAAUAACCCCUUUUGUUUGUAAAAGCUUUCUGGUUUCAUAGGGGGAUAUGACUGAGGUAGUAUCAGUCUCAACUCCGCUGAUGUGAUCAUAUGCCAUAAUAACCUGCCAAAUUUGUAAUCAUAUAAUGAUGUGCCAACAGUUCAAAUAGUUCAUGUACAAUGGAGUACAAGGGGCUUAUAUCACCAUAGAUGUAUUUUUCAUCAUAAAUUGGCUUCAGUUGUUCCGCUCUUAGGGGAAUGUCUCCGAUUUGAACGACUUCAACAGGGCCGUGUGUUCCCCAGAUGAAAAUGGCUGCCUCUUUGUCCUCAGCGGUGAGCACAUAAUCAUUAUCAAAUAGAGGCUUCAACGGUGUGAUUCGAGGAUCGUCCUUGUUUGGCAGGACGUGUCUGGCACUUGGUGUUGGAGUCAAAGUACGUGGCGUGGAUGCGUCGAACUUAGGAGUCGCCAUGAAGGGAUCACUUCACACAUUGACUUGUUCCUACAAUAACAAAAAUGGUCAAUUAUAAUUAGUUUGGUAAUACUACUUAUGUGGUGGGCCAUAAUUAUUACCUCGACGCCUGCUUUCUGUGACUCGGAUUGUCGGCUGACUUUAGUUUGGUUUUUUUAAUUCCUAUAAAAAUUAUAACAAUAAUGAAUAUGGAGGAACAUAUUCAUAACAAUAAAAAAUGCACAACAUGACAUACCUUCAGUUCCCUCCUUAAGUUCUUAAUUUCGUCCUUGAGCAGCGAGAGCCUAGGAUUACUGCCAGAUUUACUCUUAAUGUCGAUUAACUCUUCGCUCAGGGUGAGGAAUUUCGCAUUAAAUCUACGCUGAAAUUCCAUUAAUUGUCUGUCUAUAUUCUUUUCUUGCUCAGCACAACGUCCAUUCAGGGCUGCAACUAUCAUUUGCACCUGUGCAAACAAAAUAACACCCCGUUCAGAACAAAGCAAAAUGAAUGAGUUUCGAUGCAACCUUUUACUGAUCUUGGAAAAUGAAAAUUGUCUUUGUUGGGCUUACUUGGUGGCUACUCAUAUUUUAACCUUGUGAUUGUGCUCGAGAUGAAUCACCUUCAUCCUCACGUACAAUUUUUUUGCUUCCUGGAUCCUUUCUAUUGUUGGCCUCUGGUUGUCGAGCACAAAUUUCCAUCACAACAUUUGAAUCAGGUACAAUGAAUCAGUAGUAGCAAAUAAAUAACCGGAUAUAUACAUGGGUCAAAUCUAGAACACACCAGUCCUUUAUGAAGACCUCCUGAGGUGUAAGCUUCUGCUCUUAUUACACACGUGCAUUCGUCCCAUCGUGCGACCAAUGGUGGGGGUAUAGGAGUAUACAUCAAUUUGCCGAAACGCAGGUGCUCCCAGUACCAAAUCUUCACAAUAAAUUACUUCGUCAAUAUAGAGAGAUAUAGAAAUGAAAAAUAAUUGUACAAUGUUAACUAGUGAUGUUGCACUAACCUGAAGCAGAGGUAGAUUUUCCUGUAGAGAUACUUGAUCAAGAGAGCUAAAUUUGUGUAUGUACCUGAACAAGUGUUUCAUUGUGAAACAUCCCCAGUUCAAUUUUCGAAGGCUUUUAAUAUCCGCAACAAGUUUAAGGUAUUUCGCGUCGACAUAACAUUGUGCUGUUGGUGCUAAUACUGUGCCAAUAGCGAAUUGAAUGAACCGCGCCAGGAAAUCAUUGUCCGGACUUUUGGAACUUAAGAUCGCUGUCUCAAGGUCAGCCAGAUCAAUGCUCCCAUUGUUUUGAAAUGUGUUAAAACAAAUUUGGAUCCGGCGUGCUUUGCAGCUUUUCAUCAAUAUCCUCCCCUUCUAUCGCAAGGCCAAAUAUAUGGUGCACGUCUUUUGCGGUGAUAGGAAUGGGUGUUUUACCUAUGGUAAUGGACAAUGUCUGACUAUUGAAGCUCUUUGUUAGUCUUACCAACAUAAUGCGCCGGAGUUUAAAUUCACGAAUCAUGUUUAGACACCCAAGACCGGUAUCGCUUAUGAUUUUCUCUAUGUGUUCUGGUGACAACAAUUUCAUGACUUUGGCGAGCCUUGACGGUGAUCACACUAACUUCGUAUGGCCGUGUUUCCACAAGAUUUCCUGCAAAAGUGGCAAUAGAUUUAUCGAGUAUGAAAGAAGUGUCUGCAAGUACAGUUUUCAAACGAAACGUCAACUAUGUACCUCAUCGGUCAUUUCGGAGAUGUAUUUUUCUCCAUUAGUAGCACUUUUAACAGUAGUUUCCAUUUUACUGCACCUAUGGAACAGAAGCAAAACCGGUUCAAUUUAUUUGACCUUCACAUUGAGAAAUGUGUAACAAAAAUAGAAUCUUAUACGCGGGCACGGAUGAGUUUAUUAAAUAAUAUGAACUACAUGUAACUUUAAGCACACUACAGAUUUUGGUCAUGCAUAACAUUGGGACAGUUCAACUAGGGUUUUGGGAUUGCAUAAACAUUCGACAUGUUAUUUCAUGAAAGAGAUACCCUUGUUGUGGUAUUACCUCUUCGGACAUUCGUGUAGUGUGCCAAGAUUGAUCAUGUUUAUAGUUAUUAAUGAGAGCUAUCAUCAGGUAAUCUUGACGACUGGAAUAACUUGUGGGAAACCUAUUAGGGCUUUACUAGUAGACGUGCGUGUCCGAGAAAGAUUACAAAAAGAGCUAUGAUCAUGUAACCUUCUGUCAUCGAUGGUGGCGGCCCAAUGCUCCACGCGGAUAGUGCGUCCCACACUAGAUGUGGAUGUGUGGCGCUCGACGGCAGCAACAUGAGCAGCGCGCGUUGACGCACGUAGGAGACGGCGACAGCACCACUGUCGUCCAACCCCUCAGGCGAUGUUCCUGGUGGGCGCGGCUACAAUCUGAUCUUGCAGCAGUCGCGGGAGGUGGUACGGGACCUGGAUGCCGCGGGUGGUUACGAGGGAGGAGCUGUAAUCGUGGGAUUUCGAGAGAUCUGGGUGGCGUGAAUUAUGGGAGGUUGAAACAUUAGCAUGUGUAAUUGGGCAAAACAAAUGUAAUGUUCUGAAGAAAAAACAAAUGUGUCGUCGAGAAAGGAAUGCAUUUUUUAAGUGGUAUAAAAUAUGUUGUUUGUUCUGAAAAUGCCCGAAAAUUGUCCGUACGUGACAAAACUUGCAACUUUGCUGAAAAUGGUUGAAAUUUGUACGUACCCCAAUAAUUACCAUGGCUUGCAACCCUGCAAAGUUGGGUUGAUUUCAGGUAGGUCAACAAACCAACAUGUCAUUUCGGAGGGUGCAUGUCAAGGCCGCAAGGACGUGUUUGGGGGCACCCCCAUGGUUAGUAGAUCAUCUACAGUACAAAAUGAUGUCUACUAUUUCCCAUGGAAUCCCAUGACCAAACCAAGCUACCAUGUGAAAUGCUUCUCAGUUUAGACUAAGAUUUACACAUGAAAAAACUUGCAAACUUAGAUGAAAAUGUUUCAAACUUGGCAUAUGUAUCCCUAACAUGGCUAGGGAUUGUAACCCUACAAACUUGACGGUCAUUUAAUAUAGGUCAAUAAACCAACACGUGCUUUCAGAGGGUACAAGGAUAUCCCGGAAGGGCCCAUCUCGGGCCAUCUCCUUCAAUACACCAUGUACAUAGGAUUCCAAGUUAUUUUGAUGCCAUCCCAUGAACCAAAUCAAGCAUGCAUCCACAGUGCAUUCAAGGUUACACAUGAUUUUCAUGAUUUUUUUUAUUUCCUCCCAGACGGUCUACCCCCCUAGACAACCAUCGAAAGUGGUAGCACAUGAUGCCUUCAAGCUUCUUUACCUAAGGGUGGACCUAAUUGACACCAUACCAAGUGCGAACAUUGGUUCAGACUGGAUUACAUCCAUGGAGUCGAUGCGGUACACGUGCUGCCUCCGUCGAGAACCUUCGUGAUGCUCCCGGUCAGAAGCGCGACUACACUGUCGAAUGUACAAACCAAGUAGAUCAUGCUUCAUGUGGAUUGAACCCAACUUAUGACAUUCAAAGGAAAAUGUUACAUUACAGGCUUCUAGGACAACAUUAAAACGAGUUUCAGCAAAAUUUGCAAGUUUUGGCAGUUGCGGCCACUUUUCGGGCAUUUAUGAUCGAAAAAUGGAAGAAAAUGGAAAAUCUAGUAGAAGCUUACAACCAUUGUGCAUGCAUGCUUCAUUUGGUCAUGGGAGGCCAUGAAAUAUAUUUGACCAAAUAUGAAGAUGAUGUGAUCAUGGAGGUUCCCCAACACAAGCCCUUCCGGCCGAGCCUGGCGCGCUUUGAGAGCAGAUGGUAUAGUACUAUCCUGACCUGUAUGAAAUCGACCCAACUUUUUGGGGUGAGUAUUGAAGGCCAUGUUAGGCCUCCAUGCCAUGUUUGAACCAUUUUUUUGUAAAGUUUGCAAUAUGAUUCACAUGUGGCCAGUUUUCUAGUAUUUUCGGCCAAAAAAAUUACCGUACAUGCAAAAUUUUGUGUAAACUGAAUAGCAUUUUUGCAUGCUUACUUGAUUUUUUCAUGAGAUGCACUUUAAAAGCUUGGGGAAAUUUCACAAAUUUCAUGUUGUACUUGCUUCACAAAGUGGACAGUGCAGUUCGAAGGUUCUAGACGGGUGCAGUUGAUGUGCCCGAGGUUUCACACGACAUGGAACCCGGUGUAGGCCAAUGAUCCAACUAGGCUUGGUGUGUCAACUAGGUCCACCAUAAGACAAACAAAGUGUAAUGCAUCAUGUGCCCCAUGCUUUCGAUGUGUGGCUAGGGGGUAGACCAUGCAGGCGAUGUUUAUUUUUCGCUUCGAAAUUGCAGAAGGAUUAUAAAUGUUGGCCAAAUUAAAAAUCUUUGUGAAUGCAUUAUUGAUUUUUUCAUGGGAGAUCAUGAAAUAAAAGUUGACAUCAUUUGUGGAUAUUGUAAAGACGGAGGUGAUCCAAUACGCGCCCUUCCCUUGGGCUAAGAUGGCAUCCUCUGAGAAGACACAUGCUGGUUUGUUGACCUUUCUUAAAUCAACACAAAAAAUUUGGGGUAACAACUCAUGGUCAUGUUAGUCCUCCAUGCCAAGUUUGAAGUAUUCUUAGUAAAGUUUGCAACUAAUGUCACGUGGGGCCAGUUUUCGGGCAUUUUCGAUAUAAAAAAAUCCCAAUACGUGGAGAAGUUGUCGAAAUUGAGAACCAUAUUUGCAUGUUUGCUUGAUUUGCUCAUGGGAGGGCAUGAAAAAAAGUUGGAAUCAUUUGUAUAUGGUGUUAACAUGGAGGUGCUCCCGGACUCGCCCUUCCGGGCUAGCCUGGCACCCUCCGAAAAUGCUUGAUGAUUUGUUCAAUUAUCUUAAGUCAACAAAACUUUUUUGCGGUGACAAUUCAUGGCCAUUGUACGCCUCCAUGCCUAGUUUGAACCAUUUUUGGCAAUGAUUGCAAGUGUUGUCACGUACGCCCACAUUCGGGCAUUUUCGUCCGAAAAUGAAAAACUUCGCUAAACUAAAAACCAUUUUGCAUGCUUUCUUGCAUUGGUCAUGGCAUGUAUAGUUGUGAAACUUAUUUGGAAAAUGGACAAGUCCAAUUUUGGAAUUAUAUAUCAUUCAUACUUGCUUCGAACCAAAAACCUAGUUCACCCUUAUGAAAUGUAUUUUUUAGCACAACAUAAUGUUUUUUUAAUCUUGAUGAUAUAUGUUAAAAGAUCCCAUAACUCAAGCACGCCACCUCUCCCGAAAUCCCGUGAUUGCACCGCCUUCCUCCUAACCACCCGUGGCAUCGGGGCCUCCUACCACCUCCACGACCGCUCCAAUAUAAGAUCGGAGACGCCGGGCGUACGCGCUUUUUGAAAUCUCCGGACGCCGCCGCCGCCAUCAUCAGCUUAGGGGUCGGAAGUGACUGCUCUUUUCGCCCCCUCCUCCUCACGUCCCUCUCUCGAGCGAAAAUGGUUAAGGAGACCAGCGCGGUACGUAUUUGCACUAUAGAAUCUGUCAGAUCUAAAUUCAACUGCUAGCACUAAUCUUUAAGACUGUGCGUACUAGUAAUGAGAUUGAUCUCGAUUUGGAGUGUGGCAUAUGUUUGGACACCAAGGGUUUGUGUCCCGGUGAGCAUUGUAUGAGGGAGUUUUGUACCGUCACCGUGCGCGUGGGAUUUGCAAACAAGACAGUAAGAUCCAGUCUGACAUGACCCGUAGCAAAUAUCAUGAGAAAUUUAGUACUCCGUCCGAUCCAAAAUUAAUGUGUUACAUCCAUGUAGAUACACAUGUAUCUCGUCAUGUUUUCUGCAUAGAUACAUCCGUAUGUACAAAAAUUUGUCCACAAAUGUUUGGACGGAGACAGUAAUAUUGAACAAAUAUUGUACUCGGACCCUUUGUACUCAGUCAGUUGUUCGUAAUGUUUACUGCAAAAAGAGUUAUAUUGCAUCUUGAUUUCUUAGAUGAUAAAAUGGUUUUGUGUACAUGCAUGUUAAUUUAAAUCUUCUAUGGGGUUAUAUGAUAAUACUGCUAAGAAGUAGUGAACUAUACUAUGCUAGUCAUCUAUGAUUGGACAAAUUCUUUUGAUUAACAGGCAGUUCAUAUGUAUUAACAAUCGUAGGUAUGCUACUCAGGUAAUCCCUGCUACGACAGAUACAGUUUCACACAGAAAUUUGGAGUGUCCUUGGGAAAAUAUGGGAACUUUGAAGCAAGUUUCAGUACCAAUGAGGGGUUUGAAUUCCCAUGUGUGAUUACCAAUGACAAUGAGUUGACAUACAUUUCAGGAAAGUCUUGGAAGGAAUUUGUUAGAGUUUACACGCUACAUGUGGGUCAGGAGAUUACGUUCAGUACUGACAAUUCAGAAGUACCAAGUAGCGUAUUGACAACUGGGAAUUUGCCUAUCAUACAUCUGAGUAAGAUACUUUUUUGCUCCUGCAAGUUUUAUUACUCUAACUUUAUCAUAUACCAUAUAUAAUAAAUUAAAUUGUCUGUGCUAUAAUAUUGUAGCAUACUACCAAUUGUCCAAUGAGAAAAGAGAUAUUAUUGACAAUGUCGCUGUAACUGAGGGGACAAGCUUAAACUGGAGAAUAAUGGAGUAUGUCAUACGCCAAGUGAUGGACCUUGAAAAGUUAGUGGAGCGUCAUGAUGCUGGAAACUAUGAUCAGGGAGAGCAUAUGCAUUCCUCCAUACGUUGACAUGGUCAAAUUGCAACAAGAACUUCUCGGUAACCAUCUUUCAGUACUUCAUUCACUUUGUGUCAUUUCAGUAUGUUUUUAGCUUUGUUCCAAAUUAAUUGUUCUUCCUUUAAUACAUAACAUUAAGUUGCCACGUGUUGAUGUAACAAAUAUUGUUUUCAAACAGAAACUUCCUAAUCGUGUUGUCCCCGAAGAAAUGGAGGAAUAUGGUGCCAUAACCAUUGUUUAUCAUCCACACAGUACUGUGUCAAGUACAUACACCAUUUCUGAUAUUGAUGGUCAUGUAUGCGUCAACAAAUUGAACGAGUUCAUGAAGAAGGAAAAACUCUUGUUGUUAGGACAGAAGGUGCUGAUGUUGCUGUACCUGGGAGAUCAUGGGAUUUAUCUAUUUGUUUCCCAUGUUCCUGAUGUGCCUCUAGAGUAGUUUUGGCAAAACGUAGUGUGUGAAAAUAAAUUAAGGGAUUUUUAAGUCAUUGCUGUAAUGACGUACUUUAUUUUUAUUUCAUGGUACUCUUGUGUUCGUGCACAACAUAGUGGGCAAGAAUUUAAAUGGUCGUUUACGUUUUUCCAUUCGAUUGCCUUCAUUGCAACUCGGUUUAUUCAUUAUUUUUUAGCAAUUUUAACAUGCUCCGUCUUACCUCUUAUUUUCUCAUAAUAGUCAAGAAGGUAAGAAAUAAUCAAAACAACUAUUUCAUGGAAUCAUUGUGUAAGAUUUAUUUCUUACUCUUACCUAUCAUGUUAAAAUAGGGUUGGGGGCGUAUAAGAGUUAUCAUGUUAGAACACAUCUUCUUAUUAAGCUGUUAUUACAUGUAACCAUGAUAAUCACCUUGAUACGAUCACAAAUAUAUUAUUUCUUCACAAUCAACAUCACACACAACACCAUUACACUAGUCAUCAACAGAGCUUCAGCGUGAAAACAAUUUGUCUCCCUAGUCCUAACAUCGUAUAAGCUUGGUGCUUCGUAAUGGUUGCCACAUUGCUCUGACUGUAAUUUGUCCUGCCUCCAAUGUUGCCACUCUUGGUACAUGCAUUCUUUUCCCACUGUUUUUUUGCGCGCUGUAGUUGUUCCCUUCUAUCCUGUGCCGCAGCCAUUGCAUCAAGGGCAUAAGCACCAACAAGGACACUUGUACCAACAAGAUGAUCCACAUACUCUAGUUCCUAGCGCCAGAAAUCACAUGGAUCCUAUGAAUCAAGUGAACACAAAUCAAACCAGCACUAACGAAACAGUAGAAAAAAUUACUCAUGCAGUAAAUGUCAACCCAAAGUGUAAAGGGAUUGUACAUCAUGGUGUUUGCACUUGUAGAACACCCAACCAUCAUGCUCUUCGGUACUAGAGAGAUAGAAUCUAACCGUUUCGCCACAGUCAGGGCAAGGGAUCAGGGGCACAUCAACUGAUCGGCCCCUCAGCGCGCACCUAAUCGAGCUCGACGAUGACAUGGUUGAUUUGGUGCCAGACGACUGCGGCAAUGACAGACGGUGGUCGUAAUCCUUUGGGUAAGAGAAGAACUAGGGACUCCUCCGCUGGGCUAGCAAACCCUAACAACAGCACCAAAGCAUCGUGCUACCUUUGAAUAGGCUAACUAACAAAUCUUCCAACCGACUAACCCACCCUAAAAUCACGGACGGACCAUCCAUGUGCAUUACUUGUAAAUAUAUCGUCAGAUAUCACGGGAGAUGUCGGGGAUAUACCCCCGACGUAACCCGGCUGGAAGUAUAACCCGACCGGACUUGGCGAUUCACCGGCGACCCGCACUGACCAGACGGUUUACAAGCAACCUGACUGAACAUUAUGAUUCACUGGUAACCCGGCGGGCGGGACAGACGGAUGACAAGGCCCAAGGCCCAGAAGGCUGGCUCAUGUUAUGGUGGGCCGAUUUAAGAGGAAAGGGGUGAGAAAUAUUUGUCUUACAAGGAGUUAAGACCUGGACUUGUAUCCGGUUUGUAUUAGAAGGUAGACUAGUCCUAAUCCUAAUAGGAUUCCACAUGUAACCCGCCCCUCUAACUUAUAUAAGGAGGGACAAGGCUCCCCAAAGAGGGACAAGCAAGAAGAAACAAUCUCUAGGGCUAGACAUAACUAGGAGAGCCGGUUUACGGCGACUCCCUCGCGAGCAUAAUGAGAGCUAGCAACAAAUAGCAUGUAGGGCUAUUACCGGAUGAUGUUUCCCGUGGCCCGAAGCUGUCUAAAUCCUUGUCUUGUGUGUUGAUCCGCCUCGCGUCUCUCGAUUCCGACCAACCCCUUCAAGCUACCACGUAGAUGUGUUGGCCUCACAUUAGGACAUUUGCCGUGACAAUUCCACGACAGUUGGCGCCCACCUGGCCACAGAGGAGUCACCGGAGUCGAAGGGAUAAGGUCAAGGUCGGACGAGGAGAGGACGGUGGCGACCACACUUUGUCUAGUACAACGCGACCACGCCCUUGGGGAUCCGCGGCGGUGGCGGCGGCAUCCCUGGGGAUCCGCGGAGGCGGCGUGCGGCGUCUCUGGUGAUUCGCAACGGCGGUGGCGUGCGGUGUCCCUGGGGAUUUGCGGCGGCAGCGACGGUGUGCGGCGACCUAGGAUUCGGGGGUGGCUGCCGCAGUGGUGGCGGGGAACCCUAGAACAGGGAGGUCGAGGGAGAGGGGGGAGUGGUGGUACGGGGGCAAAUUGGGUUUCGUUUCAUGGGACGGGCCUCUGGUUUUGGUUGGUUUUUUUAAACCGUGAGGUGGGAGGAUGACGAAAAAAAUCAGUGAGGGAGUCCUGGAUUAGGGGGUGUUCGGAUAGCCGAACUAUAGCUUCAGCCGGACUCCUGGACUAUGAAGAUACAAGAUUAAAGACUUCGUCCCGUGUCCGGAUGGGGACUUUCCUUGGCAUGGAAGGCAAGCUUGGCGAUGCGGAUAUUCAUAUCUCCUACCAUUGUAACCGAGUUUGUAUAACCCUAGCCCUCUCCGGUGUCUAUAUAAACCGGAGGGUUUUAGUCCAUAGGACAACUUCAUCAUACAACAAUCAUACCAUAGGCUAGCUUCUAGGGUUUAGCCUCCUUGAUCUCGUGGUGGAUCUACUCUUGUACUACCCAUAUCAUCAAUAUUAAUCAAGCAGGAGUAGGGUUUUACCUCCAUCGAGAGGGCCCGAACCUGGGUAAAAACAGUGUGUCCCUUGUCUCUUGUUACCAUCCGCCUAGACGCACAGUUCGGGACCCCCUACCCGAGAUCAGCCGGUUUUGACACCGACAUUGGUGCUUUCAUUGAGAGUUCCUCUAUGUCGUCGCUUUUAGGCCCGAUGGCUCCUUUGAUCAUCAACAAUGAUGCAGUCCAGGGUGAGACUUUUCUCCCCGGACAGAUCUUCGUCUUCGGCGGCUUCGCACUGCGGGCCAAUUCGUUUGGCCACCUUGAGCAGAUCGAAAGCUACGCCCCUGGCCAUCAGGUCAGAUUUGGAAGUUUAAACUACACGGCCGACAUCCGCUGGGACUUGAUCUUCGACGGAUUCGAGCCACAGCCAAGCGUGCCGCACUGUCUCGAUGGGCAUGAUAUAGAUCUGCCGCCGAACAGUAUCCUGGAGGCCGCAUGCGCACUGGUCCCGACCCUUAGUUCGGAGCCUACUGCGCCGAUCGACGAUGAGUGGUUGGACACCGCCUCGGGGGCUGCGAUCCCGAAGGCGAUCGAGCCGAACGCCAGCCCCGCACUCCGCUCAGCCCGUGACUCCGAGGAGCCGGAUUCCUCUCCGAACUCCGAGCCCUCCGUGCGCUUGCCGAUCGAAUCCAAUUGGGCACCGAUUAUGGAGUUCACUGCCAUGGACAUCUUUCAGCACUCGCCCAUUGGCGAUAUUCUGAAGUCUCUAAAGUCUCUCUCUUUAUCAGGAGAGCCCUGGCCGGACUACGGUCAGCAAGGUUGGGAUACGGAUGAUGAAGAAAUUCAAAACCCACCCACCACCCACUUCGUAGCCACUGCCGACGACUUAACGGACAUGCCCGACUUCGACUCCGAAGAUAUCGACGGUAUGGACGGCGAUGCAGGAGACGACCAAGAACCAGCACCCGUAGGUGUUGGGGAACGUAGCAGAAAUUCAAAAUUUUCCUACGUGUCACCAAGAUCUAUCUAUGGAGAAACCAGCAACGAGGGGAAGGAGAGUGCAUCUACAUACCCUUCUAGAUCGCUAAGCGGAAGCGUUCAAGAGGACGGGGUUGAAGGAGUCGUACUCGUCGUGAUCCAAAUCACCGGAGAUCCGAGUGCCGAACGGACGGCACCUCCGUGUUCAACACACGGGCAGCCCGGUGACGUCUCCCAUGCCUUGAUCCAGCAAGGAGAGAGGGAGAGGUUGAGGAAGACUCCAUCCAGCAGCAGCACAACGGCAUGGUGAUGUUGGAGGAGCGUGGCAAUCCUGCAGGGCUUCGCCAAGCACUUGCGGGAGAGGAGGAGGUGUCACGGGAGGGAGGGAGGCGCCAGGGCUUCUGGUAUGGAUGCCCUCCCUCCCCUCCACUAUAUAUAGGGGCAAGGGAGAGGGGGGAGGCGCAGCCUUGCCCCUUCCUCCAAGGAAGGGGUGCGGCCAAGAGGGGGGAGGAGUCCAUCCUCCCCAAGGCACCUCGGAGGUGCCUUCCCCCUUGAGGACUCUUCCCUCCCCAAGUUUCCUUGGCGCAUGGGCCUCUUGGGGCUGGUGCCCUUGGCCCAUAUAGGCCAAGNNNNNNNNNNNNNNNNNNNNNNNNNNNNNNNNNNNNNNNNNNNNNNNNNNNNNNNNNNNNNNNNNNNNNNNNNNNNNNNNNNNNNNNNNNNNNNNNNNNNNNNNNNNNNNNNNNNNNNNNNNNNNNNNNNNNNNNNNNNNNNNNNNNNNNNNNNNNNNNNNNNNNNNNNNNNNNNNNNNNNNNNNNNNNNNNNNNNNNNNNNNNNNNNNNNNNNNNNNNNNNNNNNNNNNNNNNNNNNNNNNNNNNNNNNNNNNNNNNNNNNNNNNNNNNNNNNNNNNNNNNNNNNNNNNNNNNNNNNNNNNNNNNNNNNNNNNNNNNNNNNNNCCGGGAUCUCAUCCGGGACUCCGAACAACAUUCGGUAACCACAUACAAACUUCCUUUAUAACCCUAGCAUCAUCGAACCUUAAGUGUGUAGACCCUACGGGUUCGGGAACCAUGCAGACAUGACCGAGACGUUCUCCGGUCAAUAACCAACAGUGGGAUCUGGAUACCCAUGUUGGCUCCCACAUGUUCCACUAUGAUCUCAUCGGAUGAACCACGAUGUCAAGGACUCAAUCAAUCCCGUAUACAAUUCCCUUUGUCUAACGGUAUUGUACUUGCCCGAGAUUCGAUCGUCGGUAUACCGAUACCUUGUUCAAUCUCGUUACCGGCAAGUCUCUUUACUCGUUCCGUAACACAUCAUCCCGUGAUCAACCCCUUGGUCACAUUGUGCACAUUAUGAUGAUGUCCUACCGAGUGGGCCCAGAGAUACCUCUCCGUUUACACGGAGUGACAAAUCCUAGUCUCGAUUCGUGCCAACCCAACAGACACUUUCGGAGAUACCUGUAAUGCACCUUUAUAGCCACCCAGUUACGUUGUGACGUUUGGUACACCCAAAGCAUUCCUACGGUAUCCGGGAGUUGCACAAUCUCAUGGUCUAAGGAAAAGAUACUUGACAUUAGAAAAGCUUUAGCAUACGAACUACAUGAUCUUUGUGCUAGGCUUAGGAUUGGGUCUUGUCCAUCACAUCAUUCUCCUAAUGAUGUGAUACCGUUAUCAAUGACAUCCAAUGUCCAUGGUCAGGAAACCAUAACCAUCUAUUGAUCAAUGAGCUAGUCAACUAGAGGCUUACUAGGGACAUGGUGUUGUCUAUGUACCCACACAUGUAUCUAAGUUUCCUAUCAAUACAAUUAUAGCAUGGAUAAUAAACGAUUAUCAUGAACAAGGAAAUAUAAUAAUAAUCAAUUUAUUAUUGCCUCUAGGGCAUAUUUCCAACAGUCUCCCACUUGCACUAGAGUCAAUAAUCUAGUUCACAUCGAUAUGUGAUUAACACUCAAGGUCACAUCCCCAUGUGACUAACACCCAAAGAGUUUACUAGAGUCAAUAAUCUAGUUCACAUUUACCAUGUGAUUAACACUCGAUGAGUUCUGGGUUUGAUCAUGUUAUGCUUGUGAGAGAGGUUAUAGUCAACGGGUCUGAACCUUUUCAGAUCCGUGUGUGCUUUACAAAUCUCUAUGUCAUCUCCUAGAUGCAGCUACCACGUUCUAUUUGGAGCUAUUCCCAAUAACUGUUCUACUUGGAGCUAUUCUAAAUUGUUGCUCCAUUAUACGUAUCCUGUAUCUCUACUCAGAGCUAUCCGGAUAGGUGUUAAGCUUGCAUCGACGUAACCCUUUACGACGAACUCUUUUACCACCUCCAUAAUCGAGAAAAUUCCUUAGUCCACUAGUUACUAAGGAUAACUUUGACCGCUGUCCUGUGAUCCACUCUUGGAUCACUCUUGUACCCCUUGACUGACUCAUGGCAAGGCACACUUCAGGUGCGGUACACAACAUAGCAUACUGUAGAGCCUAUGUCUUAAGCAUAGGGGACGACCUUCGUCCUUUCUCUCUAUUCUGCCAUGGUCGAGCUUUAAGUCUUAACUUCAUACCUUACAACUCAGGCAAGAACUCCUUCUUUGACUGAUCCAUCUUGAACACCUUCAAGAUCAUGUCAAGGUAUGUGCUCAUUUGAAAGUACCAUUAAGCGUUUUGAUCUAUCCUUAUAGAUCUUGAUGCUCAAUGUUCAAGUAGCUUAAUCCAAGCUUUCCAUUGAAAAACACUUUCCAAAUAACCCUAUAUGCUUUCCAGAAAUUCUACGUCAUUUCUGAUCAACAAUAUGUCAACAACAUAUAUUCAUCAGAAAUUCUAUAGUGCUCCCACUCACUUCUUUGGAAAUACAAGUUUCUCAUAAACUUUGUAUAAACCCAAAAUAUUUGAUCAUCUCAUCAAAGCGUACAUUCCAACUCCGAGAUGCUUACUCCAGUCCUUAGAAGGAUUGCUGGAGCUUUGCAUACUUAUUAGCAUCUUUCCGGAUUGACAAAACCUUCCGGUUGUAUCACAUACAACCUUUCCUCAAGAAAAUCGUCGAGGAAACAAUGUUUUGACAUCCUAUUUGCAAGAUUUCAUAAAUAAUGCAGUAAUCGCUAAUAUAAUUCCAACAGACUCUUAGCAUUGCUACGAGUGAGAAAGUCUCAUCGUAGUCAACUCCUUGAACUUGUCGGAAAACAUCUUAACGACAAGUCGAGCCUUCUUAAUGGUGAUACUUAUCAUCAUUGUCCGUCUUCCUUUUAAAAUCCAUAUGUACCUAACAGCCUUACGACCAUCAAGUAGUUCUUCCAAAGUCUACACUUUGGUUUCAUACAUGGAUUCUAUCUCGGAUUUUAUGGCCUCGAGCCAUUUAUCGGAAUCCGGGCCCACCAUCGCUUCUCCAUAGCUCGUAGGUUCAUUGUUGUCUAGCAACAUGACUUCCAAGACAGGAUCACGUACCACUCUGAAGUAGUACGCAUCCUUGUCAUCCCACGAGGUUUGGUAGUGACUUGAUCUGAAGUUUCAUGAUCACUAUCAUAAGCUUCCACUUCAAUUGGUGUAGGUGCCAUAGGAACAACUCCCUGUGCCCUGUCACACAGUAGUUGAAGAGACGGUUCAAUAACCUCAUCAAGUCUCCACCAUCCUCCCACUCAAUUCUUUCGAGAGAAACUUUUCCUCGAGAAAGGACCCGAUUCUAGAAACAAUCCCUUAUUGCUUUCGGAUCUGAGACAGGAGGUAUACCCAACUGUUUUGGGUGUCCUAUGAAGAUGCAUUUAUCCGCUUUGGGUUCGAGCUUAUCUGCCUGAAACUUUUUCACAUAAGCGUCGCAGCCCCAAACUUUUAAGAAAUGACAGCUUAGGUUUCUCUAAACCAUAGUUCAUACGGUGUCAUCUCAUCGGAAUUACGUGGUGCCCUAUUAAAGUGAAUAUGGUUGUCUCUAAUGCCUAACCCAUAAACUAUCGUGGUAAUUCGAUAAGAGACAUCAUGGUAUGCAUCAUAUCCAAUAGGGUGCAGUUAUGAUGUUCGGACACACCAUCACACUAUGGUGUUCCAGGCUGUAUUAGUUGUGAAACAAUUUCCACAAUGUCUUAAUUCUAUGCCAAACUCGUAAUUCAGAUAUUCAUCUCUAUGAUCAUAUCAUAGAUCUUUUAUCCUCUUGUCACGACGAUCUUUCAACUUCACACUGAAAUUACUUGAACCUUUCAAUAAUUCAGACUCGUGAUUCAUCAAGUAAAUAUACUCAACAUCUACUCAAAUCAUCUGUGAAGUAAGAACAUAACGAUAUCCACUACAUGCCUCAGCACUCAUUGGACUGCACACAUCAAAAUGUAGUACUUCCAACAAAUUGCUUUCUAGUUCCAUUUUACUGAAACCGAGGCUUUCAGUCAUCUUGUCCAUAUGGUAUGAUUUGCAUGUCUCAAGUGAUUCAAAAUUAAGUGAGUUCAAACGGUCCAUCUGCAUGGAGUUUCUUCAUGCAUAUACACCAACAGACAUGGUUCGCAUGUCUCAAACCUUUCAAAAACGAGUGAGCCCAAAGAUCCAUCAACAUGGAGCUUCUUCAUGCGUUUUAUACCGAUAUGACUUACGUGGCAGUGCCACAAGUAGGUGGUACUAUCAUUAAUAUCUUUUGGCAUGAACAUGUGUAUUACUACGAUCGAGAUUCAAUAAACCAUUCAUUUUAGGUGCAAGACCAUUGAAGGUAUUAUUCAAAUAAACAGAGUAACCAUUAUUCUCCUUAAAUGAAUAACCGUAUUGCGAUAGACAUAAUCCAAUCAUGUCUAUGCUCAACGCAAACACCAAUCUCGAUGGUAGAGGGAGCGUGCGAUGCUUGAUCAUAUCAACAUUGGAAACACUUCCAACACAUAUCGUCAUCUCACCUUUAGCUAGUCUCCGUUUAUUCCGUAGCUUUUAUUUCGAGUUACUAACACUUAGCAACCGAACCGGUAUCUAAUACCCUGGUGCUACUAGGAGUACUAGUAAAGUACACAUCAACACAAUGUAUAUCCAAUAUACUUCUAUCGACCUUGCCAGCCUUCUCAUCUACCAAGUAUCUAGGGUAAUUCUGCUCCAGUGGCUGUUCCCCUUAUUACAGAAGCACUUAGUCUCGGUUUUGGGUUCAACCUUGGGUUUCUUCACUAGAGCAGCAGCUGAAUUGCCAUUUCAUGAAGUAUCCCUUUGUUCCCUUGCCCUUCUUGAAACUAGUGGUUUCACCAACCAUCAACAAUUGAUGCUCCUUCUUGAUUUCUACUUUCGCGGUGUCAAACAUCAAGAAUAUCUCAAGGAUCAUCAUAUAUGUCCCUGAUAUAUCAUAGUUCAUCACGAAGCUCUAGCAGCUUGGUGGUAAUGACUUCGGAGAACCAUCACUAUUUCAUCUGGAAGAUCAACUCCCGCUCGAUUCAAGCGAUUGUUGUACUCAGACAAUCUGAGCACAAGCACAACAAUUGAGCUUUUCUCCUUAGUUUGCAGGCUAAGAAAAUCGUUGGAGGUCUUAUACCUCUUGACGUGGGCACGAGCCUGAAAUCCCAAUUUCAGCCCUCGAAACAUCUCAUAUGUUUCGCGAUGUUUCAAAAUGUCUUCGGUGCCUCAACUCUAAACCGUUUAACUGAACUAUCACGUAGUUAUCAAAAUGUGUAUGUCAGAUGUUCGCAACAUCCAUAGACAAUGUUCGAGGUUCAGCACACUGAGCGAUGCAUUAAGGACAUAAGCCUUCUAUGAAGCAAUGAGGACAAUCCUCAGUUUAAGGACCUAGUCCGCAUAAUUGCUACUAUCAACUUUCAACUAAAUUUUCUCUAGGAACAUAACUAAACAGUAGAACUAAAGCGCGAGCUACGACAUAAUUUGCGAAGACCUUUUGACUAUGUUCAGGAUAAUUAAGUUCAUCUUAUGAACUCCCACUCAGAUAGACAUCCCUCUAGUCAUCUAAGUGAUUACAUGAUCCGAGUCAACUAGGCCGUGUCCGAUCAUCACGUGAGACGGACUAGCCAACGUCGGUGAACAUCUUCAUGUUGAUCGUAUCUUCUAUACGACUCAUGCUCGACCUUUCGGUCUUCUGUGUUCCGAGGCCAUGUCUAUGCACAUGCUAGGCUCGUCAAGUUAACCCUAAGUGUUUUGCAUGUGUAAAACUGUCUUACACCCGUUGUAUGUGAACGUAAGGAUCUAUCACACCCGAUCAUCACGUGGUGCUUCGAAACGACGAACUGUAGCAACGGUGCACAGUUAGGGGAGAACACUUCUUGAAAUUUUAAUGAGGGAUCAUCUUAUUUACUACCGUCGUUCUAAGCAAAUAAGAUGUAUAAACAUGAUAAACAUCACAUGCAAUCAAAUAAUAGUGACAUGAUAUGGCCAAUAUCAUAUAGCUCCUUUGAUCUCCAUCUUGGGGCUCCAUGAUCAUCAUCGUCACCGGCAUGACACCAUGAUCUCCAUCAUCAUGAUCUCCAUCAUGGUGCCUUCUUGAAGUUGUCUCGUCAUCUAUUACUUCUACUACUAUGGCUAACACUUUAGCAAUAAAGUAAAGUAAUUACAUGACGUUUAAGUUGACACGCAGGUCAUAAAUAAAUAAAGACAACUCCUAUGGCUCCUGCCGGUUGUCAUACUCAUCGACACGCAAGUCGUGAUACCUAUUACAAGAACAUGAUCAAUCUCAUACAUCACAUAUAUCAUUCAUCACAUCCUUUUGGCCAUAUCACAUCACAUAGCAUACCCUGCAAAAACAAGUUAGACGUCCUCUAAUUGUUGUUUGCAUGUUUUACGUGGCUGCUAUGGGUUUCUAGCAAGAACGUUUCUUAUCUAUGCAAAACCACAACGUGAUAUGCCAAUUGCUAUUUACCCUUCAUAAGGACCCUUUUCAUCGAAUCCGAUCCGACUAAAGUAGGAGAGACAGACACCCACUAGCCACCUUAUGCAACUAGUGCAUGUCAGUCGGUGGAACCAGUCUCACGUAAGAGUACGUGUAAGGUCGGUCCGGGCCGCUUCAUCCCACGAUGCCACCGAAUCAAGAUAAGACUAGUAACGGCAAGCAUAUUGAACAAAAUCAACGCCCACAACUACUUUGUGUUCUACUCGUGCAUAGAAACUACGCAUAGACCUAGAUCAUGAUGCCACUGUUGGGGAACGUAGCAGAAAUUCAAAAUUUUCCUACGUGUCACCAAGAUCUAUCUAUGGAGAAACUAGCAACGAGGGGAAGGAGAGUGCAUCUACAUACCCUUGUAGAUCGCUAAGCGGAAGCGUUCAAGAGAACGGGGUUGAAGGAGUCGUACUCGUCAUGAUCCAAAUCACCGGAGAUCCGAGUGCCGAACGGACGGCACCUCCGCGUUCAACACACGUACAGCCCGGUGACAUCUCCCAUGCCUUGAUCCAGCAAGGAGAUAGGGAGAGGUUGAGGAAGACUCCAUCCAGCAGCAGCACAACGGCAUGGUGAUGUUGGAGGAGCGUGGCAAUCCUGCAGACGCCAAGCACUUGCGGGAGAGGAGGAGGUGUCACGGGAGGGAGGGAGGCGCCAGGGCUUCUGGUAUGGAUGCCCUCCCUCCCCUCCACUAUAUAUAGGGGCAAGGGAGAGGGGGGAGGCGCAGCCUUUCCCCUUCCUCCAAGGAAGGGGUGCGGCCAAGAGAGGGGAGGAGUCCAUCCUCCCCAAGGCACCUCGGAGGUGCCUUCCCCCUUGAGGACUCUUCCCUCCCCAAGUUUCCUUGGCGCAUGGGCCUCUUGGGGCUGGUGCCCUUGGCCCAUAUAGGCCAAGGCGCACCCCCUACAGCCCAUGUGGCCCCCCGGGGCAGGUGGACCCCCCCGGUGGACCCCCGGACCACUUUCGGCACUCCUGGUACAAUACCGAUAAAGUGCGAAACUUUUUCGACGACCAAAACAGGACUUCCCAUAUAUAAAUCUUUACCUCCGGACCAUUCCGGAACUCCUUGUGACGUCCGGGAUCUCAUCCGGGACUCCGAACAACAUUCGGUAACCACAUACAAACUUCCUUUAUAACCCUAGCGUCAUCGAACCUUAAGUGUGUAGACCCUACGGGUUCGGGAACCAUGCAGACAUGACCGAGACGUUCUCUGAUCAAUAACCAACAAUGCGAUCUGGAUACCCAUGUUGGCUCCCACAUGUUCCACGAUGAUCUCAUCGGAUGAACUACGAUGUCAAGGACUCAAUCAAUCCCGUAUACAAUUCCCUUUGUCUAACGGUAUUGUACUUGCCCGAGAUUCGAUCGUCGGUAUACCGAUACCUUGUUCAAUCUCGUUACCGGCAAGUCUCUUUACUCGUUCCGUAACACAUCAUCCCGUGAUCAACCCCUUGGUCACAUUGUGCACAUUAUGAUGAUGUCCUAUCGAGUGGGCCCAGAGAUACCUCUCCGUUUACACGGAGUGACAAAUCCCAGUCUCGAUUCGUGCCAACCCAACAGACACUUUCGGAGAUACCUGUAAUGCACCUUUAUAGCCACCCAGUUAUGUUGUGACGUUUGGUACACCCAAAGCAUUCCUACGGUAUCCGGGAGUUGCACAAUCUCAUGGUCUAAGGAAAAGAUACUUGACAUUAGAAAAGCUUUAGCAUACGAACUACAUGAUCUUUGUGCUAGGCUUAGGAUUGGGUCUUGUCCAUCACAUCAUUCUCCUAAUGAUGUGAUCCCGUUAUGAAUAACAUCCAAUGUCCAUGGUCAGGAAACCGUAACCAUCUAUUGAUCAACGAGCUAGUCAACUAGAGGCUUACUAGGGACAUGGUGUUGUCUAUGUACCCACACAUGUAUCUGAGUUUCCUAUCAAUACAAUUAUAGCAUGGAUAAUAAACGAUUAUCAUGAACAAGGAAAUAUAAUAAUAAUCAAUUUAUUAUUGCCUCUAGGGCAUAUUUCCAACAAUGGGGCACUAGAAGGCAACCUCGUCCUACGACAUAUAUAUGGUGGACACUCCAAAAGAUGGAGAUCGCGAUGGAACAGCGAAGGAUGACACAUCCAAGAAACAGACAAAGCGUCGGCGUCAGCGGCGCCGAUCUAAAUCCCGCCAAAGAAAAAACUGUGAUUCCGGCACUGGAGAUAAUACUACUCCGGAUAGCACCGAAGAACACCCCCUCCAGCAAGAUUCGACACAGGAGGAUGGGGAAGCCAGCCCUCAUGAGAGAGCGGCAGACAGAGAGGUUGAGGACGAUAAUUAUAUGCCUCCCUCCGAAGACGAGGCAAGCCUUGACGACGAUGAAUUUGUCGUUCCUGAGGAUCUCGCCGAACAAGAGCGUUUCAAACGCAGGCUUAUGGACAUGGCAAAUAGCCUCAAGAAAAAGCAGCAACAGCUUAGAGCUGAUCAAGAUUUGCUAGCUGACAGAUGGACUAAAGUCCUUGCGGCCGAAGAGUAUGAACUCGAACGCCCCUCCAAGAGUUACCCAAAGCGCAGGCUGCUACCCCGGUUAGAGGAGGAAGCACCUACAUCACCAGCGCAUGACAUGGCCGACCGGCCACCUCGUGGCCAUGACAGAGAGGCCUCUCGGCCCUCCACUCAGGCCGCACCCCGGUGCCGCUCCAAACAUACUAAAGCACGGGAAAACGCGCCAGACCUAUGAGAAAUACUGGAGGACAAGGCAAGACAAACAAGAUCGAUCUACGGAUCACGCGGGCGCCCCACAGCACGUGACGAUAAUCGUCACUCCGGAUACGAUAAAUUCGGCCGGGCCAAACACACCAGACAAAGCUCCCUUGAGCUGCGUCGUGAUAUAGCCCAGUACAGAGGCGCCGCACACCCACUAUGCUUCACAGAUGAAGUAAUGGGUCAUAAAAUCCCUGAGGGUUUCAAACCCGUAAACAUCGAAUCAUACGAUGGCACUACAGAUCCUGCGGUAUGGAUCGAGGAUUAUCUUCUUCAUAUCCACAUGGCCCGCGGCGAUGAUCUACAUGCCAUCAAAUACCUCCCGCUCAAACUUAAGGGACCGGCCCGGCAUUGGCUUAACAGUUUGCCGGCAGAUUCAAUCAGUUCUUGGGAGGACCUGGAAGCCGCAUUCCUCAACAAUUUCCAGGGUACCUAUGUACGACCACCGGACGCCGAUGACCUAAGCCACAUAAUUCAGCAGCCAGAGGAAUCGGCCAGGCAAUUCUGGACGCGGUUCCUAAUAAAGAAAAAUCAAAUAGUCGACUAUCCGGAUGCAGAGGCCUUAGCGGCCUUCAAGCAUAAUAUCUGCGACGAAUGGCUUGCCCGGCACCUUGGACAGGAAAAGCCGAAAUCUAUGGCAGCCCUCACGACACUCAUGACCCACUUUUGCGCGGGAGAAGACAGCUGGCUAGCUCGCAGCAACAACUUAACCAAGAACCUUGGCAAUUCGGAUACCAAGGACAAAAGUGGCAGGUCGCGCUGGAAUAAGCAAAAACAUCGCGUUAACAGCGACAGCAAUGAGGAUACGGCAGUCAAUGCCGGAUUCCGAGGCUACAAAUCCUGUCAGCGGAAAAAGCCAUUCAAAAGAAAUACUCAGGGUCCGUCCAGUUUGGACCGAAUACUCGACCGCUUGUGCCAGGUACAUGGCACCCCCGAAAAGCCAGCCAAUCACACCAACAGGGAUUGUUGGGUGUUCAAGCAGGCAGGCAAGUUAAAUGCCAAAAACAGAGACAAGGGGUUGCGUAGCGACGACGAGGAGGAGCCCAGGCCACCGAACAAUAGUGGACAGAAGGGUUAUCCCCCACAAGUGCGGACGGUGAACAUGAUAUACGCAACCCACAUCCCCAAAAGGAAGCGGAAGCGUGCAUUACGGGACGUAUACGCGUUGGAGCCAGUCGCCCCUAAGUUCAACCCAUGGUCCUCCUGCCCGAUCACUUUUGAUCGAAGGGACCACCCCACUAGCAUCCGUCACGGCGGGUUCGCCGCAUUGGUUCUAGACCCAAUUAUUGACGGAUUUCAUCUCACAAGAGUCCUUAUGGACGGCGGCAGCGGCCUGAACAUGCUUUACCAGGAUAAAGUGCGGAAAAUGGGCAUAGAUCCCUCGAGGAUUAAGCCCACCAAAACAACCUUUAAAGGCAUCAUACCAGGUGUAGAGGCCAGCUGUACAGGCUCAAUCACACUUGAAGUGGUCUUCGGAUCCCCGGAUAAUUUCCGAAGCGAGGAGUUAAUCUUCGACAUAGUCCCAUUCCGCAGCGGCUAUCAUGCACUGCUCGGGCGAACCGCAUUUGCAAAGUUCAAUGCAGUACCGCACUAUGCAUACCCCAAGCUCAAGAUGCCAGGUCCUCGAGGAGUAAUCACGGUCAAUGGAAACACCAAACGCUCCCUCCGAACGGAGGAGCACACGGCGGCCCUCGCAGCGAAAGUUCAAAGCAGCCUCUGUAGGCAGUUAUCCAGUCUGGCCGUUAAAAGGCCGAACACUGUCAAGCGCGCCCGGACCUACAACAAGACCGCCUGGCACGUUCUGAGCAGGCGUAGCAAUGCGGCCCCAACCCCAGCCCUCGCGAAACAGCGAGACCAGCGCCCCGCGUACAUAAUUACGCUCUCGAAAUACGAUGGGCACAGGGGGAGGGGCACCAUCACGGCACGCCCAAAACACGGCUUAAACCGUACUAGGGGAUGCCGAAUUCUUUUUUAAAUUUUCUUUUACUUUCAGGACUCCAUACUUCGGAUGACCUGUUCGGCAAUUCAACCGCCGCACACACGAUGCAAGAUCCAGGAAAGCAGACAAGCCAUGCCGCGCUAUGGAACUCCCAGGUGGUCUUUAUUACGAGCAGUAUACCUGUUUUGAAUACAGUUCCGCGGCCUGCCCCUGGCCAGGACAUGUUAAAUAGUCCAAUUCCUUUUGCUUAUCGCACUAUUUGUAUCGUUCUGCUUUUGCUCGCAGCCUUUCUAUAAACAAUGCAUAGCUUUUGUCUAUUUUUUGCAUUACUCUUUUUCUUAUAUAUAUGUUUAUUAAUGACAUGUUGCACCCAUACACUGUGGUACGGCGAAUACGCCAGGGGCUUCAGUACCCCUUCAUAUGGCGUGAGAAGUCCGAACACUUUCACAAGUGCGGCACCCCGAACUUAUAGCACUAUAUGCAUCGGCUCCGAAUCAUGAUUUGGGUCAAUAGUUGGGUUUGCCCGGCUCCUAUGUUUUGGUGCCUUACGUUCCGCUAUAUCGGCUAAGGUAGCACUAGGAGAACUACUGCGAUUGUGCCCCAGUUGAGCUGGGCUGAGCACCUCAGUAGAGAAAGCUAAAACUGACUGUCAUGAUGAAGCGAGAGACCGGUCGCUGUUCGAGAGGUUUUUCGAGUCCAUAAAGACUUAUGCCGCUUAGAGCGAGGAGCCGGCUUUUGUCCGGCCAAGGCGUGGAUAGCGCCCCGAACUAGGUCUUCCGAAUACUAGGGGCUUCGCCGAAAUUUAAAAUUAUAGAGUUCUAUGGCUAAGUGAGAGUGUUCAAGCGUUAUAGUCUGAUUGCCUUGUUCGUUGUGCUGAGCGCCUCCCUCGACGGACCCAAACAUGGGAAAAAGAGCGCUCAGGUUUAUCCCGAACACCCCAGCACUAGUGGCAUGGGGGCGGAAGCCGACAACUAGCCAUCUCUCAAUUUCUGAUAAACGGCCGCACAGAAAGUAAUAUUUUAAAUUCAAAAAGCAUUGCUUAGCGCAUAUGAAUAAGUUUUUAGCGCACAGGACAAUACGAGCGAGUUCAUUCAAAAAUUACAUCCUUGGUACAUUCGUCCGCCAUGAGGCGGGCACCCUUAAGAACAUCCUUAUAAUAGUUCUCCGGUUUGCGAUGCUCCUUCCCCGGUGGAGGCCCGUCCUUUACAAGCUUCUCGGCGUCCAGCUUGCCCCAGUGCACCUUAACACGGGCAAGGGCCCUCCGGGCACCUUCGAUGCAGACAGAGGGCUUGAUGACCUCGAGCCUUGGACAGGCCUCCACCAGCCGCCGCACCAGUCCGAAGUAACUCCCAGGCAGGGCCUCUCCAGGCCACAGCCGAACUACGAAGCCCUUCAUGGCCUGUUCGGCCGCCUUGUGGAGCUCGACCAGCCGCUUCAGCUGGUCGCUCAAGGGCACGGAGUGUUCGGCCUCAGCAUAUUGAGACCAGAACACCUUCUCCGUCGAGCUGCCCUCUUCGGCUCGGUAGAAUGCGGCGGCAUCAGACACGCUACGGGGAAGAUCUGCGAAUGCCCCUGGAGAGCUCCGGAUUCAGGUAAGUAACAAGUAGCUUACUUUCGUAUGUUUGCUUUGCAUAAAGAAUGCCUUACCCGCCGCUAUCUUCUUCACCACAUCCAAUUCCUGGAGGGCCUUCUGGGAUUCGGCCUUGGCAGAUUUGGCAGCCUCGAUGGCCGCCGCAAGCUCGGACGCUCGCGUCUUCGAGUCAAGCUCCAAACUCUCAUGUUUUUUCAUGAGAGCCUGAAGCUCUUGCUGCGCCUCGCCGACCCGGGCCUCAACUUUCUCACGCUCGGUGCGCUCUUAGGUCGCUCUCUUCUCGGCCUCAGCCAGCGCCUGCUUGAGGGUUGCCACCUCAGUUGUGGCCCCUGCAAUAAGAAGCACAAUCCUGUCAUUUUUUGCAAUUGCAUAUUUUUCAUAUAUUUUUUCUAUAAGGUAUUCUUUACCUUCUUUCUCCUCAAGCUACCGCUUGGCAAGGCCGAGCUCUUGCUCGGACCGCUCGAGACCCUGCUUCAGGGUGUCUACCUCCGCAGUCAGUGCGGCGGUCGCAAGCAACGAAGCCUGCAUACGCAUAUUGACUCUUUUUUGUUAGACUCCUGCGAAAUUUAUUAGAUCCUCUAUUCGGCUUUUCUUUCCGAACGCCAAACAGAGCAUCAGGGGCUACUGUCUAUGCGGUAAUAUUUUUACAUAUUUUUACUUACCUCGAAGCCUGUUAGAAGGCUAGCACAUGCUUCAGUCAGUCCGCUCUUGGCGUACUGAACCUUCUGGACCACCGUACUCAUGAUAGUACGGUGCUCCUCGUCGAUGGAGGCGCCCUUAAGCACCUCCAGCAGAUUGUCCGGCGCCUCCGGUUGGACGGAGGCCGCCGGCUCAGUAGGCUUGCUCCUCUUAGAAGGAGGUCGCCUUCGGCAGUCCGGAACCGUUGAGGAUUCCGGCGCGGUGUACGGCACAAAGCCGGACUUGGAGCCCUGGGGGUUUUUGUCCCCUUUACCCCCGGAGUCCGGGAGGUCGCCUCGCGGCUCCUCCAGGACCACCUCUUCUUGGCCCGGAGCUUGUUGCGACGCCACUUCGGCGUCGUCCGCGGCGUGGGGAGAGGCAGCGGACGAAACUGAAUUCACGUCCGAUGAAUCCAGGGAGCCGCUCGACGACUCGUCGAGCCCGUCCUUGGGCGGGCUGCAUGAUUACAUUCGACAUUAGGAAAAGCUGUGCGGCAAAGGAAUAUCAUGAGUUACUCUGGUAUCCGAACACUUACGAUCCCGCCGGGCGCCUGGCCCUUGGCGGCCGCUCCUCUUCACCCUCGUCGGUGUCGGUGGAGCAGUCCGGGGGAAGGGUCUUCCCCUUCUUGGACCCUUCGGCCUCCCCUGUUGGGGCGGCCUUCCUCUUCUUUCCUUCCCCCGCUGGAGGGGGAGAGGUUUCUUCUUCCUCCUCCUCGUCUUUACGGGAGGAGUGCAUCUCGGAUUCGUCGGAUGAUGAAUCCGACACAACCAUACGCCGGGAACUUGUUCGAGUCCCCGUGGUCUUCUUCUUGACCUUAUUCUCCCACACCGCGUAAGGUGCCGGAGCCAGCAGCUUCGCCAAUCGAGCGAUAGUUGGGUCUUCGGGCAAAGGAGCCGGACAGUUGAUCUAUCCGGACUUCGCCUGCCAAGCCUGUCAAAGGUGAGGGAGUUCGAAUCCCGCAUAGAGUCAAACUAUGAAAAACUAGCAUCCUGUAAAAGGUGAAAAUGGCUUACCUCGCUAGCGUGAGGCUGCGAGCUGAAUCCGCGGUCCUCGGAAGCGGAUGCGGGAGCCUCGGCGCCUUUGGUUAGCACCUUCCAGGCAUCUUCGUACGUCGUGUCGAAGAGACUGCUCAGGGUCGGGUGCUGCGCCGGGUCGAAUUCCCACAAAUUGAAAUCCCGUUGCUGACACGGGAGGAUCCGGCGGACGAGCAUAACCUGGACUACAUUGACAAGCUUGAGCUGCUUGUCCACCAGGGAUUGGAUGCAUGUUUGCAGUCCGGUCACCUCUCCCUCGUUGCCCCAUGACAGGCCCGUCUCUUUCCAGGACGUGAGCCGCAUAGGGGAUCCGGACCGGAACUCUGGGGCUGCCACCCAUUUCGGAUCGUGCGGCUCGGUGAUGUAGAACCACCCUGACUGCCACCCCUUCAGGGUCUCCACAAAGGAGCCCUCGAGCCAUAGGACGUUGGCCAUCUUGCCCGCCAUGGCACCUCCGCACUCCGCCUGGUUGCCUCGCACAACCUUCGGCUUGAUAUUAAAGGUCUUGAGCCAAAGACCGAAAUGGGGGCGGAUGCAGAGGAAGGCCUCACACACGAAGAUAAACGCCGAUAUGUUGAGGACGAAGUUCGGGGCCAGAUCGUGGAAAUCCAGGCCAUAGUAAAACAUGAGCCCCCAGACAAAUGGGUGAAGAGGAAAACCCAGUCCGCGGAGGAAGUGGGGAAGAAAUACGACCCUCUCAUGGGGCCUUGGGGUAGGAAGGAGCUACCCCUUUUCGGGAAGCCGGUGCGCGAUGUCGUUAGACAGGUAUCCGGCCUUCCUUAGCUUUUUGACAUGGCUCUCCGUGAUGGAGGAGACCAUCCACUUGCCUCCCGCUCCGGACAUUGCUGGAGAAGGUUGAGGUGGGAAGUGCGGGCUUGGGCGCUGGAGCUCGAGUGCGCAGAAGACGGAUAGGCAAAGGAGGAAGAAGGCGUGGGUAAAAAGGUGGAUCCUUAUCCCCUUAUGUGGGCGGAUGCGGCCAAGCGUCCCCACCAGCCUGGUAAAACUCGCUUAUCUCCCAAGCGCCGUGAUAAAUGGCGCGGUUGGGUUACCCACAUCCGUAUUGAUGAGAAUCUUGUAAAUAAAGGGGGACACGAUCUCUGCUUUGACAAGACGUGCCAAGGAAACCGCCUCGCAAAACACGCUGAGGUGGGAAGUAAAAACGAUUCGAAUAAAGACUUGGCCGCAGUGUGAUGUCACGCUACGGAAUACGUCAGCAGAUUAGAUUUGUGUUAAUAUUAUUCUCUCUAUGGAAAUAUGUGGAAACUUAUUUUGCAGAGCGGGACACUAUCCUUAGUGUUUAUAAUCUUUUAUGAAGGACUUGGAGGAGGAAACCGCCUUGCAAUGCCGAAGACAAUCUGCGUGCCGGACUCGUCGUCAUUGAAGCCUGGUUCAGGGGCUACUGAGGGAGUCCUGGAUUAGGGGGUGUUCGGAUAGCCGAACUAUACCUUCAGCCGGACUCCUGGACUAUGAAGAUACAAGAUUGAAGACUUCGUCCCGUGUCCGGAUGGGACUUUCCUUGGCGUGGAAGGCAAACUUGGCGAUGCGGAUAUUCAGAUCUCCUACCAUUGUAACCGACUUUGUGUAACCCUAGCCCUCUCCGGUGUCUAUAUAAACCGGAGGGUUUUAGUCCGUAGGACAACUUCAUCAUACAACAAUCAUACCAUAGGCUAGCUUCUAGGGUUUAGCCUCCUUGAUCUCGUGGUAGAUCUACUCUUGUACUACCCAUAUCAUCAAUAUUAAUCAAGCAGGAGUAGGGUUUUACCUCCAUCGAGAGGGCCCGAACCUGGGUAAAAACACUGUGUCCCUUGUCUCCUGUUACCAUCCGCCUAGACGCACAGUUCGGUACCCCCUACCCGAGAUCCGCCAGUUUUGACACUGACAACCAGCGAAAAUAAACCAUGGAGACUAUUCACCAAGUCGUCCAUUAGGAGUAGAGAUAUGAGGCAGGGAACGAAUGCCAAUUUGUGUGGUAUUUUUUUUGAAAAGAAAAAAACAAAAACCAUAUUUAAAAUUUUCAAAAAAAUCGAAAAUAAUUCUGCGCAAACUUUUUUUUGCAUUACUCAACUCAUGGUGUCCAUACAUUGAGCAACAGCUAGCUCAACAGCAACAUCUAGACCAGAACAAACCCAAGUCAUGGUUUGUCCUUCUAAUUUAGCAAAUCUAGCUAAGCAGUCACUAACUUUAUUUUGAGAGCGAUUUACAUGGGUAAUACAAGAACCACGAAUCCCCAAAACAUACUUGAUCACCUUAAUAACUAUCCAAGCAUAAAUAGAUUUGUCCAAAUCCCUCGAUUGGAUCAGUUUGACUGCAAGAAUAGAGUCCAUCUCCACAAUGAUAGGUAAGUCACUCCUCUUAAGUGCAGAUGAUAGCCCUUCCAUGCACGCACGCAGUUCAGUUGAUGAAAGAAAGGGCGUUUUUCUUCUCUGCUUCUUCAUUCGCUCAAUUUCCUUUUUUUCACUUUUUUAUUAAAAAAACUAAAAACAUUUAUUUAAAAAUAAUAAUUUCCUUAAAAUUUUGAAAUGUUCAAAGUGAAAUAGAAAACUAUAAACAUUGUGUAAAAAAUUGUCACCCGCUGCUUAGCUUGAUUUGCAGGUAUGAGGCAGGGAACGCCAUGCAUUUGGCCGGCCUUCGUUUUUUUUCUCUGCUUCUUUAUUCGCUCCAUUUUAUUUACAUUUUUAAAAAAAUAUUCUAAAUACACUUAUUCCAAAAACACAAUAGAGUUUAAUAAAUAAAAAAUGUUGAAAGUGAAAUAUAAAAGUAUAAACAUCAUGUACAAAAUUGUACUCUCUAUGAUCCAUAUUAAUUGUCAUUGACUUAAUUUAAACUAAUAUAGACCAAAUGCAGCAUGAUAUAAAAAAUGUUUAUAGCAUUCAAAAAUAUGUUCAUGUGUUUCAAAAAAAUAUGGACACAUGUUCAAGAUGUGUAAAGAAUGCUCACGUAAUUCAACAAAAUAAAUACUGCCUUUUAGAAAAAUGUACAUGACAAUUAAAAAUGCUCACACACUCCAAAAAUAGGUUUAUGCCAAUUAAUAAAAAAUGUUCAAGAUGUGUAAAUUUUUACAGUGUGUAUUUAGAAAAAUGGACAUGUAUUGAGAAAGAAAUAAAAUCCAUACAGAAACACAUAAGACAGAAAACCAAACAAAAAGGUGAAAAUUGGCCCAGGAAACACACAAGACGAAAAGGAAAAAAAACUCUGCAGGAACCCGGUCCCAGGAACCCAUAUUGGGAAAGCCCAUCUAGGGUCCUCCUACUUCAUACAGCAGGCGAGAAGGACAUAGUAAAGAUGACAUGCUUUUCUCAAAAAAAAAAAGGUAAGAAUGACAUGCCAUUAAAAAUAAAAUUGCCAUGCUCUUUUUUUUGACAACUUUACUUCCUCUUUAUUCAUUCGUGAUCAGACUUACAUCUUUAAGUAGUAGGGGAAGAAGCUCAGAAGGAGCAUUAUCUAACCACUCAUUACAAAGCGAACUUCUAGCAAUCCUAGCUAGUUCAUGUGCAACCCCAUUCGACUCUCUGGGGCAAAAUUCGAAGACAAUAGAGCUAAAUUCGCAAGCCAGAUGAUAACAAUCAUCGACAAUGGCCGCGGCAUCUCCAGCAUAUUGGCCAUCCUUAUUCAUUAUUUCCAUGAGUUCCAGAUUAUCCGAGUUGCCAAUCAGUCUAUUGCACCCAGCUGUGAGCGCCAUAUUCAACCCAAACUUCAGAGCCAUUGCCUCAACAGUUAGUACAUCAUAACAGGAAUCAAUGAGCUUGUUUCCAGCUACAACCAUAUGUCCUCUAUCAUCUCGGAUGACUGCUCCCAUCGCCCCCUGAAGCAAAUCCCAAUCAAAGGCCGCAUCAACAUUUAACUUGACAUAUCCACUAGGGGGUUUGCACCAACCUCCCCUCUUUAACGAGGCCUUUGGGUCACAUGCACCACUACCUACACAUGAUAUGAGUGACUUUGUAGCAUGGAGUUUGAAUAAACAUGGAAUUUUUACAGUGAAAUCGGCCUACCAUGCUCUAUGGUACUUUCAGCAUGGCCGUAAAUUACAGAGGACAGAUGGUUUGGGAGCCACUAGUGCUAACCCAACAUGGGAAAAGGUUUGGAAACUGAAUUGUCCGGCGAAAGUUAAAAAAUUUCUUUGGAGAACCUUACACGCAACACUGCCAUGCAAUGUGGUUCUUGCUAAUAGACACAUCCCAGUCCGGCCGACGUGUCAUGCAUGUAAACAAGGAGCAGAAGAUGUGUUUCAUGUACUAUUUCGAUGCCAUAAGGCUAGAGAGGUUUGGCGGCAGUUGGGGCUAGAGGAUGUUAUACGCCAUGCAUGUGGGGUAGACCGAGCAGGGGAGGAGAUUCUAUCAUACUUAAAUUGCCAUGCUCUUAAUAGUAAAGCUGCCAUGUUUUGAAUAAUAAGAUCUCCAUUUUAAUCAUAAUAAAAUUGCCAUGUGGAAAAGUAGGGAAAUGAAUCCCAAAUUCGCCAUGCAAAUUGAUUAAAAAUCCCAUCGUUUGCCACAAUAGCAUUACAAAAUGACUUAAAAUUGCCCUGUUUGAAAGACAAAAAGUUGUGAUUAUCCAUGGGGUCGUGAGAUUUUUCUUCUUCGGAAAAUUUUUCCAUGUGUACAAAAUACCUUGGCGUGUGAACAUAAAAAAAAUUGUGUUUUUUUUUAAAUUGGCAUGUACCUAAAAACAAAAAAAAGUUGCAUAUUUUUGCCACAUAGUAAAAAUGUGGAGUGUUUGGAUAGGAUUGUGUUGGCCUUUCUUUUGUUUAGCAAACAACCUUUCUUUCUGUUUUGCAAGGGUUUAGGAACUCAGACAUGAGUAGCCAACAUUGUAACGCCAUGUGCGUAUUUCUUUUCCAUGUGGGGAAGUAGUCGUUGGCCGUUGUUUGAGGAAUUGUAUUUUGGCUUUCGGAGCGUUUGUUGGGCGGAGCGUGUGUAACAAGGAACGUCGCCAACUUUUGGCUGAAGGAACCAGGCGUUUUGUUAUAUCCUUGUCGCCACACCAUCUUCAUCUCCAUCCUUACUUAUACUAGUAUAAUGCCCGUGCAUUGCCACGGGCUCUUGAAAUAUUUUGUAAGAGAUAUACAUUAGAAUAUCAAAAGCCAUGCUAUAGUGCCACCAGAUAUUUGAGGUCGAUCUUAGACAACAAAUGUUCCCACCAACAACGAGAACUGCAUGGCAAACAGAUAGAUAAGCAAAAAAAUAUACAAGUACGAUAGAAUAUCUGCUUAAAACAACGUAACGGCCUUGACUAAUUCCUAGGAGUCCACUCCGCUGACGAAGACCGCAACAUGGUGAAUCCUUGCACCCAUAAAGUACCAUAUUUCAGAAAUCAGCUCUCCUGACAAGGAUACUCCAUUUAAACACAUGCCACUUGGUACCGACAUAGCAGCCAUCUUUAGACUAGGCACAUCCUCACAAGUCUCACCAAUGAACCCAGUGCUCUAUUAAAAAUACAAAUUAAGACCCCCAUUGUAAGUUUGAUAGCAUAACUAUCACCAAACUUGAAGGUGUGUUUUCUCAUGUAGACAUUCCUCAAACACAUACCCAUAUCCUUCUUGAAAGAAACCUGGGUUGGAAUAAUUGUACAUACCUAGGCAGGAGAAAAGGGAAAGCAAACAAUGAUAUGAUUGAAACUACCUCGCAAGAGUAACACUAACUGUUACCUUGUUUUUUCUUAGCUCUCCAUUACUCCAUUCACAUAAUAACAAAACUCUGUAAUUGAACCGAUAAAGAAAUAGGUUGCCAUACAAGCAUUACAUCAAUGUUAGUAAUCUAGCUCAUGUGAUAUUUCCAAAAACAGUAGUUCGGUCACGACCGGUGGGGGACUUUGUGCCUUUUGUAUCUGUAGGUUUUUGCCUGGUUUCCACUAAAUAGAUAAGAUAUAUUUCUCAGAUAAGCAUGUAUGGAACCGGGCAACUUUCUUCUUCUUUAUAAAAUGCAGAACCCCUUGGCUCUCUCAAGGUAGUACUCGGAAAAAAGUAUACUGCUUUGUGUCCGGUUUAUUUUUAAAUGUAGAGGAUUGUGCAUGAUUUAUAUCAGCUAAUAAACCGCAUGACCAUUUUUCAGUUCUAAUUUCCAGAGCUCUAGGUAGUGUGUACUAACUUUGUUUUGGCAAAUGCGAGGAGAGCCACGAGAAGCCAAGUGCCACUUGAUAUAGUAGAUCAAACAACCUACGAGGCUAAAAACUUUCUACUUCUUAAUCAAGGUCAAAAUAGUUCACGGAAACAAUCAAAAUCUCUAUUCCUAAUGUCUCAAUUGGUAGGUCGCGUUCCGGGUUUUAUUUUCGUCCCACCAUUUUUGUCCUACCAUUUUCGUUCGGUUUUUUUUCGCUUGUUUUUUUCGCCCCCCACACCCCACCAGACGCAUACACAAAAAAAACCCGCACAAACACCUCUCGUAUCGAUCCCCUCGAGGAGAAGCCGUCGCCCCCAUCUCCCGUUCCGCCGCCGCCGCCCCCCACCUUGCCCUAUCUCCCUCUCAGCCACCUCCGCCGCCCCCACGCUUCUCCUCACCACAACAGAUCCCUUCGCCGUCGCCCUCGCACUCGCACCAAGCCGCCGCCGAUCCCUGCGUCGAUCCUUCGCUGCCGCCGAUCUCGUCGCUACAUCGACGGCAACCAGGGGUCGUCCUCCGCCCAGCCGCAGUGGAGAUCAAGCAGGAGUCCUCCAAGGACGACUCCCGCGGGAUCAUCCUGAUCCUGUUCGAGAAGUUCGGCUUCUCCCACCGCGGGUCCGUCUCCAUCGCGCUCACCGGCGCCAGGGCUGCCUCCAAGCUCGCCAAGCCGGACUCUUCGCAGCUCGGCUUCUUCCUUUGGUGAUAUAGAAGAUGAAAUUGUUUGUUCUUGUAUUCUGUUACAUGGUUUGGUUUUGUUAGCCAGAUUCAGUCUUUCUUUAUCUCAGCUGAGGUUGAUGUGGGUUUAUUGGCAGAUUAUUUACAAAAGAAAUUGUUUGAGGUCAAGAGUUGAUGCCAAAUGUCCUGGAUCAGGACAACUCCUGGGAAACAAGGCGAACGGUAUGUGCGUGCAAAAUUGAAAAUUGUACUAGAUAUGUGUAGUUUGCUCCAGGAUCCUAUAUCAGUGUAUUUGCUUCGUGCAGUUCCCUAUGUCAUCCAUUAUAUUUAUAUAGGGAUAAAUUUCCACGGGUUGUUGUAAGCAAAACUCCCUAUGUACCGGCACUUGUCUCUUUACAGACUGUCCGGGCUUUCUAGAUUAGAAUAUAAUUGUUUUAGAUAAUUCGAAAUAAGUUUUUACGCCAGCUUGCACCUUUAUUAUUUGCAGCCGGGAAGUCUAUUUCUUUUCUUUUUUUUGAUUCAAAACUAUUGGCAUGAAUUGGCCCUUGCAUUUGGUCUGAGCACUUACAAUAAUUCCAACCUGUCAAUUGGGGACAGAUAUGUCCAUCACACCUGUACCUUUUAUUCAGUUUGAGGAGGAAUAAGUAGUCAAUUGGCUGAUUAAUUAUGUUUCAUGUGAUUUGUAUAUGGACGCAGUUGCAACAGUUAGCUGCAUCAACUAUAAUUUUUCUUUCGCUGGCGGGGCAUGCAUCCCGACGAGUUAUACAAUUUAGCUGAUUUAAUUCGUGGCCUAACAAUACUUUUGGUAAUAGUUGUCAAGUAAAAAAGGAUCUGCUUUUUCGUAAUGAUGGCCAAAUAAAAGAGGAUCCAAACCCUCACGAGUUUACAUUGUACAAAGCUAUUAUGUGCUGACAAUAAUUUUUCUAAGUUGCUCUCUACAUCUCGGUGUUAUUAGUCUAAAUAUUCUGAUUCCAAAGGAUGUUUUCAAACAUCAGAUCUUUUAAUAAAUUUGAAACAACAUAUCUUUCUAAUUUUGGUUCUGUCUAAAAUGAUGAAAUUCAAUUUUGUUCUACUGCAUAUUAGCUUAAUCAUCUUCACCAGCAGUAUAUAUUGCAGAUAAUUGUGUUGGUUUGGUUUUUAGCAUGUAGGUAUGAUAUGGUAAGCCUCCAGUGAAGGAGGGGCUUAGAAAAAGAGAAACUGUUCUAUUUGAUAUACAAUGUAAUUUGGAAAUUAAUGGCAGAAGGCUCCUAAACUAACAUAUGAUGUUUUGUUUGAAUUUCUCUUUACCGGAUUGUGUUACUUCUGCGCAGUCACCAUACUUGACAAGGGUCCCUGAUUUUAUCACUUCCGUUGACGAGUCUUGUGUCAGCAUCUUGAUGCGAGGUACAACUUCUAGGUGAUCUUCUUCAUGUUUUACGUUGUUGUACUUUUUGCUGCAAUGUGGACGUACAUAUUCUAGCAGAUAUAUCUUCAUGCUUUACCUUGUUUACCACUGCCCUGAUGUGGAGGUACAGAUUCUAGCUGAUAUAUAUCGUCAUGUUUUACCUUUUACCAACAUCCAAGAUUUUUGUUUCCUCAUUUCUUUCAAUUAGAUAGAAGAUGGGACGUGCUUUGUUGUAGUUUCCUCUUACUUUGACUAAGUAGGACAUUUUUUUGAAAUACCAAAUUGUGGUGUCGCUACCCCUACGCACCACGGUUUUGCAGCACCCUCAGCUAAAGUAAACCAUUCCAAGCCUACCAUACUCGAAACAUGGAAGCAUGCAAACUUCAGAGCAUCUUGGUGUCGCUGGCCACCCGAUCUCUACAACCACCACAAAAUGCUACAGGACCAACCAGGCCGGUGUCCUGACCACUGAAUCAUGUCACUGUGUGGGCGCCUAGAUCUCCCAUGUGUCUGUCUAAAGCCUGAGGGGCCAACCUCGCUCGAGCGUCGCCAGCCAGCACUCAUCUGCACAUGAACAAAUGGUUGGAUAUAUGUGCCUCCUCCGUCUCUUAUUCCCCGAAACAUAAUUUGAUGAGUAGAGUUUCUAAUCAUUUAUGGCACACUGGCAUAUGAUUAAACUGCACAAGUUAGAUUGACAUUUUGUGGAGAACGGUCGUCGGUUGGGAGCCUCGCCGUCUACCUCCACCAGCCGGCCCACACACCAUUGCUCCCCGCGUGUCGCGCCCCUCCCCGAACCAUCAUGCCUUCUAAUUAGUGUACGUGGUAGUCUGGUAAAAGUGGAGAAUAAUUCGGGUAAUGUCUAUGGAUGUACUACCAGUAUUGCGGCUAACCUGCCUGGCAGUGAGAUGCAUCUAGAUUAGAUCUGAUUACUGAUAUAGAAGAUGCAAUUAAUUAUCUAAAAUUUUCCUUGUACCAUUUUCCAUGAGAUUAAUGUAAUUGGGAAUACCAGUGCUUGUUUGAAUCAUUUAGUUAAAUAAUUUUAUAGAUAAAACUUGUAUUUGUAUGUUUUGGAAUUACUAUUAUCCUGGUAAAAUGACCACAAGUGAAAGGGUUGUAAAGAUUAAUUAUUCUUUGUGGAAGCAUUACUGGUCUAAUUAAUAGAUGUACAUGCAUCAAUAAUGUUGUUGAGCUUUAGUUGAUUCUAUAGUGUUGUACUAUUCGCAAAGUUCUAUUUUGAGAAAAAAAUGGCAAAUUCAAUAUUGUGCCAGCUAAAUGGCGCACCCGCUGUAGCAAGUGAGUUCCCAUCAAAAUCACCCUGAGCAUAUUUUUGCUGAUUUUCAUGAUUGCUCUUCUGCCAGGAACAAUGUUCCUGGCACUUCGACCACACAACUGUAUGUUCAUGUUCCAGUGUCCUUAUUCAUAGUUAAUUUCAAUCACAAAGUGACAAAUGUCAGUCUAUUAGUUAACAUGUGUAUCUCCGUUUCUUCUAAGUUUCAAUCGACCUACUCUGAAGUUGUUCCUAAGAUAGUGCCUCAAGCAAAGGGAAUGAGCCUCAGUUAGUGCAUCUAGCAAGUUCGUGAUCCUUUGUUGGGAUAAACAUUUGUGCAAGAGCAAUAGUCUCGUCACUAUUGGUUGUUAGUACUGUUGCUUGUUAAUUCUACUUUUUACUUCAGUUCGUAAUGCAAUAUAGUUAUGCUUGACGCACUAUAAGAAGACUGCCAUUUUGCCUUUUGACCUUGGUUUCUUCCUCCAGUAAGUAAAUGCACAUAGUUCUUUUGUAAAUUAGAGCAUACGACUUGUUGAUCGAUCUCUGAGCUCAGUAAUAAUAUUAAGCCUCAAUCUGUUUAUUGUGCACACAAGAUGAGAAAGAAUUGCUACCCAAGAAUAUGUACUUUAUAAACAUUUCAACUGUAAUCUGGAAAAAAAUUAAAUAAAUAAGGAAACAGUAUAUUCAUAUAUCUUUUUUGUACUUUGAUGGUGUCACACCACAAGUUCCGAGAUGGUAAUUGUGCUGCAUAUGUCUGCUCUCUUACUUUGUUUUUCUGAACAGGUAGGUUCUGGAAGAUGUCAUGAAGAAUUUCUUUCAGAGAAUUUGCGUGAGGAGUGUCUAAAUGAUUUUUAUCUUCUGAACAUAUUCUUGUAUGACUAACUGAAUUCAUUUUUUCAAAACGUCGGUACUUUUCCUUUUUCAUUUAUGUUGCUCGAUUGAGUCCACAUGCCUGCCCUUACUGAGUUUGCUCAAGAGUAAGAUAAACUUGAUAUUUAUGUUUGUCGGCAGCAGCGUGACUAGCUGAUCUGUAGCGGCGCGGAAGGUGAGCUUGGCUGCAGGUAGCAGCUCCUUUGGCUGAUCUGCGGCGAUGCAGAAGUUGGGUUGGAAAGAAGCACGACCGGCUGCUCUGAAGUGGGACGUAGGGAGAGCUUCGUAAGAGAUAGGGAGGGAGCUCUAUUGGCCCGUGCAUGACAUCCAACCCAAUGGCAUCAUGCCCUGGUAAGCUUCUUAUCUGUUCCAAUUCUUGCACUUGGUCUUUUUCUUUCUAACCCUAAAAAUAGAGUGUGCCUUGAUUCCUAAUCAUGCUUUAAAAGCUGAUAUCCACCUCGUUUAUCUUGCUACUAGUGGUAAUGUGUGCAAGUAUGAUUUUGUGAUAAUGCCAGAUGUUGUGUGCCUUCUUUAUUCAUGGUACGAGUACUCUAACCUGGCUCGUAUGAUAAUGUAUCACUGCUAUAGAGCACAAACGACGUGUUUUUUAAUUAUAUUUUAGUUGACAUGGAUUUCAUUUAUCUUGUGAAUUGUAUAGUCAGAUCAUGAAUUUUUAUGAUUGAUUGAUUUUCAUGGUCACAGGUAGGCAUGGUUGUGUGGCCACGGGGAAAAUGGAGCAAGUAGCAUGUGAGGAGUUUAACAAAUGGGGACAAGGGACAGUUUAGUUAAUUAAGGCUCUAUGUUAGUUUCAAGUUUUAUCCUUGUUGCGGUAAAAAAUUAUGGUUGGAUUAACCACCAUGUACAUCUUUAAUUACUUUUAAAUAAGAAAUAUAAUCAAAAUAUUCUUUUGAAUUGAUAAAAUUUAUAUAAUUUGUACAAGUACAUGAAGGUGGAACAGGAGGAAGGGUGGGAGAAGAUUAGAUAUCGUUUCAUUUUCUUGCAAGGAAAGGAUGGUUACGAAGAAAUGACAAGAAAUGGAGGGACAAUCAGUUUUAUUACUGUAUGGAUGGAAACCACAUGCCAGCUUGUCCAACAUAUUUCUACAUUGAGUCAAUUAUUCAAUCGCUAUAUUUUUUUUAUUCCAUGGCAAUGCAUGGUCAUUCAACUAUUCAAAUUUACGG